rnacentral:lncRNA from 1 species
UUUUUUUUUUUUUUUGUUGUUUUUUUUUUGUUUAACUUUUCUUUGAUUGGAAAAAGAAAAAAUGUAUUUAUAAAUAGAAAGUUAAGCAUAUUUAGGGUAAAAGUGAACAAGUAGUUCACCAAAUGCAAAACAAUCAAACAAAAUCAAUUAGUAACUAAAGAACGGGGUCGCCGAGUGAUUGGAGCGAAUUUCAGGUUUGUAUUUUUACAAUGGUGGCCAAGGGAAGGUUAAAAUGUCUUUGUGAUUCUUUUCAACCCCUGAAAAGAUAGACUGUCGUGACUUCACCGCCAGCUGAUCCCCUUUUCAAGUAAAAGAAAUUAAGAACUCAUAAAAAAAAAAAAAGGAAUUGGUGGUGAAGGCAUCCAUCCAAUGGUUCAUUACAGACAUUGAAAUCAAAUUAUUGGGUGAAAUCCAAAUGACUCAUAAACCCAAUUUUAUAUAUAUAUUUAUAUUUCCAUCCCUCGUGCAGAAAUAGCUCAUUAUAAACAUAAAACGAAAAAUGUGAGCAUGCGUGUUAAAUUGUAAUUUGCAGUAAUCAAGAAUGGAUACUUUCAAAGGAAGAAGCCAAGUAUUUUUUCCAAAAUCUUAUCCCACUACGUCCCUUCUAUUUUUUCUCGCCAGCCAAUUUUAGUAAAAGCGUUUAAGCACACGAGUUGGUGAUUACGUAGAUUAAGUAGAUGUUAAUGUUAGUCAAUAGAUUGGAUUAAGCUUUCAGUAAUAUUUAAGUGUUCAACCACAAAAUCAAAUGAAAAUUAUGUUUAAAAGUCCAACAAAUUUAGCAUUAGGAGGAUGGUGAUGCCCAUGAUUUGCACCUUGUUUGUUUUCUCACAAAAUUCCUUUUGUUUCCAAAAUUAGGGUUAUCUUUUUUGUAGAUAGAGCCACUAAGUCAAACUUUAUGUAUGAGCUUUCUCAAUCGAAACUACUGGUAUUUAUCACAUAAAUUAAUCUUAGAAGUAACAUGCUCGUGACUAGCUGGUCUAGCAACAUUCAGUUUCAAUUUAUUAUAAAAGGUAUGAAAUUCAGCUCACACAAAUCCAAUGACGAAGUAAAGUAUAAGAGUUCGAUACUGAGUUAUGGUAUGUUGUAGCUCGUAUUUUUUGCCCCAACUUGGUUAACCCACUUAUAAUAAAAUAAAGUUGUCGGCUCACAGGGUUUGAGAUUCGACUCACAAGGUUUGUAUUGCAUGGAUUUUACAAGGGUUGUAAUAGAAACCAUCACUAUUUAUAUUUGCAGCGAGUUCGAUACCAAAUUGUGACCGCAACCUAUACGAUUAUAUAUGUUCCAAAUAUAUAUUUGUAAAUAUCCUAUUGUCUAUCAGAAAAGAGAAAAACCUAGAAGCUGUUGGAAUUUAUUAGGUUUAUUUUGGAAAUUAAUUAGAGAUUUGAUUUGAUUUUGUAGUAGGGUAUUUUUGGCUUUAUGCAUUAUGGUUUCUUAGGUUUAUUGCUCUAUAAAUAGAGCUUGUAAUUUAGUUUGAGAAUUAAGUCAUUCACAAUGUAGUCUCUUAAGGUUUUGUAGCUAUUUCGACAUUCUCAGUUAGUUUAAUAAUAUUUUUAUUAUUUUGUUAGUCUUGUUUGUUACGCACUCUGAUUUUCAACUUGGUAUCAGAGCAUGUUCGAUUCUUUGGAAUUAAAUAUGUUCUAGAUGGGUAUCAAUUUGUUCAUUCGUUUGUCCGCUGCGUAUCAGUUUGUCAUGAAGUUGGUUCGGAAGUUCGCACUGGCUUUGGAAUCUUGAACUUGCACCGCUUGAAUUGCUUUCGCUUGAUCGCCUGUUCGCUUGCCUGUUUGCCCGCUUGCCUUAUUGUGUCUGCCUAACGGAGCUUGCAUCCACAUCUGCUUUUGUUUUCUUCACAAAAUUCUUUUUGUUUCCAAAAUUAGGGUUAUCUUUUUUGUAGAUAGAGCCACUAGGUCAAACUUUAUGUAUCAGCUUUCUCAAUCAAAACUAUUGGUAUUUAUCACAUAAAUUAAUCUUAGAAGUAACCUGCUCGUGACCAGCUGGUCUAGCAACAUUCAAUUUCAAUUUAUUAUAAAAGGUCUGAAAUUCGGCUCACACAAAUCCAAUGGCAAAGUAAAGUAUAAGAGUUCGAUACUGAGUUAUGGUAUGUUGUAGCUCGUAUUUUUUGCCCCAACUUGGUUAACCCACUUGUAAUAGAAUAAACAUGUCGGCUCACAGGGUUUGAAAUUCGACUCACAAGGUUUGUAUUGCAUGGAUUUUACAAGGUUUGUAAUAGAAACCAUCACUAGUUAUAUUUGCAGCGAGUUCAAUACCAAAUUAUGACCGCAACCUAUACGACUAUAUAUGUUCCGAAUAUAUCUUUGUAAAUAUCCUAUCGUCUAUCAAAAAACGAGAAAAACCUAGAAGCAACCAAAAGAGCUUAAGAACUAAGUCUAUCCAAAACAAGGACCCCUACUUAUAUAGCCAUAUUUUUCACUUUGCAAGAUAAACCUAACCAUUUCAUGAGAUCACUUGUCUUCAAGAACUAGCCCUUCCCUUUACAUUUUUAGCAAAUCCUAAUUACUCUGUUAAUCACAUUCCUGGCGAGACGUCGGAAGCAAGUAAUGUGAGAUUAAGACAUCCAUGUUAGCAAAUUAAGGUGAUCAUCCGCUCUAAUUCUUUCCUUAAUCUCACACGCCUUUCCGAAAACCGGAAUAAUCUCCAGGUGCAGGUCUUUGCCUUCAGAUGUUGAUAUGAAUGUGUAAAGACAAAAGAUGUUAAACUACAUAAAUUACAUGACAAGAAGAAGCUUAAUCUCAAUUAAUUUCUGAUUACGUGAAGGUCAAGAAAUGCAUGUAUAUAUAUAUAUAGAUGCUAGAAGCUCACUAAAAAAUUACUAAAACCCUUUUGAAUUCUUCUUCUUCUUCUUCUUCAUGGAGCCAAAUGAAUCAAAGGGGACUCGGUACUUACCUAAUCACUGCCUCCCAACGCAUCCCCAUCCAGAUUCCCUGCCGAUCUACCCGCCUCGAUUCUUCCCCGUCUCUCAUAUUCAUGUUCCGGCCCAUGAUUUCUCACCAAACGCCUCGUCUCUCAGCAACGAAGCUGCCUUCAAUGAAGCUGGGGAGCCGGACAUGAACUACGAAAGAAAGCUCAAGAGAAUGAUAUCCAACAGGGAGUCUGCGAGGAGGUCGCGGAUGCGUAAGAAGAAGCAGAUUGAAGAGCUGCAGUAUCAGGUGGAUCAGCUCCACUCUACCAAUCGCCAGCUCUCGGAGAAGCUCAUCCAACUGUUAGAGGGCAACCAACAGAUCCUCCAGGAGAAUGCUCAGCUGAAAGAGAGAGUUUCCUCCCUUCAAAUCUUCCUUGCUGAUCUCAUAACACCUCUGAGGAAUGCCGGAGAUGUCACCGUUAACACAAGUGGCAAUCAACUUAGAGCCGAGGACUCAAGUACGCCAUGAUUGCCUGCCUCCCUACCAUGGAGAAUUCCGCUUUGCUUCAUCCAGUACAGGGGUUCAGUAGUAUUGAUGCGUAAAGUUUUCCCAUUUCUUUUCUUCCCCUGCUGUCUUUCUACAGGUAAAAACAGUUAAAGAUACACGAGUUUAAAUGGUCAAUGUAAUUUGUCAGCGAUCUGCAUACAUACGAUGUUAUCAUUCUGUAAAUUGUCAUCGAUUUGCAUCCUCAACACUACGUUACAUCCAUACGAUCUUAUCAAUAAGAUGGCAGAUAUCUGACCCUUUUCGGUACAAAGGCAUAAAUCGACGGUAGAUACAAUAAACUUCUAAUAACUCGAUUAGAGAUUUUCAAAAUUUUGGGUCCAUGUACUCAAGUCGUUUGUUAGCGUGCAUCAGAACAUUUGUUUAUGAUACAAUAUGAUAUAAACAGGCCCUGAAAAUCGAAAACAAAACCUAUCAUCAACCGCUUUUCUUUACUGGAUGCUUCCCAUUUGAGAUGUUAAGCGAGGUUUCUGCUGUAGUGGUAAAAGUCGAAAAGAAGUUGCUCUGUUCUUCAAAACCCUGGACCGGGUCUGCAUAUGAGAGGGUGCAAGGCCAUCUAGACAUGGAGGAACUAAACAUGAUUAGCUUCGGAAACAGAAUGUGAAAUUCAGUUCAAAAAACAUGCUUCAAUAUACUCUACCUGCUCGACUUUAUAACCUGAUCACGUAUUGUCAAACUCUCAUCGAAGAUGUUGCCUGCAAGAACGAAGAUAAUUAAUUUUGAAUAAUUCAGUGACUUGCACUCAUUGUACUUUUUAUUCAUGUAUUAAAAUGCACCCGCAUCGUAGAUUUAAGAAAAUGUUGCACACCUCCAUAUAGGUUCGUCUUUGUGAAGUAUUUUGCAGUCAACCAACGACUGUAGUCCACUUCAUAUUUCUUGAACUUCUCAAUGUGGUUUGCGCUAUGGAGGUCACUAACACAAACAAAGGACAUAGUUUAUCAUCCAGGCGCUAGGCACAGGUUCAAAUUCAUGAUAUGACACGCAAGAGAAGUUAAGGCUCGUUUUAAGCAUGAAAUAUAACUGAGUAGCUAAUAUCUGGCAGCAGCGGGAAAAACUUUUCCGCUAAGCUGCACCAAGAGGAGAGCAGAAUAUGAAGACAACAUCGGUAGGAGCAAACUAUAACAAUGACAAUUAUAAGUCUACGACAGGGAAAGAGUGAUAAAAAAAUCAAUGGGGUGUUCUGUUAAAAACUAAUUACAAAGACUCAAUAACGUAUCAGGGUUACAGCACCCCUAGCAUCUGAGCCAUUGGUUAUAAAAAUAACCUGAUAUGUGAUAGUCCUAGCCCCUUAGAAAUACUUAAAACUCAUAUGUCACAUGCAUUUUGAAUAAACUGAGCUCAUAAAUGGUAGAUCAACCAGGCAUCAGUAAGCCUUUCUAAUGCUCCUGCAUCACACAAAGACCUAAUUUGCGCACAUGAAAACCCCCUGUCACCAACCAUAACCAAUUCCAAGAAUUUUACAAUUACAGGGAGAAGAAAUAAAGACAAAGCACAAUGUAACGGGCAUGUGAGCUUCUAGAUGGAAUUCCCAUAUACUCUACAUUUUUAACAAAAGGGAAGAUAGGUCAAUGAUACCCUACAUGUGUCUGCGUUUGAGGUCAGGGGAUGUUGGGGUAUCAUUAUGUAAACCAAAGAACCUCCUCAGUUUAAUUUAAAAACGUAACGAAGUACCUUCUUACAAUGAAGUGGUUAAUAAUGUCGAUAGAGACUUCAGAUCGCUAAAUUUUGACCACUAUGGACUGCUAGAUUACUACAGUUGUAAUUAGGGAAACUUGUGGUUGAUAAAGGCGACCAUUUCUGUUUGUGCGUGUGCAAAUGCAAGGGAGAGCGCCAGGCUUAGAACUUAGAAGUGUAAGCUAGUGCAAGGCCCGGAAAUUCAAAUUCUGAAAAUGGGAAGAAGUAAUCGUGAAAAUCAAACAAAUAGAAAGUAGCACUACUUUGUUUUCAAUCACGAAACCAUUAAAACACGUAAGCAUACUAAGGGGCGGAAGAUGAGAGAGUCUGAGAAGAGUUUCGCAACUGAAUUUUCAAAGUAAUAUAAACCACUCAAACUCAAACUACUGAGUCCACUGUACAAAUAACUAAAAUCGAUCAUGCAUUACACAACAUCAUGUCAAAAUGAUCCACACAAGAUCCAUUCUUCGAACAAUCUUUAGGUCGCAAUUAUCUGUAACAUAUUCUCCCUGCAGAUAAUUAAGCUCUUCCUAUACAAUCUAUUCAAUUUUCGGGAAGUUUACUCGUAGCUCAUUUCCAUAAUUAAUAAAGUCAACCGCUUUAAUUAAUUUUCUUUUACCUGGAAACCAAUUCACACACACUAAGCAAAAUACAAAUGACAAACACAUAAACAAGCAUAAGUCUCUGAAGAAUUGCUACCGAAAACCUAACUUACAAGUGAAGCCAAAUAACCAGUAGAGCAAAUUACACACAGGGGUACGAAAAAUUACAUCUUUUUCACUAAAAUUGAAUCUACUGGGGCAAAUAAAUACCAAAAAAAUUGAAAAAUAAUUACUAAAAAUAGAAAAUAAUGGCAUGGUAAUUGCAAAAUACAUUCCUCAACACGGAAUAUAAACAUGUAAGUUGAAAAUUUGAAAUAUUCAAACAAAUAUAUAGAAGCGAAAAUCGGAAGAAAAGAAAGAGAUACUCACUCAUAAUAUGCAGAAACAAUACCAGGCUUCGUCUCCUCGGCAUCCAGAACUCCAUUGUUGGCUCCAGCUUCAGCCUUCAACGUAUUUAAAAUACGAAACGGAGAAAACCCAUAAGAAAUCAUUACACAAAACCAUAUGUAUAUAUAUGUGUAUAUAUAUUAUAUACAGAUAUAUGUACGGGAAGAGAUGAGGAGAGAGAGAGAGAGAGAGAGAGAGAGAGAGAAAAAACCUGUGGAUUUGGAGGAGAGUGAGAGAUGGGUCGAGUGGCGGAGUUGUCGGAGCUGGAAGCAGAGGAGGAUGGCGACGCCGGAGACGCCGGAGACGGCAAGCUCGCCAUGCUCACAAUUUUGCUGCUGCUAACAGCUAAGAAACUAUAACAAAGUCCACAGCCAAGUGAAAAAAAUCGAGGCUUUGCAGUGUUCUUAUAUAUUAUUUAUGGCAAACGAUUCUCUCCGGAUCUCUUCCACUAAAUUCUCCUCAUCAAUCAAUCCGAAUUUUUAAAAUUUGAUCAAACGACUAAAAUUAUUCUCUGUUUUUAGACGUUGGAUCAAGUUUCAAGGGUCCGGUUAGUUGAUGGGAAAGAUUUGCCAGAAGGAAUUCGGAGAAGAUCCAUUUCCAUUAUUUAUUAUUAUUUUUUAUUUUUAAUUUUAUUUCAGUGAGGGAUAGUUAUUGCAGGCCCGAGAGGUAGGGUUGUCAAAACUCCGCUUGGAUAUGAAUAAUCGUGGAGAUUUGCACUUUUUAAAUUAAAUGAGUUGUAUAAAAUAAUAGGAAAUUUUAAUAAUAAGUUUUUGGUAUUGUUUACUUUAAUAAAAAAUUACAUUUUAAAAUUAAAAAGUCAAUCCUGAUACUAUUCAUUUUACCUUUUAUUUUGUCCUUAUCGUUAAAAUUUAAAAAUUUUUAAAUCAUUUUCAUUAUUUUUCCUAAAAUAAUAGCAUCUCUUGCUUUGAAAUCGUCUUGUAUACUUGCUUAAUAUAGGUACUUUCUUUUUUCUUCGUUAUUCAUAUAAAAAACUCUUACGAGAUAUGCUUUGUGUGACGAGAUGGCCAACUAAUUUUUAGUCAGACAAAACUCUUUGCCGACAAACUAAUUUUUCAAUGAAAUCGAAAUUUCUACUAAUGAUUCCAUUGGCAUCCCAAGAUAGAGGUCAUGUAGGAUCAAUAAAUCCUUUACUUUUGAAAAUUCAGAAUUUCUUUUUCUUUUUUGCUAACAAAUUUAGGGUUUAGGAUAAGAAAUACAAGUCAUAUAAGGUGCGAAAAUUCAAAUACGAAAUCUGAACGUAAAAGUAAACGUCCUUAAUUACUGAGCUUGAAAAUUGUUGUUGCCGAUAAAAUAUCAAAAGCGAGAUCGUUCAUUAGAUUUUGUCCUCUUGGAAAUGCACUUUGAAAAAGUCAAAUUUGAUAAAGUAAAACUGAUUGAGUACAAAACCUUAGCUACAAAUUAUUGAAAACUUUUAAUCUUUGUAUAUAUGGAUUAGGUGAGUUGAUCAGAACAGUGUGCUUGCCGCCUUUUAUUCAAAUUCGAAAACCUCUCCUUGUGUAAAUGUUAUGGAUCGAAGAUACGGUACCAAUAUACAUGUUAUAAAAUAAACAAAUUGGUAACACAAUGUGACGGUUGACGAAAAAAUUAUUCUGCAAGCAGGCAUGAUGCUAAUUAAGGGCUUGUUUAAAAGUGUUUUAAAAUGACUAAAGGCGUUUUUUGAUAAAAUGUUUCUGAUUUCCUUCACAAAAAGUGCUUUUAAUCAUUUUGUAUAUAGUUCCAAACAAGCCCUAAAAGAGGGGGAAAAAAACGCUAUUCUGUUAUGUAACUAGGUCUAGAAAUUUUGACCCUCAAGUUCGGAUUCAUUUUCUGUAAUUACAAAUUCAGACAGAAAGUAAAUCAUUUUGGUUACCACUUACAUGAUGUACAAAUAUGAAAAUAAAUAUGUUAAUAAAACAGUUAUUUCUACUACUACGAUAUCAAUAUAUACUUCUUUAAUCGAAAAUGAUUUCCGCACACCUCUUUUCUCCUCUGAAUUCGAAAACCGGUUUCCCCCUUGCUUUACCAAUAAUCUCCACAAGAACAAAGGCCAUCUUUGAAAUGAUGGAAGCGUUUAUUCUCUCUCACAAUUAUCUCCCCUUCAACAACUUUCGAUAUCAGCUUAGCCACAGAAGCCGUAGUUGAGAUGCCUGUUCGUGUGGAGAGGAUAAGAAAUUGGCCAUACAUAUUGUCAGAACUUAUAUGUGAGAAGUGAAUCAAAACACCUAAUAACGGCAUGAAAUAACAUUACUAUAAGGAGAUAUAACGUAAUGAAACUUAUACAUGUUGAUCAAUGUAUAAUAUAAGGUGAGAAAACUAUAAGUUUUGUACAAAAUGAUGUAGAGAACGGUUACGAGGAGUCGGAAAACUGAAAGUAACUGCAACCAUGAUAGGAAGGGCAGUUACAUCCUUAUAACUAGGGUUUCGAUCCCCUUUCUCGGGUGUGGCAUGGUUCUCUUAAUGCUAGUGCUAGUCCUGUUGACAGCAGAGAGAUCCAAUACGUUUCCAAGAGAAGGGAAGGUCUUAAUCACGUCUCGAACUUCAUGGCAUCAUCCUCGAGUAAGUUCCAUGCAUUCAUUGUCUAUGGACAGAACGCAUUAUGCUCAAACUAGGGUUAACAAUGUUGCAUGCAUUUACUGCGGUACGUAGUUUAUAUGCAUGGUUUUGUUCGAUCUUCAUAUGAUUUAAUAAGUAUGUAUGUACAUAUGUAAGGGUUUGCACAUAUUACAUAACAAACAUGUUUGAGUAAGGGAGCGGAAUAUGAACUUGAGUGCAAAUUGGCAGGCCUGGCCAAACAACGAGCAACUGGUUUAACUCACAUAUGCGGUCGUCGAAUAUUUUGGUAUUGCUUAAACCUGUGGUAGAUGUACAAUUUGCUUACAGAAUACUCUCACAAAAAAAUAAAAAUAAAAAUAAAAAAGCUUCCACUUCCGAUAAAUAUGACCACAAGAUAUGGCAAAAUGGAAUUUUGGCCCUCCCAGAAGAAAACAAACGGGAAAGCUAAUAAUACGGUUUUAGAGGGAACCAAAGUAAUCUUUUAACAAAGAGAAGAUGGGGUUGGCCUGAGCAGCUCCCUCCAGUCUCUGAAACAUGAUUCCGUCCAUUCGGGCUUGGACUCCGUCGGAAAACGUCAACUCCUGCAGCACUUCCUUCAUUGUUCUAUCCACUCCAACCAAUGUAGCCCCUAUGCCACUUAAAAGUUCUGGCAGCGUUGGGGAAGGUCUUGCGAGCUCCACGAGCGCAACCUGGCACCACAGCAUGCACCACCAUUAAGGGACAUCCCAAAGAAAGGAUAACACACUCAAACACUCAAAGUCGAAAUUAAUAUUAAUAACCAACAUAUUUUGUUGAUGACCACACCUGUCUGUCUUGGGGUAUAUUUGCCUUGAGCUUUGCUAUUGCGACAGCACGAGAAAAUCCGCCAAUAGCAUCAACUAAACCUCGUGAAGCUGCAUCGUUACCAGUCCAAACUCUCCCUUGUGCAACCUCCUCCAUUUUAUCUACCUGGCAACGCAACAAAAGAGGGACACUUUAAUAUUUCCAAUUAACAGAAGGAAAAGUAUGUGAAACCAAAACAAAGAAUGAAUUGACCAGCAUACAGUCAUCGAUCUGGAAAAAGCCGCCUUGUCUCGGAAUUGCUUAUAUGAAUUCUGUGCAGACUUAGCAAACAGUUCAGCUUCUUCUGGUCUGUAUUGGAAAAGAAAAUGUUGAGUUUGAAAUUUUUGCCAUUUGUAGAAAUAGAGGAGACGAUAGAUACUCUUGGCAACGAAUCUUUUUACCUGAAGGGUCGUUGUUCAGCUGCAAGAACUUCAGCAUAUUUUCCCCUUGAUAUGAUUUCUUUGUUGAAGCCAAUCUUCUCAUACAAUUUUCCCAGGUUAAACUUCCCUAUAAACAAAAUUCAUAUGCAAAUACAUAAAAAAAUGUCACACAAUUAUGUAGUAGUUUUUAUGCAUUUAGAUGCGUGUCUGUCACUGUUUUGACCAGCGUCAUUAUAUGAUAUAGAUCAAAUGGGGCCGCAGUGUAGAAGCGAUGGAGACUAAUGCCUGAGCCACUUGGCUAAUUCAAUUUAUGAUUAUAUAAAGUCAAACUCACCUGUCACAACUCCAAUGGAACCAGUUAAGGUUAGAUUUUCUGCAACAAUGGUGUCUGCUGCCAUUGCCAUAUAGUAUCCUCCACUUGCUGCCACAUCAGACAUCGAUGCAAUGACAGGUUUUGAUGCAGCCAAAAGUCUGAUUUCCCUCCACAUCCUGCCCGACAUAAACACAUCAGGGCAAGCAGUUAAUCGUGUGCACACAUAGGCACACAAAUACACAGUUUCUUCUCCACAACAGUACUUUCCAAAAUACCAACAAUUUAUGAGGCAAAAUUUAACAUGUAGAGUUUCAUGCAGCUAAAAUAACAAUAACUGUAAUACCCCACUUGUCCAAACAUUUUGCCUUCAUUUUACUGAUAUCGUAGUUUCAAUCAAAGAGAAUUAUCUUCUUUAUCAGGCUCAUUCAUCAUAAGCAGACUAGACAAUGAGAUAAAUACAAGCAUCAUCCGUUUCCCCAAAUCAGACCCUUACUGCUGCAAGACCCUGUUUUAAGCCACGCCAGCACCCAAACUCUAAACUAUGUGGACAUUGCGGAUGAGAAUAUCCAUACUCAUUCAGAUGCUCGAGAUGUUUCCCAAUUACUACAAACUAAUAAAUGUACGCAUGAAAUUAAGCUUAAAAUAUACUAGCACUUACAAAUCAGAAGCAAGAGCAUCACCUCCAGGGCUGUCAAUUCGGAUGAUUGCGGCCUUAUAUCUUUUUGAUUCUGGAAUGGGAAAAAUAUCAACAUGACGGGUAAAAAAAAUGAGAUAGCAGUAACCAAUGCCCAAAGGUUUCAUAUUCAGCAACUACAAAGUACACAAUUGCCCAUCAUUGGUCUUGUUACAUGUCACUGCUUUCUAUAAAUGAUACGUUAUUGCAAGUAAACAGAACAAAUUUUUCUACGUUCAUCAAGUUACUCCAUGUAAGUAGUGUUAGUGACACAUGCAAGAACUAUAUAACAAACUACUCUCCACAGUAUAGCAAACCAUAAUCUACAUCCACAUCUUGUAUCUUAUAAAGCCUCUGAAAAUGUAUCAAAAAAAAGAAGGCCACCAUGCUAAGCAAAUGAACUUCCAUACGAUAGACCACAGUCACCAUACCUCUCACACUGCGAAUCUUCUCAAUGAACUGUUCCCCAAUAAUACUAGAACCGGGAAGACUUAAACCGCCUCGUACACGAGUAAUGCUGCCUGAUGCUCUAAUUAUGGCUAUCUUGUCUUUACCACCUGAUAAUCCAACAGUCCAUUGCCGAACCCUUGAGUACUUUCUGUUUUAAUAACGAAAAAGAAUGAAUAAGUAAGGAGAGGGACGGAGGAUGGUCAAACACACACAUAUAGAGCAUCUAGUGGACAUCAAAAUACUAGUAAUUGAAGGCCACCAAUAAGAAAGUUGACUACUUGUAAUCAACCAUAGGAAGAGUUUUUUCUUUUUGUACUCCAAGUCUUUCCUUCAACAUUGAAAUAACCUGCGAGGCCACCAAUACUAUCACAACGAUGAAUGAAUACUGUUUUGCAUACAAAAUAUGGGACGUUCAUAUCAAAAUACGGACAACAGGAUAAUUAUAAUUAACAUAUCAGAAGACAGAAUAUAACACUGGAAGACAAUUGAAUGUAUGUUUGUAUGUCAUAAAUAAACUAAGGUAAUUCGUAAUUACCAGGCCAUAAAACUUCAAUAUACUCUGACAAACUUGAAGAGCAAAACUGAACUUUUGAAAAUUCUCUCACAACUAUGUUACUUUUUAAAAUGUCUGGAUCCGAAAUACAUUGAAACAACCUUCUAAGUCUUCUAAGUAUAAAAUAUUCCCAUGGUAUUAAAUUUUGAUUAUUUCUAAACAUACAUCAAACGUCAACUCCAAAUCAAAAGGAACUAGAACUCCAUACCUCGUCAUCAUAUUGUAUGUUUGUGAUCCAGCCUUCUUCUUUCAAUUUUUCUACUUGGUAGACUCCUUCAUUAAUAAAAUUCUCAAUAUCUUCUCUUUUCUUUCCUGUAGAAAAAUUUCAGAAGUUCAUCAGUUCCUUAAACUUAAAGACUUGAAGAUUGGCUAAACAUCAAAUUGCAAAGCACCUCUCGUGGAAGAAAUCACAUCCAGCCAAUUCCCAUAUAUAUUAUCAAGCAAUGCUGUCAGCAUCUCACAAUUCUCUUUGGACAUGGUUUUGCGUGCAAGUUGAUCACCGGCACUUUUGUAUUUACCAAUCCUUUCCACUUGUGGCUCGAUUCCAACUUUCUCAAGAACACCUGAAAGAGAGUAUGACAAUUCCCUGCAACAUGAGCUAAUGAAUAAGCAUUUUCUCACAACAGAAACAAAGGAUUUCGGGGAAACAGACCUCUUAUGAAUGAGGCUUGAACGGUGAGACCAAACAAAGAAAAAUAAGCACUUGGAGGUGCAUAUAUCUCUUGGCACGCACUAGCAAGGUAAUACUCUUUCUCUCCACAAGCCGGUACAUAGGCCACAACAAAUUUACCUGCCACAGUGAACAGUCCAUAUCAUAAGUUUUUUCUCCUUGACAAAGCGACAUUCUAAACUACUCUAAUAACUCGAGCGCAAGGGGGCGGACACAUUUACAGAAACAAAACCAACAACAAAGCCUUAUCCCACUAAAUAGGGUCGGCGGUGUGAAUUCUAAAACGUCAUUGUGCUUAGUUUUGCGCCAAGUCUAACAAAAACAUAAUCAAAAUUAACAAUAAGUCACAAAAAGUACCUGAUUUCUUGAAAUCCAAGAUAUGUCUUCGGAUUUCUUCGACUUUGCCCCAACCACAAUUCAAGCUUUCAAUUUGGAGAUAGACACCGGAAAUUCGAGGAUCGUAAGCUGCUUUAAUCAAAUUCUCACAAAUUUGAGGCAGCGAAAGUCCACUCGAAAAUCGACUCUUCAGCUGAUCAGACACCUGCAAAAGCCAAUAAAAACAAUUAAUUUAGAAAAAAGUCACAAAGUUAAACGCUUUUCUCAAUUGCAAUCCCAAACACGCAGCACAACAAAUGUAAAAUUUGAGAAAAAUGCAAAACCUGGCCACGCAAUUUGAUGGUCAAGACGCUGCCUUUCUUGACGCGCUGCCAAGGGAAGGCAAUGAGCAUGCGGAGCUUGACGACGAAGCUCUUCCACGCGCUCGCCUUCUCGAACCGAAACUCGCCGCUCGGAUACUCCUUGUCUGCUGUUUUGGAUUUAUUUACGAUCUCGCCAUCGCUCUCCUUCGAUUCGUCUUCUUUGGUAUCCGUCGACGACAACGGAGACGAGUCGAAGGCGCGAGCUGAGAUGCUGCGCAGAGAAAGAGGGGGAGAGGGAGAGAUGAAUUGGGGGCGGAGGCAUAGGAAGCGGAGGGAGGUGGGAGUGGAGAGAGGUUUGGACAGAGAGGUCGAAACGAAGGCAUUGAAGGCGCGGCGGUGGAUCGGAGAAGUGUGGAGAAGAAUGAGCUUCGACAUUCCUCUCUCAGCUCACUGUAACUGUCAGGAGGAUUCAAGAAGGAGAAAGAAAGCAAGGAAUUUUGAAGGGGAUGGCAAUUGGCAAAGGUUAGAUUUUGUCCACGUCACCACUUGUGGUUUUGUCGAUGUGUCGUAUCCUGGCGCGCUUUUUUGUUUCCUUAUUUCCAUUUGAUGAAAUUACAACGAAUUUGCCCUUUCACAUACUUUUUCGUUUCACAUACAUUUGUUGAUUAUUCGAACAUUAAUCUCCGUCAAUUCAUUUAGUUCAAUAGUAAAAAAAUUAAGAGGGUGUGUAAGAAGUAAAAAUGAGAAUGUGGAUAACACUUAAAGUAUCCCCAAAUGAGAUGUCAAAAGAUAAAUAUCAAAUGUUAAUUUGAUAGUUUGACGUGUCAAUAUCAUAUUUUUUCUUUUUCUAACCGUUUUUUUAAGUGAUAUUUGUAGGACACAUUUUAAAAACAAAUCAAUUAAAAUAAAGUUUCAAGAUCUAUAAUUGGUGCAUUAAUGAGAUUUACACAAUAAAAUAAUUAAAAUUUAUUUGACAUCAUCUUUUCUUGUAUGUCAAAUUUAACAUAUGAAAACUCAUAUGUCAAUCCACAUAGGAUUAACAUAUCGGUUGAAGCUUAUUUCUACAUUUAAAUUUGAUUACAUGACAUUCCACUUAGGAUUUGACAUUUCGUUUGGAGAUGGUCAGGGAUGACAAUUCUAACCAUUAAAUUCGAUAUCCGUCCAUAAAACGAAUUUGCGUAUGAAAGUUCUGGUAUAUUUUGAAUCAAAAGUUGCAUUUUGUGGGAAAGUACAAAAGUUUUGAAUCGAAAUCAAUGAGAAUUCAAUGGUGCGUAUGAGAGAUACCAAAUAUCAGUCAACGUCAUCAAUGUUUCAAAUUCAACGCUUUCGUUUUUAUAUUCCACAAGACCAGUUCAUUGAAUCACUUUAUACAUCAAAUGUUUAAUGACGAAAUUAAUAUAUACUAAAUUAUAAUGCGUCAACCAAACAAAUAUAUUUUUUGUAUUGACGAACAUCGACAUAAUCGUUAACCAAUGGGGAAAUCAUUUUCCCGAUGGUUAAUUUGCGAUUAUAAAUAUGAUUAAUUUUCGUGGAUAUAGCAUUUCCGUUCAUAAACCGAACGGUUGCCAUCCCUAGUAGUACUACCCAUUUUCUUAUACUUUUUUUAACAAAUGAUAUUAUAUACACUAAAUAGUGGAGGAGCGGACUAAAUCCUACAAUAAGCUUGCACUCUUUUUCUUACUCUUUAAAUAUCAACAUAAAUAACUUUUACAUUUUACAAGAAAAGAAAACGUUUGAAAUUUCCAAAAAAUUGGCACAGAUACAAGAGUUGGAUGGUCAAGUUACCAGAUCGAUAGCACGAGAAACAAACCCUAGAAAAUUUAUGAGAUACAGCUAUUAGGUUCUUAGAAUUUUGGGUCGUUGGAGGAACUUGGUUUUCUUUGGGAAGUGCUGAGUAAGUUAAUCACAAAGGUACGUACAUACAUACAUACAGACCUUUACUUUUGCUAUGGUUUUUCAAUUAAUUAGUUAAUUUACACCUAAUUCAAAGUCUUUUCUUUAUGUUUAGGGUUUCUUUGUUCAGAUCCGAGGAUUAUUUUUUUUUUUUUGUUGAAUUUAAACAUCCCAACUGUGUUACUCGAAAUCAAGAUAAUGCAGACCAUAUUAAAGUUUGUUCUUUGUAAAUUUCGGAAUUUGAAUGCAGUCCAAAUUUUUGUAUGUUCGUAGGGCAAGGUGGAAGACGACUUGAUGAGUUUAAAUUUUGAGUUUUGACUACGAUGGAAGAUGACUCGUUCAAGGACAGUCUGUCAAGAGCAACAAAGUAUGCACUAGAAGCGGGUUGCAUUAGGUUACGGCGCAAGGAACGCGUCACCCGCUGUGUUAACUUACAUCUUCAGACCAUCUUUGAUCAACUGGUCUCGCUCUACAUUCCUCUCUUUCAGUGUCAAUGGCGACGGUUAAAGUAUCUUUUCGAAGAGUCUGCCCUUCUUCCAUCAGGCGUAACUCCGUGGAUUCAUGCCACAAGAUGUUACAUCUCGGCAUGGAUACACGAUCUGUAUGUUUCAAAUCGCGAGGCUGUCCAGACGCUGUGCUCCCUUACAUUUUUAAAGCAUUACUCGCACGAAGAAGUUUAUUGUUCAUCGGAAUAUGAUGCCUUUCUGAUUCACCUGAAUGCAGAUAUUCGGCCUACUCACAUUAAGGGCACUCCGGAAGAUACUGUAUAUGUUCCUGUUCUCAGUGACAGUCCAGCUUGGGGUACUGCUAAUCCAUUCAACAUCGAGAACUUUGUUUUGGAUCGUAAUUUGGUUCGAGGAAUUAUUGCGAAUAUGAAGAGAUAUUGGAGAACAUCAACCGUUGGAUCAGACAACCUAGGGAGGCCAUUUUGACUACUCGACUGGCACGAGGACUGCGAGUGUUGUUCUUGGUUUCCUCGCGAAGGAAACUACACGAUGGAGGAUGUCAUGGUUGCCUAUAUACUCGGAGCUGCCUGUACUCCCAAUCUUGGAUUCAGAGAUGUUGAUGAUUGGCAAAACGGAAUUGUGCCUGAAAAUGUCAAUCCGUUGUCCUAUGACCGUGUUAAAUAUCGACAUUUUUAUGGUGGUUAUGAGGUGAGGACCAUUGAAAGAAGGCAAAUUGUUGUAAAACUUGAUGAGGAAACAUUGGACCGUGUCCUUGAAGAUCAUCGUUUUUAUAGUGGUUAUGCGGUCGGAGAUGGUAAACAAAGACAAAUCCCAAUAUUUGUUAGGGGAACAACCCAAGGCCCUCCUCCGAACAAAAGGAAGAAGACCAAGGACAAGGUUUCCGUUUCAAAUGCUGCUAUACAGACUGGAAGCGAAUACUCCGAAGCCAUAACCAUACAGACUGGAACCGAGUCCUCCAAAGCCACAGCCAUACAGACUGGAAGCGAGUCCUUCAAAGCCGAAGCCAGUACCACAGUCGACCAGUUCCAGAUAGUGGAUUGGACCUACUCUCACCGUGUUAUUCUAUCCAUGGAUUCCGAUACAAGGUCCCAGUCACUGUGGGAAAUAGUGCAAAAUUUGGAUUGCUAGUGAUAAAUUUAGGUAGCAAUGUCAACAUUUAGAACUUGAUUAUGUUUUGAUGUUUUGGAAAGUCAAAUUCUGUGGCAAAAGUGCUUGAGACAUUGAUAUUUUGCAACUGAUUUGCAUUAGAGUUGGCUGUUUUCUGCAUUUUUCUGCUCUUUCAGCAUAUGCUGGAUUGUUUAUCCAUGGACUCUUGCCACCAGAGCUCACAUCUCUGCAUGCAUCCGCGCUCUAUACAUUUCAAAUCGUAAGGCUCUCCAGCCACAAUGCUGCACCACAUUUUUGUUGAAUGAUGCAAAUAAGCAUCAGCAAGGUAUCCACAUCAGCAAGGUACCCACAUCAGCAAGGUUGUUAUCCACAUCAGCUCAGUUAGAUAGUUGGGAUUGUAGGAAGUUAUAAGGUGGUUAUGAGUUUGUUAGAAUGGUUAUGAGUUUGUUAGAAACUGAUAAAGAUAGAACUGAGCAUGUAUAAAUAGGGAACGUCUCUCUUAGACUUGUAUUGAAUUCAUUACGAAAUACACAAAACCUUAUUCAUUCUCUCUCUCUCGCUGUCUAUACUACAUUACAGCUUAGCAUUGUUUGUUCUUCUUCUUAGAUUCAUAGUGAACUGUUAAUAUGGUAUCAGAGCCAUGGAUGAUUCUUCCACUUCCGCUGUCGUAUUUCUGACGGGUAACUGAUCCGUUUUGCUGUUCUUGGGAGGUUUUGUUACUUGUUUAUGGAGUUUUCAUUGGUGAUGAAGAUCUGUGCGCUCCAGGUGUUCGAUGUUUUGUAUCAGUGAGUUUCUUUCUCAUCUUCUAUAUGUUGUUUACAAGGCCGAUAGCCAGUUGUAGUUGUUCGAUGUUGUGAAUGUUUACAAAGGCCGAUUGCCAUUUUAUUCUUUCCUCCUCAAAGGCCAAUUGCCGGAGUGAUUGAAUCUUGUAGUUUUCUGCUAUAUUUCCUCUGUUAAAGGCCGAUUGCCAAAUAGGGUCACUUUAAUUGAUUGGAGUGAUUGCAUCUUGAAGUUUUCUGCUAUAUUUCCUCUGUUAAAGGCCGAUUGCCAAAGAGGGUCACUUGCAUUGAUCUUGUUUGUUCAUCAUAUACGACAUCUUGGUUGGUAGAUUCUUAAACUCUUGAUUGUCACUAUGUCUGAUAAUACCAUAGACUCUGUGAAGGUUGAAAAUCUUUUGGGCAUGCUCACUGUGAAGUUGCAAGAUGAUAAUUUUGUUAAGUGAAAUUUUCAGUUUCAGUCAGUUUUGCGUGGGUAUGAUUUACUGGAUCUUUACUGGUGAUAAUCCCUGUCCACCUAAAUAUGUCAUACAUACUGAAACUGGUGUGACAAGGGAGAUCACUACUGCUUAUAAGAAUUGGGUCAAAAAGGAUAUGGCUUUACUCAGUUUGCUUAUUGCCACUUUAUUUGAUGAUGCAAUGGAGCAUGUUAUUGGAUGUAAAACAUCACAGGAAGCAUGGACUGCUUUACAAGAUCAUUAUGCAUCUGUGUCAGUUUCACGAAUAAAUCAGUUAAAGAUUGAGUUUCAUACUGCACAUAAAGGAGGGGAUUCGAUUGAUAAGUUUUUGUUGAAAUUAAAGGCUAUACGAGAUCAGUUAAUCUCUGCUGGAGAAAGGGUUUCAGAAAAUGAUCUGGUUAUUGCUGUUUUAACUGGAUUACCACAAGACUUUGAUAUGAUUAGAACUGUGAUUUUGGCAAGAGAGACACCAAUUUCUUUGAAAGAUUUUCGUGCACAGCUUCUUAGUGCUGAACUUACCAUAGAAUCCAGAGUUUCAGCUCUUACAGGUUCAAUGGCAGCAAUGUAUAUGAAUGGGGAUAAUGGUAAAGGACAUACUGGUUCCUAUCAAGCAAAUGGUAGUUAUCAUGGUGAAAGCUCAGCUAUAGGGGCUAGUGGUUAUCAAGGAGGUGAAAGUUCCAUUAUAGGGGCUAAUGAUUAUCAAUGAGGAUAUGGGUUUACUGGCAGUAAUCAGAGGUCCUUUCAUUCUCAGAAUAAAGGGUCAUUCACUUCUAACAGGAAUUCUUAUGGAAACAAUGCUUCAAAACCUUAUUUUGGUAACAAGAAUAAAGGGUCGAAUAAUACUUUUUCUGAUCCAGGCAGAAAUUCUCAGUCAAGUUUUACUGGUCAGUCAUCUCAUGGUGGAUCAAAGAAUGGUUCAAAUUGGCAGAAUUGGAAUGGGAAUACUACUUAUAAAUCAUCAAUUACCCCUGAAUGUCAAAUAUGCUCAAGGAGAGGUCACACUGCACCUAACUGUCAUUUCAGAAGUACUACUAAUGUUAAUCAGUAUCAAAUCUUGGUGUGUCAGAUUUAUGGAAAGAAGGGUCAUACUGCAUUAGAGUGUUUUCACAGGAACAAUUAUGCAUAUCAAGGGGCUCCACCACCUUCAUCACUCACUGCCUUAUCUGCACAAGGUCAAUCUAGUUUCUCUCCAGCAUCAAGUGAGUCUCAACCACAUGGGUUUUCUGCUGCUGACACAUGGGUGCUCGAUACUGGAGCAACUCAUCAUAUGACAGCAAAUCUCAAUAAUAUGAACCAAGUUACUGCAUACAAUGAUGAUGACAAGAUAAUCAUUGGAAAUGGUCAAGGUUUGGAUGUGAAGCAUAUCGGUUCUACUAACCUUUUUACUCCAGAUCAUUGUUUAUUUCUAAAACAUGUUUUGCAUGUUCCACAUAUUACUGUGAAUCUUUUAUCAGUAAAGAAAUUAUGUCAUGAUAAUGGCUACUGGUUUAUAUGUGAUGAUACUGUGUUUUUCAUACAGGACAAGGCAACCAAUGUGGUACUCUACCAAGGAAUGAGUGAUGGGGAACUCUUUACUAUACCUAUGACAGUGUUUUCAAGUUCUUGCUCUGUGAAUAAAGGAAUACAAGAGGUAAAGGUUGGCUUUGUGGGAAAGAUGAUUAAGACUGCAAUUUGGCAUAAGAGGCUAGGACACCCUUCUGAAGAGAUAUUGACUGCAAUGUUGAAAGCAGCAAAAGUACCAGUUAGUAUAGAUUCUUCUCAGUCAAUGUGUACUUCAUGCAUUUCAAGUAAAAUGUGUAGGCAAUCUUUUCCUGUAAAACAAAGUAGUGUUACUUUUAUGUUUGAAAGAGUACAUUCGGAUGUAUGGGGGCCUUCUCCAAACGUGUCAAUUGAAGGAUAUAGAUAUUAUAUCAGUUUUAUUGAUGAGUAUUCAAGGUUCUUGUGGAUAUUUCCUUUAGUCAAUAAAUCUGAAGCAGUUUCUGCAUUUAUAAAGUUCCAUGCUUUUGUAUCCAAUCAAUUCAACACUGCAAUUAAAUGUUUGCAAACUGAUGGAGGAGGAGAGUAUAUAAGUAAAAUGUUUGUUGCUUUUCUGGAAUCAAAAGGUAUUGUUCAUAGAAUAUCAUGUCCAUACACUCCUCAACAUAAUGGCAUUUCUGAGAGGAAACACAGACAUUUGGUAGAAACAACAUUGACUUUAAUGUCUGAAGCAAAUUUGUCUCCAUCUUUCUGGUAUCAUGCUUGUUCAUAUGCAGCAUUUUUAAUUAAUAGAAUGCCAAGCAAAGUGUUACAAAUAAAGUCUCCAUAUCAACUGUUAUUUGACAAGGUUCCUGAUAUUCACAGUUUAAAAGUAUUUGGAACUGUAGUAUAUCCAUUUCUUAGACCUUAUAAUGCCAAUAAGCUGCAAGCAAGGUCUGUUCAAUGUGUUUUCCUUGGUUAUGCUCUGGGGUAUAAGGGGGUUGUAUGCUACAAUGUUCAAACAAGGAAGAUGAUUUUAUCAAGGCAUGUAAUUCAUGAUGAAUCUGUAUUUCCAUAUAAGAUCUUGCACAUUACUAAGUUCAGUGACAGUUCAAAGAUUGUGUGUACUACUCAGAGGCCUAUUAUAGUUCAGGUUUCUCUUGAGAAUGUUACAGAAUGUCAGAAUUUUCGUAGGGCAAAUAAUGAUGAAGCUGUUCAUGAUAUGUCACUUUCUAUAUCAGAUAAUAGUGUUCAUUCUGAUGAAAGAUCAAGUUCCUUGAAUGAAGUAUCAAUUUCAGAAUCCACAUCACUGUCACAGGGUAUCUCAUCAGCUCCAUAUUCCUAUCUCAUCACUCCUGGCUCUAUUGGUGUACCACAAAUGUUGCCUGUCCACAAUGACACACAGCUUGAGGUAAUUUUACCUUUUUCAUCUUCUAUAUCAGCUAAUCUUGGUGAAUCAAGUAAUGCUUCUGUUCAUCCCAUGGUCACUCGGUUGAAGAGUGGUACAAUACCACAGAGGAGUUAUAAGGGCUAUUUAGCUACAUUGCCUGAACUUCAAUCACUUCAAUUAGCUGAAGAUACUUACUUUGGUGGCGGUUUUUCUUUUUUGGUUGUUCAUAGUGAUACUGCUGAACCAUCGACAUUCAGAAAAGCUGCUACAAUGCCACAGUGGCAAAGUGCAAUGCAAGAAGAGUAUGACUCUCUUAGGGCUCAAGGCACUUGGGCAUUAGUACCACCACCUAGUGAUAGGACUAUUAUUGGCAGUAAAUGGGUAUACAAAAUAAAAAAGAAUCCUGAUGGCACAGUUUCCAGGUACAAAGCUCGGUUGAUGGCACAAGGUUUUUCUCAGGAGCAAGGUGUUGAUUAUUUAGAAACCUUUAGUCCGGUUGUGAGACAUACCACAGUUCGAAUUGUCCUAGCGUUGGCUGCCAUUAACCAGUGGGACUUACGACAGCUUGAUAUCAAAAAUGCAUUCCUGCAUGGUGAGUUGCAAGAAGAUAUAUACAUGAAACAACCUCAGGGGUUUGUGGAUGUCACUAAGCCAACACAUGUCUGCAAAUUGAUUAAAUCUCUCUAUGGGCUUAAACAGGCUCCAAGAGCUUGGAACUCUAAGUUUACAAGCUAUUUACCUACCAUGGGGUUUCAAUCUUCAACAUCAGAUUCCAGUUUAUUUGUGAAAAAGUGUGGAAAUGACAUGGUCAUACUACUUCUCUAUGUAGAUGACAUUAUUAUUACUGGUUCCGAUUCUAGUAAAGUUCAAAGGAUAAUCACAGAACUGUCUGAGGUAUUUGAGCUUAAAGAUAUGGGCAGAUUGACAUAUUCUUGGUUUGCAGAUCAAGUAUAAAUCCAAUGGAGAUAUUUGUGUUAAUCAGUCUAAGUAUGUCAAAGAUCUUCUUCACAAAGCUGGCAUGGACUCUUGUAAACCAGCAUCAACACCAUGCAAACCUCAUAAUCCUUUGCUUCUCAAUGAAGGUGAUCCAUUAUCAGAUCCUACUUUCUAUAGAAGUAUUGUUGGAUCAUUGCAAUAUCUAACCUUUACGAGGUCAGAUAUUGCAUAUGCAGUAAACACUGUAUGUCAGUUCAUGGCUAUACCAACCGAGGUUCAUUUUGGGGCAGUUAAAAGGAUAUUACGAUUUUUAAAAGGCACUAUGCAUCAUGGAAUCACAUUCUCAGCUAAUACAGAAGUAGGGAUUCAUGCAUUCAAUGAUGCAGAUUGGGCUGCAGAUUUAAAUACCUGAAGGUCUAUCACUGGAUAUGUAGUCUACAUUGGUUGCAAUCCAGUUUCUUGGCAAUCAAAGAAACAGGAUUCUGUGUCAAGAAGUUCUACCGAAGCUGAAUAUAAAGCCUUAGCUCAUACAGCUGCUGAUAUAACAUGGAUCAGAAGUGUGCUAAAAGAUAUGGCUGUCGUAUUGCAUUCUUCUCCUGUGAUCUAUUGUGACAACAAAUCGGCCAUUGCUAUCAGUGCAAAUCCAGUAUUUCACUCCAGGAUUAAACACUUAGACACGGAUUAUCAUUUUGUUAGGGAGAAAGUUCAACAAGGAGAUCUUCAAGUUCAAUACUUGUCCACUGAAGAACAAAUUGCUGAUAUUCUAACUAAGGGGCUGCAUAGUCCAUCAUUUCUCAAGCAUUCUUUCAAUCUCAAGCUAGGAAACCCAGUUGAGAUUGAGGGGGGAUGUUGAAUGAUACACAUAAGCAUCAUCAAGGUACCCACAUCAGCAAGGUUGUUAUCCACAUCAGCUCAGUUAGAUAGUUGGGAUUGUAGGAAGUUAUAAGGUGGUUAUGAGUUUGUUAGAAUGGUUAUGAGUUUGUUAGAAACUGAUAAAGAUAGAACUGAGCAUGUAUAAAUAGGGAACGUCUCUCUUAGACUUGUAUUGAAUUCAUUACGAAAUACACAAAACCUUAUUCAUUCUCUCUCUCUCUCGCUGUCUAUACUACAUUACAGCUUAGCAUUGUUUGUUCUUCUUCUUAGAUUCAUAGUGAACUGUUAAUAAUUUUCACAGCCUUGAAGGCACACGACAUUAUUCUUCAGACCGGUAAGAUCCAUUUCUCGUUGAUUUGAACGCAGCUAUUCGCGCUACUCACAUUCAGGGCACUAUAGAACGCCCCUCCUGGCUGUUUGAUUGGCAUCAGUAGAAGUGUUGUGCUUGGUUUCGUUGUCAAGGAUACUAUUCCGCGAAUAAUAUUUUGGUUGCCUAUCUUAUUGGGGCUGCUUCUUCUCCAAACCUUGGGUCCUAGAGAUGUUGAUGAUUGGCGAAACGGUUCUCUGCCUGAAAUCGCCAACCCCUCAGAUUAUGAACGUAUUGUAGACCGGCGUUUCCAUGGUGCUUAUGAGGUCAGGACCCUUGGACAAAGGGAAGUUACCGACCAAAGAGAUUAAAAACGCAAAAUCUCCCCAUAGUUAUUGAGGAGACAACGCGAGAAUCUCCAAACAAAAGGAAGAAGACCGCCAAGUCCAUGACCGCUACCUCAAACAAUGCGACGCAGAGCGGAAGCAAACCGUGUGACGGUGUGAGAAGGUGGAAGUCACAGGCUGCACAGCCUGCCAGUUUCGGCUAACAUUUUGGUCAUCUUCCCUUAUGGUUUCACUUGAAUUUUUCUGUGACUUCUGUUCAAGGCUAUAUUUUAUGCAACUGGUUUUGCAGGACGCCGUUUUUGAGGAUUCGCUUGAUGGGGUUUGGAUAUUAAGUCUCCCGUCUCGUGUAUCAAUAAAUUUUUCUACGUCCCGCCCCCUCAAGCGAAUCCUCAAACAAAAACUCUAAAAGCCAAUCCCAUAAUGAAACCAUAGUCAUAAAAUUAAAUUGCACCCUAUUUUUCUUAACUGAGAUACAAUUGAUCAGCUAACCCCAUUACUAAUUACCCGAUUAACUACAAACUAAUAGCAAUUAGCUGAUGAUUAAGAACAUCAAAAAACAUCUACUCAAUCAAUUUCUUCCUUCCCAAAAUACCCUUUUCCGGUUGGUUUCUUCCUCAGCGUUUCUUGCCGUGAAUCAACAACGCCUUCUCUUUCUUCUCCUCCUGCUUUCUCCUUCCACCUCUGGUUUGCUUCUCCUUCGCCGGCUUCUUCUUCCCCUUUUUCUCAGCAGCUGCCACGCCCUGUCCUGACCUAGAUGGACGGCCGUGAUGAUGGCUUGGGCCGGACGAGGCAUCAGAGACCAUUGAAUCGUCACUCUCUUCACCCUUACGAUGAACACCAUAAUUUUCUCCACCUUCAUCGUCUUCUUCGUGAUGCAUGCCACCGUCGUUUUCGCCUUCCAGGCGGGAGCCAAUGUACAUCGUCCACCCGGAUUCACUGCUGUGGCAUUCCUCCGCACCUCCAAGCAUUUUUCCAGACUCCAUAACUGAAUUAACAGAUCAAACCCAACAGAAAACUGAAUUAACUGAAACCAAAAACAGGGGAAAACAGAGUAAAAACACAGUAAAACAGAGGAAAAUAGAAUUAAGAUUUCUUAUUGCAACACGUGGAUUGCCCUGUCGAUAGGAUCUUUCUCUUUAACCGACUGCGUCUCGCAUUCAAACCCUCCCCUCUCACCUUAGUUUAGCUUUAAGGUAAUAAUAUCGCUUGUAAUCAAAUUAAAAAAGAAAAGAAAAGUUCUUAUAAAGAGAAGAGAGAGUAAAGCUUACCAAUCUCACAUUUGAAAGCAAUGCCACAAAAGCCAGAAGCACUUCUCUCCCUCUACUUAUACAAAAAGCCAAUAAGCUGCCUGCAAUAACUGAGAGUGCUACUACCACACUGCCUGGAAAUCUAAAUACCAAUUAAUUCUCCGGCUUUUUUACUGAGCAGAAAGACAGCUAGCCAGCUAGAAGCUGCUGUCAAAGAAAGUGAAACAAUCCAUCCUGCACAUACCAAAGCUUAAAGCUUUUGCUAUCUCUCAUGAAUUUGAAAGGACAUUGGUGGUUGCUCACUCACUAGGGCUCAUUGGGUUUCUCUCCCCAAAGGUGAAGCCUUAAAUGCAGAUGCAGAAAGAAAAAACCAGAGAGAGAGAGAAUAACAUUGUAUGAGUUCCAUACAAUAGGACCUCUUCUCUAUCUCAUUUUGCUUUCACACCUUUAAUAAAAAUCCCUACUUGCCAUUUAAAAUGGAACACCCUUUCUCAAUGGAACAUGUUCGUUGUUACUGUAGUGUCGCAGUCUAAUUAUAUAUUGUCAUUGGGGUGUCACGGUCUAAUUAUAUAUUGUCAUUGUUAAAGAAUGCAAUCUUGCAUCGAAAACUUGGAUAGACGCAAUAUCUUACUACUUAUGAAUGAAUGGUUACAUUAUUAAUUACAUUGAAGCCGUUUGUGAUAAAAUUUCACACAUACUGAGUUAUGCAUGUGGUUAAGUUGAGAUAAUAUCGAUGUGAUUAGUUGUAGACAACUAGCCCAAUUCUGAAAUCUUAACAAUUAUGUGUAGAAAAACUUACCAUUACAAUGAAUUAUUGAAUCAGAAUAUCAUAUGAUAAUGAAUCAGUCAUAUGUAAGUCUUACUUCCUUCUUAUAAAGACAAGAAUUUGCAUAACUAAGAUCAUUGUGUCACAAACAUAUCACAAGUUGUUAUGUGUUUUAACUUUUUCUCGUAUAACAGUUUUGAGAGAAACGUCACAUUAGCAUUUCUCUUUUGUGUGAGUUCUAUCUUGGAGUUGUAGGUUUUAUUUGAUCAAUAGAUAGGAACUAGUCAAAAACCUAUGUCUGCUAGGGGUAGCUAUGUUCUCCACCAAAUUGAUUGUUUUGAUGAUGUGUGUCUCCUAAAGGCAACGAUUAUGUCUUUUGUUUUGUUAUUGGGGGAAGAGAAGAAAACAGAACACAGGUCCUAAUCCUUUUAACAGCUCAAUAAUCCCAAUGUGCAAUCCAGCUUGCUAUGUUAAUUCAAUAUAUUUUAAUACUGUCGACAUCGUUUCAAAAAAGGACUUGGAUUGUCUGCCCUUCCAUUUCUAUGCCCUUCUCGUGCCCUCCUAUUUUUGUGAUCACGGUUAAACCACGUCAACAUUUUAUAUUACUAUUUCUUUUUGUUUUAUUAUUUUUAUAAAAAAAUAAUAUAAAAUAUUAAUGUGGCUUAACCGUGACCGCACAAAACAGGAGGGCACGGGAAGAGCACCGAAAUGGGAGGGCAGACAAUCCAAGUCCUUCAAAGAAUACUAUCAACACCCAAAAAUUAUAUAUAAUAAUUUGUGAUGGAUUCGUAGCAUAUAUAUAUAUAUAUAUAUAUAUAUAUAUAUAUAUAUAUUUUUAGGUUCAUUUUGUAAUGUAUUUAAACAAUUUGAAUUAUUUAUCUUUUAAAUUUUUAUUCAAAGAUCAUGUUUAUAAAAAAUUAUCUAAAUUUAAAAUCAUAUGAUCGUUGAAUUUAGAGUUUAAGAUUUCUUUGUAAAAUCGUAUUUGUUCAUUUUCUUCACUACAAAUAAAUAUCUUAAUGGUUUUGGAUUUAUCUAAUUUUUGCAAAAAUAAUAUAUGAAAUUAUAAAUGAUGUUCUGAAAGAUAAACAGUUCAAAUAGUUAAAAAAAAAAACAUUACGAAAUGAGUUUCACAAAAACAUAUAUUCAAUUGUGUAAAAAAAGUGAUAUUAUGGAUCCAACUAAUAAUAAUAUUAUUUAUGAAUUAUUAUAUCACUAAUAUUAUAUAUUUAUACAUGUUGCCGCAAAUAUUGAAAUUUCAUAUCAACUUAUCAGAAAAUUCUUGAAGAAACCAUGUGCUUGUCUUGUUAUUUAUUGCUCUCCUUCUGUGCUUCUUGUACUGCUUUCGCGAGGAGGUAAGUUUGGAUGGGUGAAUUUAUAGUGAUCCAUCGGACAGAUAUCUUGAUCGAUCGGACAGAUAUCUUCCACAAGCAAAAGUAAAAGUAAAUAUUUACUUCUGCAAUAACUCUUGAAACGACAUACAUUGUUGGAUAUCCAAAUCUCAUCUUCUCCUCUCUCUCUCUCUCUCUCUCUCUCUCUCUCUCUCUCCCUCCCUCUCUCUCUCUCUCUCUCUCUAUAUAUAUAUAUAUAUAUAUGUGUGUGUAAAGUUAACAAAGAUGUUAAUAUAGUUUAAUCGCGGACGUUCAAAUACUAAGGGAUUGGAGAGAAGAAAAAAUAAGAGAGGAAAGAAUCUGAAUCCUUCACUUUUGUAAGCCCUAAUCAGUAUCCAAUGCAUGAGCAGAUGAGAUGAGCUGCUGACAUUAUAAUGUGCAAACUCUAGAAGCCAAUGGUAAAAGGCCAGUGCCCUAUAAUCCAAGAAGAACUUCCUUACAAUGAGAUGACUCUAUAACGACAUUUCAAACUAAUCACAAACUAUACUGUAAGAUGUGCUUCUGGUAGAUAUGAUUUUCGCCUAUAAAAUGCAUGGAUAUAUAAUUGACAACUCGUGUGAUGGGGCCCUCUUUGAUUAGGAAAGGGCAAGAACAAAACGAAGUUAAAGAGUUUAAUAAUCCAGAGGGUUUGGGGAACACCAUGCCACCAAUACUUUUGAGCAUGAUUUUUGGCUGUUUCCCACUUCCAAUUUCUCUUCAGUGGCUAGAAUCGAACCGCUUAGCUACCAUACAACACACACAUAUAAAUACACACAUAUAUAUAAUAUUAGGAGGAGGAGGAGGAGACAGGGGUGAGGCCCAUGCAUAAGGUAUUAUUCUUGCUGCUUGUCCUUUUGCGGUGAUCACGUCCCGAUUUGCUUCUCCCUUGUCUUCCUUCCCACGUGAGUACUGUUUUUGCAAUCGGACAAUGUUUGUCAACGCUGGUUUGCUUCUUUAUUAUUGACACAAAACAUCAUUAUAGAGAAAUAUAGUCGUGUCGUACAAGUUACUCUUAACAAAGAGAACAUUUUUACUUAAAGGCUAAGAGUUUUCUCAAAAUAAACUUCACAAGUGCAUGUAUGCACUCUAUGCCAAUACAUAUUUAAUCCUUAUAUAUAACGGUCAUCCAUCACUAUGUUUAAACCGUAAUAAAAUUUAAUAAUUUUAAGUUCAAGCAGUUUGAGGCACAUCAUGUCAUUGAAAUAAACGAUGUGCAGAACGCUACAGUGACAGUUUACUCAUGUCAUAUAAAUCUUUCUCGGCUUGAAGAGGGUUUGCCAUCGAUCUGGACUACAUUGUACAGCCGAUUGAUGUAAACCCUAGACAGUAAAUGCAAGCAUGCCAAGGCACAGUACUAGUUGUCUCUGUAGGAAAUUUUACUCCGAAUAUUUCAUGGAAAUUGUUAUAUAUUUUGCAUGAAAUGUGACUAUUAGUUUACGUGACAUUGCAUGAAAUGUGACUAUUAUUUCUAUGAACAAAAAAGAAAUAAGCUUAGGGAAGAUUUGAGGAAAUAAUGGAGGGGGUUUGAGCAUUGGUUGAUGGGUGUAGACAGAGCUCGAGCAAUGUUCGAGGGAGCCUCUUACAGCAUCUCUAAUGGAGUUUUUCGAAUUAAGCGCUCAUACAAGGUUUAUAUCAAGAGUAUUAAUUUUAAAUAGGAAAAACAAAAUGACCUUACAUGUACUUAUGAGUAAGUAGGUUACUCCUCUAAAUCUCUUGUACUAUGUUAUUUUUACCGAAAUAAAAAUUCAGUUUUCGAUCAAAAAAUUAGACUACUCCUCAUAUUGCUAAUUAAUUUUAUAGUGGAAUCUCACUUUUCUUUGUUUUAGAACAAAAUAGUUGUUUUACUAACCGACGGCCAAAAAUUGAAAAAGGUGUGUGUAUAGCACCGCUCUUUGAACAAGGACAAAGACGAUGCCUAUAAGAUCGAAUAUAUCGUGUGUGUGUGUGUGUGUGUAGGAAAUCUUUAAGGGAAGGGAUCUCCAUUUUUUUUUUUAUAAAAAUGAGGAUUAGUUGUGGAAUCCACAUUACAUCCUUACAAAAUAUUAGCCAAAUCGAAAAUGUUUAAGACAUCUAAUUGGGUUCAAAGAAAUUAACAAAUACUUUGUUAUAUAAGAAACAAUGAAAUUUUAUCUUGAUAAUUAAAUAGGUAAAUGGUUUCGGAUUGAAUUUAAUUUUUACAAAAAUGAUCUAUGAAUCGAGACUUACAAAAUAGACGGUUCAGAUCGUUAAAGUUCGAUGUGGAGUGGGCUCCACACCUAAUCCCUAUUUUUUGAAAAAAAUGAUAAUCUCUCUUGUUAAAGGAUCUGCUAUAUAUAUAUCCUAGUAUUAUUCUGCAUCAUAUGUUGCUAGUUAACCUAGCAUCCACAUGUGAUACUAGAAAUAAUACAUGCCUAACUAUAGUCAAUAUCCUUCCAAGAAAAAAAGACGACAUAUUCAUUCUCAAACGUGCACUUCUUUUUUAAAUAAUUAUCUUGUUUCGAAAGACAAUUGAAUGGAUUAAAUUAGUACACACGAAAAAAUCAUUUUGGUCUACCAUAUUUGUUUUCAGUCUAAAGUUUGACUCGCAUGAAUAAAGGUGACGAUAACGAAUAUAUAUUUGUGAUGAAUUUGUUACAUAGUUUAAUGACGUAAAGCUUUCUUUUAUUUAAACAAUAAUCUAAUCUUAGACUCUUACGGUGAGAAAAAAUCGAAUUUGAGUGCAUAGGGAUAAAAACUAUGCCUUAGAACUUGGCUACACCCUGAUCUGUUUUAAUAACGUAGGUCACACCCUUCUUUCAGUUAAGAUGUAAUUUCAGCGGCGUCACCUGUCCACUAUAUGCUUUUUGCGUGUUCAGAGAAUGUACCAUCUAUCUAAUAGACACCAACCACGUCGAGAAUUGGUGAUAAGAGAGUCUCUCCUCGUUGCAUUGUAAAGUCUUUGCAAAUAUUCUAGGGGUGUGAUAUCCACACAUCUCAUUUUACUUCUCACACACCUUUUUAAUUUUCGAUCGUCGGAUCAAAUGAAUUGAAGAAGAGCAACAGACAAAAUUUAUCAAGGGUUAUGUGAGAAGUAAAAUGGGAUGUGUGGACACACACCAUAUUCUAUUGUUUUGUAAAAACAGAAUACCAUUCAUUUGGGCCAAUUGAAUCGUCAAAAUAGGCCCACGUCCAAAAUCGGAUACAUCCAAACCGGGUCAUCUUAGAUUGCAUGACCCGAUUAAAUAUUCCGGUCAAAAACCGUUGAAGUAGUUUUGCGUACGCUUUUCAAAAGUCAAUCGCCUUUUAAUCUUCCCCUAACACCGACCUACGACGCCUUCCGCCGGCUCCUCCACCGCCUCCGCCUCCGCCUCUCCAAAUUCUUGGGUUUGAUGGAGGAAAUAAUGGGUCUGUUCGGAAUCAGUGAUUUGGUCAAACUCAACUGGGAGGAGGAGUCGUACCCAGUGCCCAAUGACUUCCUUGUCCUCCCCUUGUUCGUUCUUCUCUUCCCUUCACUCCGGCUCUUCCUGGACAUCUUCGUCUUUGAGGUACAACUCCUGGUACUCUCAAAUUUACCAGACAAUUGAAUUUUAUUGUAUUUUGGAACGGAACUAGUUUUGCACUCCGUAAUUAUUUGUGGGAGAAGAUGAUUUAAUUUCGAUUUCAUUCACUUGAUGCUGCUUUCCUUUUUAUCAACAACUGUUUUGUGAGAUUUGAACUCGCUACGUGCUCCAAUAAGGCGGAGACUGAGUGCCGCUAGACCAAAUGAUCACGUACAUUCGCUUGAUGUUACUUUAGUACCAUCAAAUUGUAGAAAAUGGUAAUAAAAUUGGGUCUCAGGCUGCAUUGUUAACAUUUACAGUUUAAAGUUGUGAUCUUUUGGCUCUUAUUUUGUUGGGUUUUUAAUUCCUAGUAUUGUCAUUCAUGAAAGUUGUGUUCCUUUCGCGGUUACUGUUGAAAUCCCCAAAUGAAUGCAAUCCCACGGAUUCCAAUUUUGUGCAAAGAUAAUUACCAUGCCCAACUUAUUAGUCAUAUGGAAAUCCUAAGCUCGGAAAACUUCUUUUGUAUCAAUGUAUGAGAAAUGCAAAUCUCACCAUCUGAAGCUUUUCGUCGAUAUAAUGUUGAUCCACAUUACAUGUUUCAUUGCUUUGAGGGGGCCUAUAUCUUUGGUAGACUUGAAAACUAUGGUCCUUACUGUUUGAAUUGUACUUUAUGCUUUUUGUUUUUUUGGCAGAGAUUAGCAAAGCGCCUUUUGUUUGGAAAGAAGCAUGCAUUGGUGAAUGUUGAGACACGCGAUAAUCGGAAGAAAGUUAGUAAAUUCAAAGAGUCGGCAUUCAAAUGUGUGUAUUUUUUCACUGCAGAGAUUUUGGCCCUUUCUGUUACAUACAAUGAGCCUUGGUUCACCAAAACCAGAUGCUUUUGGGUAGGGCCUGGCAAUCAGAUUUGGCCCGACCAGAAAACUAAGUUCGUCUCUUAACUCAGUUUAGAAAUCAUUGUUCAGUGUCAAAAGUGAAUAGUAGCUUUAGUUUACUUUGAUUUCUGAUCAUAUGUGUAAUUUUGCUCUACAAACAAUUGCCUUUUGCAUCUCACUUGGCCUUGCAUAUUCCCUUUUGGCAGAUUAAAAUUGAAGGCACUUUACAUGUAUUCCGCUGGAUUCUACAUCUACUCCACCUUUGCUUUGGUGUUUUGGGAAACAAGGCGUUCUGACUUUGUGGUGUCAAUGGCUCAUCAUUUAGCAACUACAAUUUUAAUUGUCGCGUCUUACAUAUUCAAGUUAGUUUUAAAGCAUUUCAGCUUGCUUCUUCGCUUUUUGUUAUUCAGGCUUGCCUCUAUCUUUUCUGGUGUCUUAAUGAUCUGUUUUGUCCCCCUGCAGGUUUUCUCGAGUUGGCUCGAUCAUUUUAGCUCUCCAUGAAGGAUCUGAUGUGUUUUUAGAAAUUGCAAAGUUGUCAAAAUAUUGUGGCUUUGAAAUUCUUGCCGGCGUUGCUUUUGUUACUUUUGUUCUCUCUUGGACAGUACUACGUCUUAUUUACUUUCCAUUCUGGAUAAUAUGGAGUACCAGGUUAGCUAAAUAUGCAGAGAGAAAUUUUCUGUUUUCCUUUCGCCGUUAACAUUGCAUAAAGAAUAUCAUAUACUUGUUGAAUUUCCUCCUUAAAUGACGUUUUUUUCUCGUUAUGUCAUAUACAAAGAUUGAUUUUUGGUUCCAUUUGUUUCUGGCAGCUAUGAAGCUCUUCUGAAGUUGGACAAGGAGAAGCACAUAGUGGAUGGAUCUAUAUACUAUUACUUGUUUAAUACUCUUCUAAUUUGCUUGCUCAUUUGUCAUGUUUAUUGGUGGAAGUUGAUGGUUCGGAUGCUCGUGAAGCAAAUUCAGGCUAGAGGGAAAGUUGAUGACGACGUUCGAUCAGGUAACAAGUUAUUCCAUUCAUAGUUCAUAAGUUGGACAGAUAUCUUUACUUGCAUAGGGGAAAACGGUAAUUGAAAAAUAGGAUUACCAGCUAGAAACCAUGAUAGCAACUGGCCGAAAAAAAUGAUUUGAGGUUUAGGGUUGUUUUUUUCAAACCAACGUCAUAUGUUUUCCCCCGCUCACGCUACCUUUCAUGUGGACUGCAGAUUCUGAAAGCGAGGAUGAUGAACACGAAGACUGACAGUAAAAAGACAGUGUUCAAACUCACCGGGAGAGUCAGCCGGAGAUAGGUCUGUGCUUUCACCAUAGGGUAGCUCGUCGUGUGAGGUGGUGCCUAUGAAUUCUUUAGAUUACAUUCAAACAUUUUUUCCGAGAUCCAUAUAAUGUCGUAUAAACAGGCAAGCGAAUCUGUUCGUCCAUUUUUUCGUAUUCACACGAGCAAAUGUCUAUGUAUUGUUGAUAUCUGUAACACAGUUGAGUGAAGCGAAGAGGUAGGAUGAAAAAACACCAUAGUUUUUUAUACUAAAAUUACUAUCGUUCGAGUUGUAGUUGUACCAUAAUCAAGUUCUUGGUUUAGCGGUAUUUAUCUUCUCAGUAAUUGAAGAUGUUCCAAGUUCGAAUGAUUUGCGUCAGCAUUUUCGCUGUUCUUCCUUUCAUUAAUCCAAUAAAAUGAACAAAAUAAACUGCUUUGUAAUUAAACUUGCAGCUUGCUUAAUGAAUCGAAAUUAUUGUAUUUGUAACUAAUCGAAAAAAUUCGAGUCCAGGGAGACGAGCAGUUUGAUAACUUACAAGGUAGAAAAUCAAACAGUUGAGAUAGGAGCACGAUAACGAUAAACCAAUGCACAAACUGCCAAUCCUACAGCAAAAAAGUAAGAAACUGUGUAAUACUGGAGGAGCUGCUAUAAACUCAGUUGCCCUAUCGACCCUUGAGUACAAAAGAAAACGCACGACGUGACGUCUGGCUUCAAGAACGUUUGCCGAAAUGUGCAAAGUCGACGCGUGCAGAGAAAGUUCGUUUUCAUACUUUCUUUCCUUCUAUAUUAUCUCAACUGGAGAACUUGGAGAUCAACUUGUCCACAUGGAUCAGGAUAUCGUCAAUGCGAGGGCGGACUGCAGCCUGCGGCUGAAGCAUCCAUGUGAUGAACUGGUGAAGAGCGUCCGGAUAUGGAGGAUUAGGUCCAGCUGGCCACUUUAUCUGCACGUUGACUAUCGCCAAUUGUAGGCUUCCUCCAGAUUCGCCGAGUGCAUAUUCAAAUGGAGACAUUCCGUACCUUUUAAAUAAGAACUGGGCAUCAGAACUGAGAAAAAAUAGCUACAGCAGCUAAAUAGAGGCGUAGUUUUGCUUCCAUGGCGGACAAGAAUGAUGCUGAUUACAGUACCAAUCGAGUAUUUGGCAGUAAGCCGUUAAUAUGCAAGAUAAAGGUGUCAUGUCCAUGGCAGAUACAGUUAUGUAUAUGUAAUAUGUAUGCAUAUAUAUAGGGGUGUGCUAUCCACACACCCCAAAUUACUUCUCACACACCCUUGUUAAUUUCUAUCCGUUGAUCUUCUUCAAUUCAUCCGAUCCGACGGCCGAAAAUUAGAAGGGUGUGUGAGAAGUAAAAUGGGGUGUGUGGAUAUCACACCCCUAUAUAUAUACACAUUAAAACAGUUUCUUAAACAAUCCAACAGAAAACGUUCACUAUGAAGUAGUGAGGCAGAAGGCAAUAAGAUGUUCAAACUUUAGAGCUAUAAUAGAAAGUUCAAGAAAGAAAGCUCUGUACUCACAGUAUUGCAUACAAAGUGCAUCCCAAGGACCAUACAUCAGUCCUCUCGUCAAUAUCGGCUUGGCUCGGGCAAUCCCACAACUCUGGAGCUCGAAAUGGUGCUGAGCAAUGCUCAGACGCCCAUUCCUACAUAACAAGAAAGAAAAAUCAACUCAAUAGUUUUUUCAACUAAAAGUUUCCAGACAAGUGAACCCAACAAUACAAAGGUGUCCUUUUACGGUAUUAAACCUAUUAAACCAAUUGAAAUCAAAGAGGUACAUAUAAGCAACAUCAGUUUGUAGGCAUUAAGUAAGCAUACUGAAAAAAAACAAUUGCAGUUACAACAACAAUAACAAAGCCUUUUCCCACUAAGUGGGGUCGGCUAUAAAGAGGUGGGGGGAUGCAACACGAGGAAAAAAAACAAUUGCAGUUACUACAACAAAAAUAAAUGUGUUUAGGAAAAUCUAAAAUGAUUUUAAAACAUAUACCUGCAACUGUAGUGCCUCUGUACGAGAGCGAAUUUGCCUCCUCGCAGGUCGAGCACUGCCAAAAUCCAUCAAUAUUGCAAGAGGUGAUUGUCCUUUUCUAUGGGUUAUCAGAACGUUACCAGGUUUGAUAUCAUUAUGUGCAUAUGGCGGAUCCAAAGUGUGCAUAUGCUUGAGUCCUGCACAAAGCUGCGACAUUGUUUUUUCUAGGUUAGAACGCUUUUGAUGCUUCUAAAUAUGUUUUACCAACAAGAUAAAUCAUCGUGGGACAUGGAAAAGAAAUCUGAACAUGGCACAUCAAUUGCCCCAGAACUUGGUAGCAUUGUUGAAGGCUAAUUUACAACGGAAAAAGAGAGGAAUGAUAUAUUCAUUGACCUGCCGGAAUAUUUGAAGAACAUCUGAGGUGGAAAAGAACUCCUUUUUAGCUUUCAUAGUCUUAGCAUUAUCCAGUAAAGUUCCAUCCAGAUGAACUGGAAAUAACAAGUAUGCUUCAUGGUUCCAAGAUUGUUCUUGUGUUGUCUGUCAGCCAGAGAGUAUUAUAUACGAAUCAAUUGCAUGAAAAAUAUUAAGAAAACUGAAAACGAUGUUUGAUUUCACGGAAGGCUACCAUUCUGAGAAGAAAAAACCCAAAGUAUUGUAUAAGCCAUAUGAAAUUAAGUAUUCCAGAUUUUAACCUUAACGGCAAUAAUGGCAUGAUCAAGAAGUGGAAGCAGAUUGGGAUGACUGAACAGCGAUGAAACACGGAUCUCCUCCUUCACCAACUCCAACUGCUCACUAUUCUGAAUGAGAACCUUUUUCAAAGCAUAAGUUCCAUCAUCUGCAAAAGAGUCACACUUUAAACUCGAUUCAGCAAAUUCAAUGGCCAAAUCACCAUUGCUUCCCAGCUCAGAGAAUAAAAACCAAUAAUUUCAGAUUCACAUAUCCAAAUGACCCAGAUCACGAAUUCCUCAAAGAUACAGGCUUCAACCAUUUUCGAUUCAAAUCACUGCAACCCAGAUCACAACAUCCACAGCUCACUACCCAGAUAACAAAACUUAAAACAGAUCACUAACCAGAUCCCAAAAUCUCACAAACACAUAAAAAAUCAACAAAAUUCCAGAAAUUGAAUCACCUGAGACAUGAGAGGGAUCCUUGAAUUUCUUGGCGAGACCCCCACCGCCGGAGGCGGAGGAGUCGGCGACCACCUCCUUGACCAAAAACACAUAAGCGAACCCACCUUCCCCGAGCUGCCUCACGAUCUUGAACCGAUUCUCGUUAAUCCACACGUCGCCUCCGCCGUUCACGGCGUCGUACAGCGCGCCCAAACCAGAGAAUGUGCACCCCAUCUGGUGUACUCGUUCUUCAGCUGCUGAUCCUCUCUCCCUCUCCAAUAAAUAAAUAAAUCCAAAAACCAAAAAGGGAUGUUUUCAAAAACGGAAUCUGGUUUUCGAAAACGGAUUCGGAAGAGCUGAGGAGUUCAUGUCAAUCAGUCAAUGGAGGAGGAGGGCAAUGUGAAUGAGUUUGAGUGUGAUUUGGUGUUGGAUCUCUCAAAUGACAAAUCUGAGCCAAACACAUGGAUGCUUUUUUUCGGUUCUUGAGUCACUCUCACUUCCCCUCCAUUUUUUUCGGUUAUGUCCUACCGAAAACCAACCUUUUCUGCUCAAACGCUCAAAGCAAUAUAAUUAAUUUUGAAUUGUUUUUUUUUAUUGUUUUUAAGAAAUUGAUAUAAAUUGAUCAUUUCUCGAAUUUCAAUUACUAAAACGAUCAUUUUUUCGAUAGAUAUUUGAUGUUUUAUGUCGUCAGAUUUUUGGCCAAGCCAUUAAUAUUUAUUUCUAGUCUAAUUUUAUUUAAGACGUUUUUUUAAUGAGUUUUUUAACGCAGUAAAAAAAACAUAUGUCAUUAAUAUUUAAUUUUUAGUCUAAUUUAUUCAAAAUGGUUCUUUUAAAGAAUUUGUUAAUGUGGUCAACAAUUACACCCUCCUAAAAUUCGAAAUAUUGUCCAUAAUUCACUUACUUCGAAUUUUGUUGUUGUUGAAAGUUGUGAUGUGCUUCUCUAUAUGAAAAUUUUAAAUCAUCAACCAUUCGAGCUUUUACGGUCAUAAAAUAAUGUAAAACACAGAUCAAACGGUAUUAUCAUUCUAUUAUAUAUAUUUUAAAAAUAAUAAGUAAACCCGCCUUAUGUAAUGGUUAAACAUCUUAUACUCGAUGAAGUUAAUAAGUAAACCCGUUACAUGUAGUGACUAAAAGAGUUAUAUGUAUGUCGAACGUUGGGGUUACAAGUUGCAGCAUUUAAAACUUAUGGGUGCGUUGUCCCUGUACACGAUAGUACGAUACACGAUCGAUCAGACAGUUACUGUCUGACUGGCGAUGAAUCUACGUUCUUCCAACUACCAACUUCCAACUUCCAAGUGACUACCAACUUCCAAGUGAGUGAGGAUCCUCGCCGGAUUCUUUUUGUGAGGAUCUAAAGAUCCUCAAAUCACAUUCGUUUAUCGUAUAUCAUGCGAUCAGAAAUUAUUAUAAAUUUUUUUAUUUAAAAUUGAAUAUAAAUAAUAUCUGACGAAAACUGACCGCAUGAUGUACAAUGAACGGAUUUGAUUAGAGGAUUCCGAAAUCCUCACCAGCGAGGAUCCACUCUCCCAACCGACAACUCGAAGCUAAAAAUUAAGCAAUAUUACCACAGUAAAAAAUUAAGCAACAUCACUUGGGAUUCAGUUACCCUCAGUUGGCCAAAUUUAGACUUGCAGGCAGGGAAAACAAGAAACUGCCAAAUUUAGACUUGCAGGCAGGGAAAACCAGAAACUUACUGCUAUGAAAAUUUCAUAACCAUGAAUGUUAAAUGGUUGAAAGCUCUGUCAACGGAAAGAUUUCACAAGAAAGCGAAAAAAUUUCGUGCUGCAGUUACCUGAAAACCUGCUCAAGCAAGCUACCGAUCCUAAACCGAUGAACUUAGAUGUUUCACAGUAGUUAUAGAAAUUGAAACGUUUAAUUUGCAAGCAAUCGUCAUAUAAAAGACACUCAGCUGUUUCCGAUGAUGCAAUGUAUAAAUGUUACGCAACUCGAUUGAACAAGAUUUCGUCGUAGCAAUAUUAGUACACCAAAAGCUCAAUCAACAAGAAUUAUGAUAACGUCUUUGUCUCUAGAGUCUAGACAUAGGCACUUUAUUACCUUGUACUUCAGAGGCUUGCAAGCCAUACGCUGUAAUGUUAGAACAAUUCGGAGAUUAGCGGUCUCUGCUUGAUUGAGUGCCCAGGACCCGAAUGGAACUGAUGAAUCAAGCUAUGUAGUUCCUGUUUGAGCUUAAUCUCGCACAAAUGGUUUCUGCACUAUGCAUGAAAGCAAUCAUUGUUGACUAUACUGAGUGAAACGCGUGGUUGUUGUUGAGUAAUGCAGUGUAUAUUUCCACCCGCGAGGACAAUCUCCCUUGCACCUUCAAUUCUUACCACCUGACCAACCCGACAGUAUAAAUUAGGCUUGUUCAGCGAUAGAAAACGUGGCAGAAACAAACAUCAGUAAAUAUAAAAGAAGAUGAAUCCAUUUUCAUCUACAAACUACGUAAAACUGGUCUUGUUUGUUUCCCCUAGCGUUGAAAAGAGACCGCUUUGUAUCAUAUUAUACUCACUUUCACAAUGUUAUUAAGCCUAGCACAGCAUACACUAACGAUACGUUUUACAGUCUCACGAUUGCAGCUAAUAAAAUCACAGGGUGGGUGAGGCUUUAUAAUUUGCAGGUCCAAGAAGUUCGUACUUUUGGAUGAUGUAUACGAUUAUAUUUAAAACGUAUAUGAAGAUGCUGGAGAAAAUCAACAAUAAAUGAAGCUUACUUCAUGGUUUGGAAAGGCUUUGGAUAGGACGCGAACAGCCUCAUCAUCCCAUUUCUGGUCCCCAAAUUGGGGUGCAAUGAUGGCUCCAUUUGCAAUGUAGAAAUUUACAUAUGAAGCAGCAAGUCUGGUGCCUGCAAGUCUCGGUUUAGCUUCACACUCCUCCUGUAGGAACAUUGAACACCAGGAAUAAAAUUAGGCACCAAAGCAUUUCAAAAAAGUUAACGAAAACGUAACCAUCAGACUAAAUCAACAUUUUCAGAUGUUAAAUUAGCCUUCAGCUGGAUGUAUUCAUACUUAGUUGAAGCAACAUGAAAGUUGAACCGUGGUCUGUAGUGUACAAUGUCUACCUGAAAGAGCCCAGCAGCCUCUUUCUCUGUCAUGUAUAGCGGCCCUGGUACGUGAAGUUUUAUUAUUUCUAAUUUCCUACCCUUGGCAUCAGUAGUAUUGGAGAGAACAGAAACGGCUUCUACAGCUCUUUCAUACUGAGGAUCUGUUUCAUCAUCCGUCCAUGACAACAAAACCACACCAGGCUUUACAAAACAGCACAUAUUGUCGAUGUGACCAUUAGUAUCAUCGUCUCCUGUCAAGGAUUUUUAUACCUAGUUUAGGUUUCAAUGAAAUAGGUGGCCUGAAUUGGACAUAUAAUGUAAUGUAAAUCAUCACAAGGGGAAGGAAAAUUGAGCAUCAGUAACAACGAGCAUUUCAUGUAAGAUAGUAAAUUAGAAACCGAGUAGAGUUCUUACCAUAUAAUCCACGAGGCAACCAAAUGAUUUUCAUCACUCCGAGAUACGCCUUAAGUUGAUCCUCUAUUUGCUCCUUGGUCAAAUGUGGGUUCCUAUUUUUAUUUAACAGGCACUCCUCGGUGGUGAGGCAAGUCCCUGAAGGAAGAAAGCAGAUUCUGAUUCGAUCAUGAAGAUUACAACUACAUACUGGCAGAGAGAAUGAGUUUUUGUAAUGGCUCUUUUUGUGCCAAAAAGAAAAAUAUGCAGGGUUCUGAAAUUUUACGAGACGAGGCACAUGGUAGUACAAAUCAUAAGCAGCUACUGCCAAUUUUUGUAGUAUAAGAAUAAAGACUACUGAAACAGAAAGAGAUAUAGGGUGAAGUCUAAAGUGGUGCAAUUGCCAAUCAAUCAAAAGCAGGGUUUUGACACAUAAUUAAGAAACAACAGAUUACAACAACGACCAGAGAAUCCCGUACAUUUAUGAUCCAAACAGUUUCAAGGCAUGGAUCCAGGAAGUAAUCUGCUGCCGGUGAAAGCCAAUUCUAAGAUAAAGAGGCAAGACAUUUCCAAAUGCAAAGAUAAGCUUAAAAUCUUGUUACCUUCUCCAUCGACAUGGAUGCUUCCACCUUCAAGAAUCAUGGAGUGUUGAAACCUUGGAAGCUUCUCAAUUGCCAGGAUCUGCAGAGUAUGAGUGUUCGGAAAACUAUUAAGCAGUGUCUCAAAGAACAAAGCUAUACGUCAUGUUCAAUCAGACAAUGAUCUAUUUAGUUACUCUAACCUUUUCUGCCACAAGAAGAUCAUGACUCCAAUCUCGAUAACAACCAUCAUCAAUGCCUAUAAAUUCCAAAAAUAAGUCCAUGCAAAAUGCACCGAUGAGUAAACAUCAAAAUGAUGAAAACAUCGAAGUUUCUAACGAUAUUAUAUAUUGUUCAAAAAAUUAUUCUAGUGUUCCGUCACUUAAAAAAUUAUGAACUAUAAACCCUACCUCCCCAGCUGUUGAAAUUCCAAUCAAUACCAGCAACCUUUGGCUCAGGGGUACCAGAACAAGAGGCACUUUUUCCUACGACAAACUAAAGAAGAGAGAAAAAGAUUAGGACUGUAAGAAAAAUAACGCUUUUAAAGGUAAAUAUAAAGAUCAUAGUAUACUGUUAAGGAAUAUCUCAUCAGAACUUGACCAUGAGUCAAAGGAAGAAGCUCACUGUUGGUCCUGUAUCACGAAACCACGAAUCAUUCAAACUCAUCUCGAUAACCCUGACAUUUUCUGGUAGCUGGCUUCGUGCAUUUGCCCACUGAGCGUAAUGAAUUCAAAAUUAAAUCUCAUAUGAGAGUCAUACAAAAGACUAGUAGAGAUACUACAGACUUUCAUCUCUUACAAAUUAUACCAACCUGAUUGGCACUUGCGCAUACAGUCACGGGCUCAAACUUUGAGAUUGCAGAUGCUACCUUGGUAAACACCUGCUGAGCUGGCACUGCAUUGUCUCUCCAGUUAUCCGGGCGUUCCUAUAAUUCACAACAAAGCUUGAUUAUCAUGAGUGUUGGACUUAAGAAAUAAGUAAGAUCAAUACAUUCAUGAAACGAACAUUUGAAGAUUGACAAUAUAGAUUUUACCAGAAAAUGUUAGACUGAUAUCAAUCUUUAGACAAAUAUUGCGAGCAACACCUAACCUAAUAAGAGAACCGAGCCCUACAACAACAACAACAACAAAGCUUUUUCCCACUAAGUAGGGUCGGAUAUAUGAAUCCUAGAACGCCAUUGCGCUCGAUUCUGUGUCAUGUCUUCCGUUAGAUCCAAGUACUCUAAGUCUUUUCUUAGAGUCUCUUCCAAAGUUUUCCUACGCCUUCCUCUACCCCUUCGGCCCUGGACCUCUGUCCCGUAGUCGCAUCUUCUAACCGGAGCGUCAGUAGGCCUUCUUUGCACAUGUCCAAACCACCAUACAACAUACAACAUAGAUCACUGGAUACACCUAUGAUGGCGGAGUAGUAUAUCGAACCUUCACUUGCAGAAACAGGAAAUUAUGUGUUUCUGAUCGGGUAAGAACUGAGAAUUACAUAUAAAAUGCAGAAACAUACCGAAGUAUUUUCCGAAUAACGCGGAAUUAUCCUGCAUUCUUAUAAUUAACAUAGAGCAAGCUAACUCUGCACUCGAAAAUCGACUUUUCCUAGUAACUUGCAAUUCAUGAUUUCACAAACUGAUUUCACAAAUCAAUAAAUUUGGCAGAACUGCACAUGUAACUAAUCAAAACAGAAACAGAAACAUAAAAAUUUCAUAUAUUUCUUGAAGAACAUGAAUUAAAACACAUAUUCUGAAAAACCCAAGAGGCAGAAGAACAAACAGAAGAAUUAUACCAUAUAAAGAUGCAAAAUUGAAGGAACCCAAUUAAGGCAUGUGGGGGGUAAUCAGAUGGUAAUUAAAUGGAAGAGAAGGGUUGGUUACUUACAGGCCAUCCAAUCCAGCACUGGGAAUGGGGUUCCCACUCUGCAGGCAUGUAAUAUCCAUGGACAGCCGGCGUGCCUUCCAUCUUCAUCUCUCUCUCUUUCGCUUUCUUUCUCUAGAAGCGAUGAUCGAGUUUGGAGGAGAAAGAGAGAGGCUGAGAGAAGCUCUGAAGUGGCUUCUGGUGAGUGGGGGCCAAAAAGUAGGUCUUCAGAGAGAUAAUAAAGAAGUGUUGGCUGCUUUUGUCAGUCAGGGUUCCAACUUUAUGGCUCUGUUGAUUUGUAUGAGAAAUGCUUAGGUUAGGUAAGUUUCAAGGACUAGGAUGCUCUCUUCCUCUUUUCAUCUUCUCCUUUCAUAUUCUCUUAUUUUGUUUUUCUCUUACUAUAAAAAAUUAAUAUAAGAUGUUGACAUUGACCGUUCAAUUAGGAGGAGAGGAAAGGGGAGGGAAAAAGAGAGGAGAGAGAAUCCUGCUCCAAGUUUCAAAAUAGACUCUCAGGAUGCGAUCAUACCAACUCACAUGUAUCAGAUCUCAUCAUAACUCCGAAAUUAAGCGAGUCUGGGUGAGAGUAGUACUAGGAUGGGUGAUUUCCUGGGAAGUUCUCGUGUUACAUCCCCAUCUCCUUUUUACCAAUACUUGGUGGUUCACGUGGUAAGGAGCAAGUUCCCCUUAAGUAAGGUUUCGAGUUCGAGUUUUGUGAAUGGAGAAGCCAGCAUUGGGAGAGCUUGCCUCCCAAAUGCGGUCCUUUUUACCAAUGCUUGGUGGUUCAAGUAGUAAGGAGUUUGUUCCCCUUAAGCAAGGUCUCGAGUUCGAGCCUUGUGAAUGGAUAAGCCAGCAUUGGGAGAGCUUACCCCCCCCCCGAAUGGGGUUCGACCCAGCUCGAGGGAUUAGUCCUCGCCUAUGUGCGGGGGAUACCCUCGAUUCAUCCAAAAAAGUAGACUCUCAGUAAAUUCUCCGAACUUCAUAUUUUUGACACAAUUGUUAUAUCAACGUUAUAAAAUAUUAUACCAAAAAUAGAAGGUGGUAGAAAGAUUAUGUAGAGUCACACUUUAAGAGAGUUUUCUUAGCAUUUAACCACACAACAAUUAGGAAACCCACAAUUAUUUUUUUUUAAUUUUGUCAAAGAAAACCCACAAAAUUAAAAACAAACAAAUAUUUAGAUGUACGAUUACUUUAGCCGUUACAUUAGAUUUUCACAACCGUUAUUUUAGCCAUUACAUGAGAUUUUUCAAUAUCAAUCAUUUAUUUCUCGAACCGCUUAAUAUUAUGUGUUAUUGAAAAAAAAUUCAAAUGGUUUAUGUGUUCAUAGUAUAAAAAAUGUGUUAUUAUUGACACUCCAAAAUUUUUAAUGUGCACUCUUCAUAAAUAUAUUUGUCUUACUAAAUAUAUAAAAUUUAGAGUGCCAAUACAUUUAUAUAACAGUUAGAUGUUUAUCAACAUGAAAUUUGAGUAAAUGUAACAUGUGCAAAGUAAUUGUUUGAAAUGUGACAAGCGAACGACGUCAUUUGGCCAGCCACACAUCCCACACAUAAAGAGAAGUACCUCCUGCAUUGGAUGAGAUGAGACCAAUACGAGGCAAUGUGAGUCCAAUAUAGGGCAUCCGUUCUCUAACAAUAUGGUCAAAUGAGUAACGUGAUAACUUGGUCGGACGUAAUAAGCUGCUGCAAUCUGAACUGAGUCUAAGUUCUACAAGCGACUUUCAACUUUUUAAGACAUUAGAUAAUGUGCAAAUUUGGUGCAUCUUUAACUGCAUUUUACUGUGAACAAGUGUUUAGCCAAUAUACCAACGUUUGCCUUAUUUUAUCGACAAGUUUAUACUUUAGGAUGUAGCGUGCUGUACGGUUAACUUUUGUAUUAAAUGAUAAGGGAAUGUAGCUAAAACAAAAUUUAAGCUACAGUAGACGGAUGGGUCUGGCAAUCAAGCUCUCUUUAGCCUUUGCACUUGAGGGCAAAUCUUGAUUUGACCGGAAAAAAACUUAUGCAAGACAAAUCAACGUGAUUUUUUUUUUUAGUACAUCGAUAUUUUUACACUAAGGGGAGGAGGAGUUCGGCUAAGUCAUACAAUUGGUAGCCUAAUUUGGUAUCGAAUUCGCCAUUUACGAGAUUCGAAUCUAAGACCUUUCAUUUUUAAAUGAAGAGGAAUACUACCAGAUCGUAGUACUAAGUGGCAAAUCAAUGUGUUAUUAAAUUGGAAUAUUUCUAGCGUAGAUGAUGGACAAGUCACCUGCUACAUUUUGGCCAAAAUUUAGAAUCUUACAUUUUUCUGGUAACUGAAAGUUAGUGGCGCAAAAAAAAAGGAAAAAAAGAAAGAAGAUUCUUUCCCAACUUGUAGUGAUUCAGUCCAAAUCAACGGUGGUCCCUUCAGGCCACUACCUAAUCCAACGGCUCUGUCUUUGUAAUUUCACAGCUACACCCGAUCUUAUCCAUUUUUUCCUGAGGAUUUUUUUGCAUCUGAUCUGUUUCGCGCGUGCCUCUCAGACUCAACCAACCGCUCGCCGCCAUGUGUCAUCAAUUUCUACAUAAAUCCUUCGCGCAAUCUGACAAGAAUUAUAGGAACAUAUUAAAUUCUCCCAGAAACUCCAAGAAUUCAGAGAAGGCAGUUGCAGCAGCUUUGACACGUACUUUCUCUCCUGAAAAAGGUGUGAGCGCUGAUCACUCUGUGUCGAUCAAAUCUUACAAAGUCUUCAACUUUUUGCGGUUUUAAUUUCUGGGUUUCUGUUUUUUGAUGAUUUCUUCAUCUGGGCAAUCUCCAAUUUCAUGUGUGUUUUCAUCUGGGGAGGAGUUCUUGGAUGCUAAUUAAUCAGUGUUAUUGAAUUGUUAAUUGUUAACUUGAUGUUUGAGCAUGGACAUUUAUGAGUUUCCCAGUUCACAGUUUUGCAAUUUUAUUACUGCUUGGUUCUUGUUCUAUUUUUCUCUUGAAAAUGUUUGAUCACUAGGAAGUUUCCAACUUCAUGAGAUUUUAAAUUUCUGGGGUGAUGUUUCUUGUUGAUUUAUUCAUGUGGGCAAUCUGCAAUUUUCAUUAAUAUUUGGAGUUCGUUUUUGUAUUUCUGUAAUUUUGUCGGCUGGGGAGGGUUAUUGAAUGCUAAUUUAUCAAUAUCAAUGGAUUGUUAAUUAUUAACUUAAUGUUCAACCAUGUACAUUUAUAAUUUUCCCGGUUUAACGUUCUGCAAUUUCACAAUUAGAAUGUUGCUUUUGCUAUGUGUUGAAUCUUGCAGCGUGUAGGAAAUAACACAGAUUUUGAGCUCUAAAUGGUUCAAGAUACAAGUUCUGGUGCUGAAUCACCGCGGCUGCGCACUGGUCUGUUGCGGGAUCAGGUGCAGCUUGUGAAGAGAAAGGAGUGUGAUCGUUAUGAGAUUGUCCAAAUUCCAGAUGUCCUGUCAUUUGAGAAAGGUUUCUUUAUAGUUAUUCGGGCGUGUCAGCUGUUGGCUCAAAAGAAUGAGGGGAUAAUACUAGUUGGAGUGGCAGGCCCCUCUGGAGCUGGUAAGACUGUUUUCACUGACAAAAUGCUCAACUUCAUGCCCAGCAUUGCAGUUAUUGCAAUGGACAACUACAAUGACGCUAGUCGAAUCAUCGAUGGCAACUUUGAUGGUAAAGAAUCUCAACUUUGACGCUAAUAGUUCAAUUAUUCUCCUGUUUUGAGUGAUUUUCCUUUUACAGUAAUUGAGUUCUUUACUUCGUUUCCAAAUUGUUCACUUCCUUUUUUAUAGUGUUCUUUAAAGUUUUGUCCUUCUGAUGUCUUCCUCCAUUGUCAUCUCUGAAUCUUUUUGUCCAAUUUUUGAUCAUGGAAUAAGUGAUUUUACAUCUGAGAGUCAUGGCUGAACUCUAAUUGUCAUAUUGUUUUGGAACAGAUCCACGCCUGACAGAUUAUGAAACAUUGCUUGAAAAUAUACAUGGUUUAAAGGCAGGCAAUCCUGUUCAGGUUCCAGUAUAUGAUUUCAAGACUAGCUCCCGCAUAGCGUACAGGUAGUGCAUCUCUGCAUGAUGUGGAUAUGCUUUGCCACAUACAUAACGUGAUAGCUUUUAUUUUCUUCUGAUUCUAUUGUAUAUUGAUGGUCCUUCUGGUGCUUCUAACAGGACAGUAGAGGUCCCUAGCUCCCGUAUUGUGAUCAUUGAGGGCAUAUAUGCUUUAAGUGAGAAAUUGCGACCUUUGCUAGAUCUUCGUGUAUCUAUAACUGGUGGAGUUCACUUUGACCUUGUAAAGCGGGUUUUAAGGGACAUUCAGCGUGCUGGCCAAGAGCCUGAAGAAAUUAUCCAUCAAAUUUCUGAGACGGUUACCCCUUUAUCCAGUGUUAGAAAGUUUUUGUUAUCAGUACAAAAGAUUUAUGGUGAUUCUCAUCCAGAAUUUUGUUACAGGUGUAUCCUAUGUACAAGGCCUUUAUUGAGCCAGACCUUCAGACAGCACAUAUAAAAAUCACCAACAAGUUUAAUCCCUUCACUGGUUUUCAGAACCCUAUUUAUAUUUUAAAGGUUGACUAUUAAAUUUUCUUGUUUUGGUAAAUCUUUUUCUCCAGUUGUUUGUUUCAAGAAAUACGUAAUCAUUUUCUUUUCUGACUGUAUGUUAUAUCUUAUUGCAGUCAACGAAGGCAGUGACAGUGGAUCAAAUCAAGGCUGUUAUAUCUGCAGAUCACAAAGAAAGCACAGAAGAAACUUAUGACAUAUAUCUUUUACCACCAGGAGAAGAUCCUGAAGCGUGUCAGUCGUAUCUAAGGAUGAGGAACAGAGAUGGCAAAUACAAUCUCAUGUUUGAGGUUCGACAUCUGUAAACUAAAGUUCCUAAAGGAUAUUACAUGCUUUUGACUUUAUCCGACCAGUGUCAUUGCCUACAUAUAUAUCGGAGUUGUUUUCAUCAUUGAUCAACAGUAAAGAAAUGAAUCUACAAAGGCUUACCUAGGAGUCUGGAUAACAAUUUACAUGUCUUUCCAUUUCAGUCAGGAACCCUGCUGUUUUUCUUAGUGAAAUGAAUUUCUGAUUCCAUAUGCAAAUAAGCUUGAUCAUCAUCUGGACAAUGGACAUUUUAAGGAAAAGAUUUCAAGAUUGUGACAUGGGGAUUUUGAUGGAGAAUUCUUACACGGUUGUAUUUUAAUUACAUGGGGGCGCAGGUGAAAACUUUUGUAUAAACUUGUGUGUAGGAUUCUGCUGAUAUGUGCUUGGUGUGGAUCGUUGUGUCUAAAUUUCAUAGUUUGUUCCGGAGUAGGAUCUCUGACUAGCUUUACCUCCUCUCUCUCUCUCUCUCUCUCUCUCUCUCUCUCAGGAGUGGGUCACAGAUAGUCCCUUCAUAAUAUCUCCCAGAAUAACUUUUGAAGUUAGUGUGCGCCUUCUUGGAGGUCUCAUGGCCUUGGGGUAUACAAUUGCAUCCAUCUUGAAAAGAAGCAGCCAUAUCUUCUGCGACGAGAAGGUUUGCGUGAAAACUGAUUGGUUGGAGCAACUUAAUCGUCAAUAUGUUCAGGUAUCAUGCCAGGCAUUCAUUUUUUUCAGAUUAUUUUGAAACUUGUGAUACUUUUUGUUUUUCUGUUCUUCAUGUCAGAUGUUUAUUUCUGGAAACGAAAACAAGACUUGGUGUUUUCUUUUUAGAUAAAUUUUGUGAAGCUUAGCACUAACUUGCUGGAAUUGUUCGAAGGUGCAAGGAAAGGAUCGGUUACAUGUUAAAGAUAUUGCACAGCAGCUCGGCCUGGAUGGUUCAUAUGUUCCUCGUACUUACAUCGAACAAAUUCAGCUGGAGAAACUUGUAAAUGAUGUUAUGGUAUGACUCUCUCUCUCAACUGAUCAUGCAUUUUCAUGUUUGUGCAUUGUCGUGAUGUGAUCAAUCUACAGACAUUGCCAGAUGAUUUGAAAUCAAAGCUCAGCAUAGAUGAUGAUUCUUCGAGCCCUAAGGAAGCGCUUUCCCGAGCCUCAGCUGAUCGGAGAAACAAGUAUCUCAACCGGUAUUUUUUAUUUUUCAGCUAUUUUCUCAGAAUUGAAAGGAUAAUAAACUAUCAUCCAGCUGAUCAUGCUUGUAUGUAUUGAUUGGUUCCUUUAACAUCAUAUUCCAUACUGGGCAGGGGUAUAUCGCAGUCUUACUCGAAUCAAAGGGACAAGACUAUUUCCAAACUAACGAGACUUGCUGUUAACAGCAGAAGGUUUGAUGGACGAAACCCAGUAUCACCUGCAGCAAUUUCGAACCAGGUGAGUUACCGAUUUUUCAUGUAGUCCUGUUGAUGGCACAUAACUAUGAAAUUGUUUUUCACCAAUAAUUUUGCCUUGUAUUAUUUCAGGGAAUUUUUACUCAACUUUCAGAACAAAUUUCUACGCUGAAUGAGAGGAUGGACGAGUUUACAUCCCGUGUUGAAGAGGUGAACUCCAAGAUAUCACUCAGAAGAGCUUCAGCUAGCCAGCAAAAUUUGGCUCUGCAGGCCAAAGCCUGCAAUGGAUCCGAACCAACUUCUCUGUUUGUUACUGGCUUGAGUAAUGGCUCGUUGGCAGGAACGCUACUGCCCAAUUCUUCGUCGUCCUCCCAGUUGGUCAAGGAUUCCCCACUGAUGGAAGAGGUACUUUGUGAUAAACACUUGUGACGACAUAUUGAUCUAUCUUCUGUUCUUUUCCUUCUGAUAUGCUUAUUUAGUUAAUUGGUGUACACGCAACAGAUACUAGCCAUCACACGAGGCCAACGGCAGAUCAUGCACCAAAUAGACAAUUUGAGCAAUCUUCUGCGAGAGUAUACGGCAGAGAGGGUUCGCCAAGGAAGAACAGAUACUGCUGGAAGAAUGCCUGAUAUCGAAUCAGUUGUCCCACUUGUUCUUGCUUUGGCGAUUGGCGGUUUAGGUGUCUUCUUCUUCAGGGGUCUGACUUCUCCAAAAUAAUUUCAUGGCAAGCAGCUAACUUUCAGCAUAGAACCUGCCAUAAACACGUUGUAUAAACCCGUGCCGACGUUCUGUAUACCGAACAAUGGUAGUCUGCCUUUGUGAUAGGGGGCAAAUAUGGAUUUCUAGGUUUAUGCAUGGUCGGCCAAUGUUGUAAAUACUAAAUAGUUGGUAUACUGUAUACGGAAAGAGAGAUUCAAACUUGAGUACAACAGACGGGCAGUGCUCUGGCCCAUGUUUGCAUACCAUAAUUGUACGAUAACUUCUGAUGGCCUUACAAAUGCAAGCGACGGUGUUUCAGAUUAGCCAGUCAUAUCCAUAUCUGUUUUAUUUGAAAUCUUUUACUUUGCAAUGGUACGGAAGAUCUUGCAAUUCAUAAUUUCAUUUAGUUCUUAGAUUUCGAUCCAGGCGUCCGAACACAAGGAGGAAGUUGAUUCAGAACACCAUAUCGCUGGCAAAUUUGUGAUCUCAUAUCAAAAUCAACUCUGCAUAGCGUUCGACUUCAAUAGUUACACAAAACAAACACAUUCUAAAAUCUUCUAAAACGAAGUACAACGACAGCUUUCAGAGGCCGCAAAAGAAAAAACCUCAAGUAAGAUAAUCGGUACAAGGACAAGUAAUCCGUCCAGCCUUCAGAAAAGGUUGGCGUGAAGUUCUUUGACGUCUCCUACAACUUCGUCGUGAAUUGCCUUUAUUUUAUCUUGAUCCUCUUUGGAUAGUUCCCCCUUGUUAGGCUUAGUUGUCACCAGGACACAGCAGGUUGGCCUCUUGGUGGCACCGGCAUUUGCAAGAUCCUGAAGACGACAUUCACAAUACUAGCAUUAGCGUGUUUCUGAUCAAUGAAGUCGAUGGCCAUAGGCAAUAACUUUAAGGAAUGCUCAGCUAUUGAAUAAUACAAUGUAUGAUAAAGUAAAUUUCCGAAUUCUUAAGGAACAGAAAAGACAUCUGAAAGAGAAGUUUCUGUAUGACUAACUACUCGUCCUGUUGGUUUGUUUUACUUAUAGAUGUGCAGGCAAAGAAAUGUCGCUCAACUUCAAUGUAGGUAGGUUGGAGAACAAUAGUGUUGAGUAAACUUACUUCUUUUGAAGGCACGUAAACAUAUGGAAUUUCCGCCUCUUCACAUAAGAUUGGAACAUGAGUAACCACAUCGAUAGGAGAAAUGUUACCAGCUAUAACACAAAACCUGCACUCCAGCACAAGGUAUACAAAAAGUCAAUGAAACAUUCAUAGGAGUAACUCGAGCAGCGAGCGCAAUCUACAUGCUAAGCCGCUUAUAUCUAUAGGAACUAAUAAACUAAUGAUUGCAUUUGAGCAACCACCUCUGAUCCAACAAAUGCAUAAAAAACUAGAGCCAGCAGAUCAAGCCAAGUUUCUGCAUCAGAUAAAUACACGGAUUGCACGGCAUCGACAGUACAUAGAUUGUCAAAUUAAGUUCCUACUCUCUCUACACGAAUCUACUCCAAAACACUUCCCUCGACACUCAUAAUGUAGCCGUCUAAGGCCUGGUUUGGUACUGAGGUGAUUAUGAAAAAAGCUGGUAUCAAAAAAAGCUGAGAGCUGUUUUUGUGUUUGGUAAACAUUCAGCUUCAGCUUUUCUUCACAGUUUUGGGUGAAAAAAAGCCAAAAACAAGAAGCUGCAAAACCAAGCUUUGAAAAACCGGCUUUUUUCACAUUUGUUUUACAUAAAAGUUUACCAAACACUAUAAUACUGCUUUUUUUUUUCAAAAGCACUUUUACAAAAAAGUUUACCAAAUACUCUGCUACUUUAUUUCACAGCUGCUUAUUCUCACAACACAGCAGAAGCAAUUUUUUUUCAAAGCACGGCAAUACCAAACCAGCCCUAAAUCAUGUUAGAAUUGGACAGUUUGACCGCAAUCUCUCACUAAAUCAUGUUUCUACACUCCCUUCCAGCUCAACCCAUAAUUUCAUAGCGUUUGAAUUAAUACCAAUAUAACACAAGCAAAGAAAUGCUAACGAAAAACUCGAAUCUACUAACAAAGUUGCAUCCUUUCCAAUUCAAUUCAGUUUUUUUUACAACAAAUUGAUUUCCCAAUACAAAUUAGCAAAGUAAAAAAGACGAAAUCGAUAAAAACAAACUGACCCCUUUUGACCGCGCCUGAUGCUUUUCACCACCUCCUUCACUCCCCUCUUCAAGCAUUUGUGCUCAGCAGCUACAAGAAAAACAACAAUAUCAUCAAACUUUCUUUCGCCCAUAUACAAACAUCCAUAUAUAUACACGCACACAUUUAUACAUGUAUGUUUAUGUACGUAUGCGUGUAUACCUUUACGGACGAGCUUGAGGGUUCGUUUACAAAGCUUCUUUCCGGCGAGGGGUUUGGCGAUCGGAGCAAGAGCCUGCAUCUUCUUCUUCUCCCUCUCCUUCUGCGCCGACUUCUCGACUUCGCUAUCGCUUCCCAUCUCUCUCCUCCUCUAUCUUUCUCUCUCUUUCUCUCUCUAGCUUUCUGGAGACUGGGAUUUUUCACCGUGCUCCGAGUCUCGCAGAAACGCCUCUGGAGAUUAGGGUUUUUAUUUUCGUUUUGUCGAAAGGGUUUAAGGAAUUAUGGGCCUUGGGAUGGGCUUGAACAAUGUACAUAUGUUUGGUCCGUAACCCAAUUAUUGGCCCAACUUUCGGCCCAAAUAAAACUACCCGAUAGGCCCAAAGAAAAAAAAAAAGAAUCGGAAAAGGCCAGAGCUCAGGGUCUUGCGUUUCUCUCUUGUGGUGGCAGCCUGCGUGAGAGCUACGUCGGAGGGAGACUCAGAGUCCUCGAAAGUCCGCCAUGCCUACCGUCAGCGUCGGCCGCGAUCGUCUGUAUGCAGCUCUAGGAAAAACUUACAGUGAGCUCUCAGUCUCUCUCUCUCUCUCUCUCUCUCUUCAUUUGAUCGAUGCAUUUAUCUAUGAAUUCAGAAACUCACACUAUCUCUCUGCGUUGUUGAAUUUGAAUCUGACAGCUCAGGAGCAGUUCGAGGAGUUAUGCUUCGACUUCGGCAUCGAGCUCGACGACGUCGUAAGCAGUUUUUACAGUCUCUAGUUUUUGUUCAAUUUAAUUUGUUUUUUGUUUAUAUUUCUCUGAUUUAUCGUGAUUAAUGUGUUUUUGUAGACAACUGAGAAGGCAAUUAUUCGGAAAGAGAAGAAUUUGGAUGAUGAUGAAGGCGGCGAAGACGAAGAAGUUAUUUACAAAAUCGAAGUUCCGGCGAAUAGGUACGUUGUUGUUUUUCAAUUUUCGAUUUCUUUUUGCGUGUAGAAUCAUGUAUUUACUAAUCGGAUUGGUUUUGCGGAUUGAUGUCUUAUCAUACUCCAUUGAAUCGAUUGGUUCGAGAUUUUAAUACAAUGUUGUUAUUUGAUUUGUAUGCAGAUACGAUUUGCUUUGCCUCGAAGGGAUUGCUCAAUCGCUGCGUGUUUUCAAUGGCCAAGAGGAUAAUCCUACGUAUAAGUUGGCGAACAUUAGUAAGGAGUCGAUGAUUAAAAUGCAUGUAAAACCAGAGGUAGUUAUAUUAUGCGAAAGGACUAUUCUAGGUGCUUUUUAUUUGAUGGUGAUACUUGUUAUUUUAGAAAGGAUUCUUUUCCGCGUGCAGACGUCUUUGAUUCGCCCUCAUAUUGUCUGUGCCGUUUUAAGAGGUGUAGCAUUCAAUGAAGCUAGUUAUAACAGCUUUAUUGAUCUCCAAGACAAGCUCCAUCAAAAUAUCUGCCGGUAAUCUUUUCCGGCUCGUAGAUUUGAUUCGUAGCUUGUCAUGUUCUCAAUUGCUUGUCAUUUGUCCAAAGAUCGUUUGCGGUUAUUGAGCUCUAGUGCUUACACCUGCUAUUUAUUUUACAGGCGAAGAACCCUAGUUGCCAUUGGGACUCAUGACUUGGAUACAUUACAAGCCCCCUUCACAUAUGAGGUGGGCUUUUGAUACUUGUUCUCUUUGCUACAUUCUUGUAUUCUACAUUUUUUUAUGAAGGUUCAUUUGGUAUUGGAUUUUAUUGUAAAAUUAUGGUAAUGGUUUAGAUCCUUUAUUGAAACUUAUGGUUCUUGGAAGGAAAAGUAGAAAGGCAAAGAUUUCUUGAUACAACUCGCAUUUCAAUGAAAGAAUUUUCAUGUUCUUUGUUGUGGCUUACAAUUCUCUUUCCAUGUUCAGGCUUUGCCACCUUCAAGCAUAAAUUUUGUGCCUCUAAAACAGGUAAUUCUUUAAGUUUUAUACUAUUGUCAAUAAGCAGUAUAUGGUUUAGUAACCUUUUUAGUAGUUUGUUAGCACUAAUAUCAUGUUGUUUUGAUUUCUACAUUAGGUGAAGAACUUCAGAGCAGAUGAGCUCAUGGAAUUUUAUAAAGUGAGUUCUUAACUGGGUGGUUUUUAAUUUUUAUCUUCUUUUUCCCCCCUUUUGGGGAUGCGUUAUAGUUUGUCCAAACCAAACAACAAAUAGAAUUUUAGAAACCAUUGCCAUAAUAGCCAAUUCGCACAAAUCCUUUUCCAUAAUCUCCUGUUUUCAUGACCUAGUAAUAUCUUGAUCCGUAUUUUUACCAUUGUAUUCUCGCAGUCGGAUUUGAAGCUGAAGAAGUUCUUGCACAUAAUAGAGAACUCACCAGUGUUUCCUGUUUUAUAUGAUCACACCAGGUAUGAUAAUUUCUCUCUUAAUAGAUUAUUUUGACAUUUCUCAUCAUCUUUUAACUACCUCCCGCCCUUUUCCUAGUGUUGUAAAGAGCUUGACUUCAUUGGGAUUGUGUCCAAUGACUGCUUGUAUAACAUAGUGUUGAUUACUAUAUAUAUAUGUGUGUGUGUGUGUGUGUGGGCUUUGUAUUUCUUUAAAUCUUGAUAAGUGCUGUUCCAUUUAUUUUGGCAGAACUGUUUUGUCUUUACCGCCCAUUAUUAAUGGUGCACAUUCAGCAAUCACAUUAAAGACAAAGAAUGUGUUCAUAGAAUGUACAGCCACUGAUUUGACAAAAGCCAAAAUUGUUCUGAACACAAUAGUAAGAACCUGAAAUUUUAGAAUGCAUUUAUUUCCUAGUUUUUGGUUCACCUGUCAGUGGAUAAUGGCAUAAACUUUUAUUCCUUUAGGUAACAGCAUUUUCAGCAUAUUGUGAAAGGAAAUUUGAGAUUGAACCAGUUGAAGUGUUAUAUUCUGAUGGAAACUCACAUGUUUAUCCUGAUUUAUUGAUCUACAACAUGGAUGUUUCUCUAUCGUAUGUCAAUAGUUACGCUGGAGUGUCUUUGGAAGCAAAAGAGGUAUAUCAAUAACUCCAUGUUACUUAUUCCUUAUUCAUUCUUUAAUAUUGCUUAUUGUUUCCAAUGAUUUUUUUAUUUGCAUAAUCAUAUGUUGUAGAAAUAAUGCUGUUAUCGAUUGCAUAGCAACCCUUUUCAUGAAUUAUAGCAGAUUAGUUGAUAUACUGCAUCCUUUUGCUUUUCUCAUCAUUCUUUAUUAUUACCGUGUAGGUUACUGAUCUGUUGAAGAGGAUGCAAUUGAAUGCUGAGCAAUCUAAAUCUGACAAUAUUACUGUAUCUGUACCUCCAACCAGAAGUGACAUUCUUCACCCUUGUGAUGUUGUGGAGGUAUAAUUAUUCAUAGCGCGCUCACUGUAUUAAUAAACCAAACUCUUUUUGUUUUUUUUUAUUUUCUUUUUUUUGACAAAGUAUUCUCUUUUGUGUUUAGGAUGUUGCAAUUGCUUAUGGAUACAAUAAUAUUCCAAUGAGAAAGCAUAUUCCAACGAGCGAGCCUGUUUCUUUGAAGCCACUAGCCUUGAAUGAGUUCACUGAACUCAUUAGAUUAGAGGUCUGUAAUAAAAAAAAUCAGUUGACACAUAAACAGUUUUAAGUGUGUGGCUUAUUCUAAUUUCUUUUGUGUUGUUUCAAAAUUGUGUUAGAUUGCAAUGAUUGGGUUUACAGAGGUCUUGACAUUCGUAUUGGGCUCGUGGAAAGAAAACUUCCCAAUGUUAAGAUGUAAAGAUGACAAAUCGAAGGCUGUGGUCAUUGCAAAUCCUCGCUCAUCUGAUUUUGAGCUUGUCAGAACCAGUCUGAUGCCUGGCAUUUUGAAAACUGUUAAUAACAACAAAGAUCAUCCGAAGCCCAUAAAGGUAUAUGUUACCAAGUUCUCUUCCACAAUAUAGUUUCUCAUCUGGGGUUGCACUUUUUGCCCUUUUCUGGUAAGUUAUUGUAUGAAUUUUAGCAAGGAUGGAUAUAACUUUCAUUUUGUUACAGAUUUUCGAAGUGGGUGAUGUAGUACUGUUGGAUGAGAAGACCGAUGUUGGUGCAAGAAAUCAUUGCCAACUAGCAGCUCUAUACUGUGGUGCUACAUCGGGGUUAGAGGUACAAUACCUAAUAUCCUGCUGCAUACUGUUUGUUUCUCCUACUUUAGAACCUAGUAGCAUUUACAAAUAAUGAUUACAUGUUGCUGACCUUUGGUUUAUGAUCUGCAGCUGAUACAUGGCCUGGUGGACAGAAUUAUGGGAGCGGUUGGGGCUUCUUGGGUUCCUAUUGGUGACAAUACAGGAUACUUCAUCGAGACUUCAGAUGUGAGUGUAUCUUUUACUUUUGUCUUUUGCUAGCUCUUUUGGUUGGUAUGGAUCAUUUUCAUGCAAUUUUGACAUGUCCCGAAGGAUCCCGAGUUUCUUCCCGGGAGACAAGCAAGCAUCAUCUAUAAAGGGAAGCACAUUGGAAUUUUUGGCAUUUUACACCCCGAGGUACAAAUUGUAACUCAGUUUUUGGAUAAGGCUAUAGCUACGGACUAGAUUCUGUACUAUAAACUUUCCCAUUCUUGCUUUGAGUCAAUCACGACCGAUAGCCAAUUUCUAUUACCUUAAUUGUGCAUUUUGGUCUCUUUUCAGGUGUUAAACAACUUUGACAUUCCCGAUCCGUGCUCCUAUGUAAAACUUAACGUUGAGAGCUUGUUGUAGGUCUGUAUAACAACAAAUGUAAGCUUUGUCUUUCGUUCUUCCCAUAGGUUUAUACUCUUUUUUUUCUUUUUUAAUUUAAUAUCUUUCCUCUCUUCGUCUUUCAUUCGGCAUGCACAGAGCUUUGUCGAGCUCAUUUUCUUGAUUUGCAGCUGACUGCUGUACAAGAAAUAGAUAGUCUUUCUUCUGCACAAAUAAUUUAGUACGAAAUCAGGAAACCACAACGAGGAUACAAAUGUCGGUUUUGUUCUCUUGGUUUCGACUUUUAUGAAACUAUUGAUUAGUGAAUUGAGUUUUUCUAAAAACAUCGAUUGUAAGAUGCAUUCAUACAAGCUACCAUUUGUUGCCAAACCGUAAUGUUGAAUAGAGAUAUCUUGUUCUUCUAACUUUUGUGUACGGAUGGCUUCCGGUUUUGCAUCCUUUGUGUUUUAUUUCUGUUUAGCUUCAGAUUUUUCGGGUGACUGCAGAAUUCAGUUGUGGAUUAGAACUAUAACAGUUAUGGUGUUUUUGAAAGAGAGUUGGAAGUUUACUCAUUUAUUUUAAGAAAAACUAAUGAAAAUAGCUUGAAAACUUUGAGUUUUAAUGAUAAAAACAAAAUAAAGGAUAAAGUGAAUAGUACCAGAAUUGAUUUUUUUUUAGUAUAAAAAUGUAAUUUUUCGUUAAAGUAAACAGUAUCAGGAGCUUUUCGUUAAAAUUCCUUUUAUUUUAUGCUUUCGUCAAGAAAUUAACGUCACGCUUACAGGGUAAUUUCUUGUUCCCCCUUCAGCAAUAGUAAUUUCUUUUUCUUACAGGAUUAUGCCCCGUUGUCAACAAAAAAUAUAUUAUGAAAAAUAGCUUUGUGAUGGGUUCUGUAGCUUACAGUUUUUGUGAUAAAAAUUUAAUUAUCGAGUUUUUACAUGAUCUUUUGCAUGCCUAGUACAAAUAAAAAUAGAAGUAUCACACUCGAUACCCAUUUUACAACAUUAUUAAGUCAUACAAACGAUAUUCUCUACACUGAGGGAGAGGUGAGGGUGAUUUAACCUCACCAUGCACUAACAAUAAUGUGGUUUAAAUUCACCUUUGACGAGAAUCGAACAUAAAACCUCUCACUUACAAAUGAAAAUGUAUACCAUUAGACCGUAACAUUAAGUGGCUCUUCUGAUCAAAUUUUUAAGUUGAAAAUUCAUACAUAAAAGUUCACAAGUUUAUCAUAUGGACUAAAAAUUCUCCAACAUCUUCCAACCUCACACCAGAGAGCCUGCAAAAUAGAGCAUGAUCGAAGCUCAUAUGUUUUUGAUAUGGGCUAUAAAUGCUUCAAGAUCUUCCAACUUAGCACUAUAGAAGCCUGCAAAACAGAGUAUUGUAUAACCAAAUAUGCAAUUCCAACGCUGUAAAACAAAGUAAGUUGGACUUGAAAGGCCACUAGUUAAACAUGAAUAUAGUCCGUAGUCCGUUGCUGUUACCUCUGCGAAUUUCCGUAACAGACGGGUCUCUCUGCGCGUUGUUGAUCCAAUCAAUCUUCCGGCGUUUGGAUUCUUCCAUCUUUUCGGUCUGCAGCUUUCCUACCUUCAUCCGAAGUGCUGAUGCCGUUUUCACCAUCUCUGCAUAAAACCGUAAUCUACUAAAACUUUUGUCUUUUCAAUACUUCAAAUUGUAGCUCGAGAUGCAAACUUUCGAAUGCCUAAAUGCUUGAGGUUUUAACACCAGAAAAUUUCAGAACAACCAGAACGUAUAGUCACCGAUUGAAACUUUUAAAACAAAAACAAAAUCAUAGCAAAACUUGAUGAGAGAACAAAUAUUUCGACCAACUCCUGAGUGUCUAAGAGAUCAAAAGGUGUGCAUCUUACAGAAAUCGGCAAUGGCUGGGAAAUCUUUACGAAGUGAUCAAUACAUCUCGGCAUACUGGUUGAUCAACGCUUACACACAACAUUUAACCGUAGUAACUUCGUUGAAGGUUUCAGAUACACGAUAGGGAAAAAAGCGUAGGGAAAUAUGGUAAACGCAAAACACAAGCGCAGAACAACGAUCUCUAGACACAGACUAAAUCCAUGCUUCCUAAAUUUAUACAUAUUCGAAGGAAGUAUUUAGUUAGUUACCUUGGAAAUUUUCAUGGUAAGAGUUUAGGUCAUAUUGUUGCAAUGUCUCGUUGACAAGCGCAGAACAACGAUCUCUAGACACAGACUGUCCUUCUAAUGCUUGGAUCUCUCGAUUCAGCGCAGCAUUCUCCUUACUAACCUGUAUGCGUAUUUCAUUAAAGGACUGUCGAUCAGGAAUUCAAUUUCAUGCAGACAAGACAUUCUUGCAACCUCUGGUAUUAUAAUUACCUCAGUGAGUUCGUUCCUCAACAAAUCCAGCUGGGCAUCCAGGUCUGUGUCAACUAUUGCAUUUUGACAUAAAGAAGCGUCGACAGGUGGUUCAUCCUAGAAAGAACUUUCUUUAGUCGACAAAUUAUACAAGUUUACAGAACGGAAAAAUCAUCGGUCACCAAAUCAUCAAGCAGCAUAUGGAACUUGAUUUCUCUUACAGUCGGAGUGUGGAUUAAAACGUAACUGAAAGCAUCAAUAAACUGAAAAGAACAUACAUUCUUCGACGGGUCGAACCCCUCUGGAACUUGAAAAACGUAGUCAAGGCAGUACUGCUCCCAGACAGCCAGCUUUUUAUCAAGAUCUGAUUGAACCUUUUUGCGGAUGAUAUCAACACCCUACAGAGGAAUAAACAAACAAAUAAACAAACGAGUAAACUCGACAGCGGAUUAUCGAAAAAGAUUGCAUCUUCCUACUAAGUUCGAAUACGAAAAUUAUAAUCCUCAAUCAAUUUUCUUUUGUUUUAAAGUAAUCAUCCAAUGCAAUAGCGACUCAGUACUACGGUCUGGUGGUAUUCCUCUUCACUUGAAAGUGAGAGAUAUUAGGUUCGAAUCUUGUGGAUGGCGAAUUCGAUACCAAAUUAGGCUGCCCAUUAGUGUAAAAAUAUUGUACUAAAAAAAAAAAAUUCAUCCACUGCAACUUAUCAAGCACCAAAAGAAUUCAAAUUUAAAAAAGCUACAAAACAUUUUUACCAAAAGUAAAUAAUAUGAACUAACCCACCAAAAAUAAAAUAAAAAAUGUGUUGACAAAUACUCUCACUCACACAAAACAUAGAAAUUAGUAAAAUUUGUGAAGGGGAAAACCCUAGAAUUUUGAAAUAAAUUGAAAUUAAGCAUAGUGGGGCAAAACAAAACAAAAAAGAUGGUGUGUAGAAAUUAGAAUUAUACCCUGGAUAGAUCUUGGGCUCUGUCAGUGCCCUCAAUUUUCAGAGAGGUUGAUGCUUGUCUGGAAAAAAAAAAUAGUAGAAAAAUAUUGAAAUAAUCACAAUAAUUCACAUCUAAUAAUAAUAAUAAUAGUAAAAUUAAUGAAAAAGAAUUAAAUUAAGAUCAUUAGAGAGAGAUUUACUGGCGGAAAUGAUCGAAGGCGUCGUCGACCAAGUCAUCGGCGAUGUUUAAGACGUCGUUGAUGAACAGCUGCGGAUUCAGAUUCAGCGAAUUGAAUGCUGCCUCGCUUUCGCUGCCUUCCAUUCUCAAGAUACGCGAAGCUCUAUUCCACAGAAGCACUCGCAAUUACUCCACAAAGUUGCUGGUUUUCCGAUUCGCAUUAGGGAUUUUCCCGCGCAAAGUGUCUGUAAAAUGGCGGAGGAGAGCGGAAAGGGCAGGACUUGAAUUUUGAAAAAGUGCAAAAUAAAAGCAGUUUUCGAGACAGCGAGCCGCUACACACGUGUACUAAUUCGGUACACCUAGCAUUUUGGACCCGACCCAACAUAUUAAUAUUAAUAUUUUGAUGGAUGUUUAACAUGCCAGGUUGCUAAGGAGUGAACCCGUUAAAUAACAAGUCACUUUAGAUCAACCCGUUAGCACCUGUUAUAAAUUAUAUUGAAAUGCCCCCACGGGCCACUUUGGGUUCUCCGCUCCCUCCACCAUCUUUCCCAAGAAAUCUCCUCCCUCGAACCGCUACGUGAUCUGCAAGUCAACCCUUGUCUCCAUCCUCUUCGAAGACAUCAUUCGCAGCUCCACUGCCAUCUUCUCCCACUCCGCCAACCUUUGCUUCCAGGAGCUUUACAUCUUGCUCCAGAAGAUCCAAACCCUUCUCGAAGACUCCUCCAACGGCAGCCGGAUGUGGCUCCUCUAGACUAAGGGCUAGUUUGGUAUUGAUGUGCUGUGAAAAAAAGUUGCUGUGAGAAUAAGCGGCUGUGAAAUAAAGCAGCAGAGUGUUUGGUAAACUUUUUUGUAAAAGUGCUUUUGAAAAAAAAAAAGCAGUCUAAUAAUGAGUCUUUUCAUUAAAGGAGCACUAUAGCUCCAUGUGCUUUGAAAAAAAGCCAGUUUUCCAAAGCUGCAAAUAGCAGCUUCAGCUUUUUCCUUUGAUUUCAGCUUAUUCUCACAGCAGCUUCCAAAAUAAACCAUUUUUUUUUAGUUUACCAAACACCUAAAACCCUCACAGCUUUUUUUCAUGAGUGUUUUUUUUAAGCACCUCACUCCCAAACCACCCCUAAGUCUCUAGCGAACAGCUUCCACGAGCUCACCCUCGACCUCUCCACCUUACUCGAUCGACAUCAUCCCCGUCAAGGAGCUAAGAUUAAACGACGACGUAGAAGAAGUCGUCUCCUUUCUCCACACCCAGUGCUCUCACAGCACCACGGGUCGACGAAGUCGUUUGUCGAUCCAAGAGACGACGGCCUCCGUCUCAAGGUCUGCUCCAUACUUGACCGCUUCAAGAGUGAGAUCGUUCUCGACCACUCCAAGCUCUCCGAUAUUUUCAUGUAAUUAGUGAUUCGCGACGUUUCAAAUUGCAAAGAGGAGCUCAAGAGCCUCCAUGAAGAGUUCCAAAACCAGACGGAGGAUAAAUCCAGGUCGCAACUCCUUGUAUUGGAUUGAACCCCACCCAAACCCGAUAAACCUGAUUCGUUUACAAGUCUAAUUUUGCCACGUCAUGAAUUGUUUUUUAUUUUUUUGAUGGUCGGGCUAAAAAAAAAGCAUGUAACGGUUAUUGAUACGGGCUGCUUUUGUGCCGAUUAAGUUUUUGACGAGAUCUCUUGUAAAGGUAUCUCAACAACAUUUGACGUGAUGUUAACAUCAUUCGGCAUGGGAUCUCAACAUCACUCGGCUAAUUACUUUAACAUUUGUCGACAUGAAUGCAUAUGAAAAUAAGUCCACUAAGCACUUCACGAACUUCCUCAUGGAAAAAAUUUCCCUCUUCGAAAAUUAUAAGGGAUAAUAUAGGAGCCACACGAUAACACACACAAAUAAACGAGGGUUUGAUGUGCAUCUAAAGAUUCAACAAUCAAUAAUCUGACGGUCACAUAUAUUACUAAUAUACUUGUACCUACUAGAAAAUUCUGACAUUUGUCUCAAAUACAGUGAGAGUGGGGACCACAGUCAAAUAACUGAUAGUAUAUAACGAAAACUGACUGCACGAUAUAUGAUGAACGGUCAUGAUUGCUUGAUCCCUGGAUCCCCACAAAGAGGAUCUGGCCAGGAUCCUUUUAUUUUUUGCUCUCAUAUUCCUUCGUCGAAUUAUGUGAAUUGAAAAAAAAAUAAAUGAUAGAAAUUAACAAAGAGGAAGUGAGAAGUAAAAAUGAACCUAUUUAAUAUAAUAUUGUGUAAUUAUGUAAAUUCUUGAUAUAUUUGGUUUAAGAUUCCUCGCUAAUUCUUUUUCAUUAGGUUUUGUAUUAUUUAGAGAACAAAUUUAUUUCUCAAUUUACUAUCCACAUACACUUAUUUUAUAUGUUUGAUUGUGUAAAUUCUUGAUAAAUUAAGUUCAAGAUUCCUCAAUUGUAAAGAAAAAGAAUUGAAUCUCAUCCGGAUUUCUCCUUUCUAUCCUUGCCGCACAUAUCCUUAAUUUGGACCCAACAAUUAUUCUGUAAUUUGUGGUGGCCACCAGAAUGCUUCCAAAAUUUCAGAAAGCAACAGAUAAGUUGCGGACGUUUCGAAGCCAUACAAGCAUGGCGAGGAAGAACUCCAAAGUCCAGGCUCUCUAUGAGCUCUGCCAAACGAUCUUCACGCCGUCAGGGUCUCCUCCGCCUUCUCCUCCGGCUAUCGAUAAGCUCUGUUCUGUCCUUGGUAAUUUCCCAUAAUAUUUUGUCUUCAAAUUUUAAUUAAACUGCCCGUCUGAUUUGUGAUUCUACUAAAUUUUGUAACUUUGAAAUUGGGUUUGCUUUUUUUCGGGGUGUUUUGAAGAAUUGAGUGAUAUAUUUUAUGGGGUUUUGUUAAAUUGUAAGAGUGUAUAAUUUUUCACUAAUUACAGUCCAAAGUAACUUUUUUUUUUCUUCUUCAGAAUUAAUCCUGCAUUGAUGUAUAAUUUAAUAUGAAAUUUGUGAAUUGGAAGCAAAUUUGUGUGAAAAGCAUGUUUGGAUUAUGUAAUAUUUACAUUAUUGUUCUUGGAUGUAUGUUUUCAGCUCUUUAAAGAAAGAUUUUGCAUCCAAAAUGCUAACUUUGUUAAUCCUGUUGAAAACAUACUUUGCUUAAUCAAGAAUCGACCCUGAAUCGACCGGAGUAUCAUUGCUUAUCGAAGAUUCAGGGUCGACUCCAGCUUGAUCAAGAAUCGCCCUUGUUUUAUAUUUUCCAUUUGCAGCGAAGUCUUGAUGUUUUUUCCUUGAAUUGAUGGUAUAGACUUGGUUGAUAGGGCUUUGUUGCUUAUUGAUAGAAAUGCCUAGUGGCCGAUGCUGCCUGUGAUAUAGAUUUCCAUGGACCGUAUAUGGAAUGCCUCAUUGCUCCAUUGACAAUGAUAUCUUUGCUUUUGUUCUUUUGUUGUCAUAUGUGUUAUGUUAAUACAUCAUACGUACGUGUCUUUUGUGCACGUAUUAAAAGAUUCCUGCUUAAAACGAGCCUGAACCGGAAUAUCAGAUCUUGAGCCCUAACUCAAAACGGUGAUGACAGUUUGAGUUGCUUCCUAUAUGUUACACCAUAUGAGAGAAUCUUGUCUUAAUAUUCUGAUUUUGGUUUGAAUUCGCAGACACGAUAUCUCCUGCUGAUGUUGGGCUUAAAGAGGAAAAUCUGGAUGACGAUCGAGGGCUUGGUUUUUUUGGACUUGACCAACUAAAUAGGGUUUCUCGAUGGGCUCAACCCAUAACAUACUUGGAUAUGUAUGAAGGUGAUAGUUUUACGGUAAGCGUUAUAAGUUAUCACUCAAAAAGGAAUUUAGGUUGUUCGUUAUAUUCAAAGCUCUCUGAAAUUUAUACUCAAGGAUUAAGCAAUGAUUUUAUGCAGAUGUGUAUAUUCUGUUUUCCUACUUCCUCAGUCAUUCCGCUUCAUGACCAUCCUGGGAUGACUGUUUUUAGCAAAAUUCUCUAUGGCUCUUUGCAUGUGAGAUCUUAUGAUUGGGUCGAGCCUGCCCAGGAGAUCAAGGGACCAAAUUACUUUCCAGGUCUGUUUUUUCAUGUAACUUUUAAUACAUACUACGAUGAUUAUCAGUAGACAAUGAGCAUGGCGAAUGAAAAUAUUUGUUAAUAAAAUAUAGUAUGGAAUGAAAAUGUUUGCAUCAUCAUAUCCUUACGUCUAGUUACAAAUGCCCGUUGAAUGAUUUUCAGAAGCUAAGCUUCACGAGAGAGAUACAACUGUAUGCCAUGCUCAUGAUUUUCGUAAUUAGAGGGUUUAAAUACGGGAGAACUGAUGAAAUUGCUCUCCAAUGCAGUAAAAUUGGCGAAGCUGGCAGUGGACAAGGUUUUAACGGCACCAUGUGCAACAUCAGUUUUGUAUCCAAGGAGUGGGGGGAAUCUGCAUAACUUCACGGCAGUCACUCCUUGUGCUGUUCUUGACAUUCUCACACCUCCUUACAGAGAAGAUGCAGGCAGAAAAUGUACCUACUACCGUGAUUAUCCGUACACCGUGUUUGGUAAGUAACUUUGAUUUCUAGUUAGGGUUUUCUUUCCUUCUUGAAGUUAAUUCGCAUGAAAAGAAAAGCUGAUGAGUUUAGCGGUCUGAUGAAAACUGCAGCUACGGAAAACAAAAUUAAAAUAGAGGACGGUAAAGAAGAGGAGUAUGCAUGGCUUGCUGAGACAGAACCGGAUAAUCUUUACAUGCGCUCGGGAAAUUACACAGGGCCGUCUAUUCAGGUUUAACCUUCAUCACUGUCGGUAGGGACGAUCACUAAAUGAGCCGAUGCUUCUUAAUGUGUGUGGUUUGGCUUUAGCACCGUAGAGAAAGCAUACCAUUGCGGUUGAUGACAGAAAGGCAACGAGGUAACUAAGGCGCCGAGAAGUGAUUUGAGAGAAGUGCUUCUUGUUAGACGAUGAUAUCAAGUUUAUCGAGUCAAGUCAUCCCGUAUGAACCGCUCUCCUUGUUUGUGUUGGCCUUCAUUAACCAACUCAGCAGAGUUGUGAUUGUGAUGAAUGCAUCCAAGGAUUUGUUAUGAUAGUAGUGAUUAGUGAAGCUCUCUGUUUGAGUUUAUGUUUGUGAUGUUAUGUUGUGGCAUUCAAACACGGACAUGUCCGCACAAGAAAACACAAUCUGCGCCGCCGACGGUUAAAGCUCUACUUAAAACGACAAGAGAUUCGGGAACUCAAAACACUUUCACUAGUAAAAUUGAUGUUUUGCCUCUGAACCAUUGCAAGAUUCGAUCGACAAAUCGAGAUGUAAUACACGGUACAUUACAUUACAAGGCCGCACAAGAACUACAAAGUUGAACCGGAUGACGCCGGCACACGGAACUGCACCUGACUUGAUAAACUCUAUCAAAAAUUUCUGUAGAUUUUCCAGGAAAUCUGAAUUGGCUGGAAGGGAAGCUUAGAUGACUUGGAUGAAUGAUCUGAUAAAUUUCGUCGCUUAGGGAGAUCUGAAAGCUUCGCCAGCAUAACGCACAUUGCCGAGUUCCUCUUCAAUACGCAGAAGCUGCAUCCAAAUCAAAACACAGAUAAAGAGAUAAUUUCAGUCACUCUUCAAUUCUAAUGCUUUGUGCACAUUCAGGAAAACAAGUCGAAAGUGGAUGGUGUUGAGGGAAUGGAAAUGUUCUGGUUUUAACCUGAUUAUACUUGGCCAACCGCUCACUUCGGCAGGGAGCUCCUGUCUUGAUCUAUUCAGAACAAAAUGAAAUCGUCGAUUUCAUGUAUAAAUGAAGUCGAAUAUAGAGAGCAUAGUUAUAGGAAUUAGCCAACAAACCUGUCCACUAGCCAAACCAACAGAAAGAUCAGCGAUAAAGUUAUCUUCAGUUUCUCCACUCCGGUGGCUGACCAUAACACCCCAACCUGCAGCUUUUGCGUCGAGUGCUGCCUGAAUAGAUUCAGUUAUUGUGCCGAUCUGGUUAACCUGCAAUUCAAAGGAUGAAAAUGAGCUCGAUCAAGUUACUCAAAUCACAAGGUUAACCAUUUAAAGGAAAACAAUCAACAACAACAACAACAACAAAGCCUUUUCCCACUAAGUGGGGUCGGCUAUCAUUUAAAGGAAAACAAUUGACGCAGUUAAAUAUGCUUGCCUUUAGAAGUAAACCAUUGCAUGCCUUCUUCUGAAUGGCUUCAGCAAUUUUUGUUGGAUUUGUGACCAACAAGUCAUCUCCUACAAGUUGGAUAUCAACAGAAGACUGAAGUGAAGACCACGAGCUCCAAUCGUCUUGGUCAAAUGGAUCUUCAAUAGACACAAUUGGGAAUUCCUUAAUGAACUCCUUGUACAGCUCCCCAAGGUUCGGAGGCGAGAGCACAUGGGCCCCGUCAUUUGGUUGUUUCUUAAAGUUGAGAUCGUAUUUCCCUUCUUUGGUGAGAAAUUCUGAAGCUGCAACAUCCAUUCCUAUUUUGAUCUGCAUCAAUGACAUUGUUGUGAGUCCGCAUAACACAUUUCUAUAAGAAAUUGCAAGAGAGAAAUAAUGCCAACACCUACUACGGUCCUACCUUUCCGGUGUAUCCAGCCUUUUCAAUAGCAUCAAUGAGCAAAACUAGACCCUCCCUAUUAUCCUGCACAUUGGGAGCAAACCCCCCUUCAUCUCCAACAUUGCAAGCAUCCUGUCCAUAUUUUGCCUUGAUAAUUCCCUUUAGUGUAUGAUAAACUGCUCCAUGCAAUCCAGAACACUUUAUCAAUUAUCAACCGUUCAAAAAACGCCAAGAGCAUACUAAUCAAUAGCGAUUCAAGCAUUUUCUGCUCCAUAAACCAUAUAUGCGGAAAAUGAAUAACAAAUCUGACUAACCUUCACUACCCAUGCGGAGUGCCUCAGCGAACGAGGAUGCACCAACAGGCAAGAUCAUAAACUCCUGCAUUGCCAGAUUAUUUCCUGCGUGGCUGCCUCCAUUUAUCACAUUGAAAGCUGGGACGGGCAUAACAAGCUCCUUCGUUCCUGAAACUUCCUGGAUGUGCUUGUACAAUGGCACUCCCUUUGCUCCUGCUCCCGCUCUACACACGCUCAGAGAUACUCCCAAUAUGGCAUUGGCCCCCAGUUUCGACUUGUUUGGGGUUCCAUCGAUUUCCAACAUAAGUGCAUCAACCUCAUUUUGAUUUCUGAAAAAAGCAAAAACUUCGGAACUUCAUAACCAGCACUCAACAAAAUAUGCCUAAACAACUCAUAUAAACAUAAUCAACAUCAAGGCUAACAAGUUAGUGCUGUUUGAGACAGCUUCUGGAAUGGCCAAAAGUGCUUUAGUGCUUCUUCAACAAGCAAAUCCCUGUUCUUUCUUGAAAAGCACUUGAAUUUUUAGUAAAGAUUUUGACAUGCUUCUAACAAAAGCACUUCGAGCAAGAGUAGAAGUCCCCGACGGGCUUCCAAGCGGUCCCUCAGUAAAUUUUCUUUAACAUUCCUUAAAUCAGUGAACUUUUUCUAACAUCUAUUCCUAAACUAUUACUAAUUAGAAUUAAGAAAAGGAUUAACUAUAAAAGAGAUUAAACAAAAAUGCUUAAGCUUAAUUAACCUGACAUCGACGCCAACGAGCUUGGGUCCCAAAAUCUCAUUGAUGUUCUUCACAGCAGUGAGCACACCUUUCCCGCCGUAGACAGCCUUGUCACCGUCUCUGAGCUCCAACGCCUCGUAAAUUCCGGUGGAGGCGCCACUGGGCACGGCCGAUCGGUACAGAUCGUCAGUGACCAGAUCAACCUCGACAGUCGGAUUACCCCUGCUGUCGAUGAUCUGCCUCGCCUUCACCGACUUGACCUUGUACUCCUUGGAGGCCUUGGCGGCCGCGGUGGGCGCGACGGCGACUGAGCAUUGGACGGAGCCAGAACGACGCCGGGCCAGGCAGGGGACGCCGGUGGGGAGCUGGGGUCUGGGCUGGGGUUUGGAGCAGAGGAAGGGGUUUUGGAGGAGGUUGGUGGUGGGCUGGGUAGCUAGAGCCAUGUUUAGAGAGAGAGAGAGAGAGAGAGAGAGAGGGAGAGAGGGAGUAUUAGAGAGAGAAAAGUGUUUGGAGGGACAGAAAGUUUGGGGAGGAGAGAUAAAAAAGGGGAGAGAGUGUGGGAAAAUCCGUCGAGGUGGCGAUGAAUAUAACGUGCGGGUUGUUGGUUGGUGGUGUCGUUUGGACUCGCGGAGACGUUGAGACUGAAGCAGCCAGCUCUGGAGAGAGGAAGGUAGAUGGCUGUGCGUCACGUGCGUGCGUGCGUGCGUGUAUAUGCUGAGGUGGCAUGUGGGGUCCGUUUAACUACCUUAAAUAUUUAAAAAAACUAAUGAAAAUGACUUGAAAACUUUGAGAUUUAACGAUAAAGAUAAAAUAAAGGGUAAAAUGAAUAGUAUCAUGAUUGAUUUUUUAAUGUAAAAAUGUGGUUUUUCGUUAAAGUGAACAGUACCGGAAGCUUUUCGUUAAAGUUCCCUAAAUAUUUUUGGUCCCGCUUUGGACGGAUAAGGGUCCUUCCAAUCAUAUGCGUUAAUUAUACAUUAUAACAUUAUGCGGUUAAAAGUUAUUAUAAAUUGUUUUAUUAAAAAUUAAAUAUAAAUAAUAUCUGACGAAAAAUAAUUGUACAAUAUACGAUAAAAAAGAAUCAUGAGAGGUUCCUCAUUCGCUUUGGACAACCGACAACGGUGCGUGCAUGCGAUGCAACCUACCACCCGGGUUUUUUUUUCACUAGUUUGGACUUUGGGGCCCAAACCCACAAGAAAAAAGUUGUUGUUCAUAUAUGGGCCACAAGGCCCACAACAACACAAUGGAACAAGGGUAAAGUGGUAGUUAAAUGUAGAAAACGAUAAACUUCAGUUGCUAUUUCGAGAGAGACUUACAUGAGACGAAGUAUAAGCCCAUCUAUUUUAGAAAUUUUAUAAUAUAAUUGUAACAUAAACAUGUAGUGCUACUAACUCACGUAUUAAACAGUUUAAGUGAAUGACAUGAUUGAUACUUUAUUAACCUAAGAGUGUACUAAUAAUAAAAACUUCAUGUUAAGUUUAUGACAUAUCAUUGAUUGAUACGUAUUAUGAGACAACAAAGUUAAGAAGGAAAGAUUUUUCAAUGUGCCAAGAACACAGCCCGCUACACCAAAUGUCAUAAUAGAUUCAUGUUAGUGGUUGAAAUAUUUUUCAAGUAUUCUAACACAUAUUAUGAAGUUGGUAAGCCGAACAAUGUUCCCAACACAAUUCCAGAAGGAAACAAAAAAAAAAAAAAAAUCCCAAACUCUCAAAUGCAUAAGCUGUAAAGUGGCGGACUCGUAAUUCAUCAAGACGAAACAUACAAGCUUUGGCUGAGUUCACAACUAUCAGAAAAAUGUGACUUCUAAACGAUGGAGCCUGACAAAAUAAUUUGAGUUCGACUACUUGAGAAAGGUGCAAGCAAGAAACAAGAACAGGUACACUACGAGUGAAGUUAGAAGUUCGAGGGUCCAAGUCGGGUGCAAGAGCAUUGAUGGAAUAUUCGGGACCAAGACCGAACCGCAUACCCAACCAGUGACAAGAGCUCCAAGUCUGCAACAGGGGCAAUGUGUAAGUAACGAGAAGAGUGAGGGAAGAAGGCAGACAACUAUGGCCACUGUCCAAACUUACCCGAAAAUGGAAGCUCUGGCCAAGCUCUUUGUCUUCUCGUUGAGGAAAUAGAUGCAAGCUGCCAAGGAGACCGCCACCUGUAGUAACAAAUAUUUCGAUUAUUUCCAAAUUCCAGAAAGGGGCACCAACAUUGCAAUCUAUUUUCUGCGUGCUUAAAUGCAAAUUAUAGUGUUUUAAUCAAGAUCAACAACGAGGAAGGGUGCAUUUAUCUAGGAUGAUGGAGAAGCACAGAAGGAUGGGGGAGGAUAUAUCUUAUGGAAGAAAGACGACUUAAAGAUCCCAAUGUUGGAUUCAGCAAAAGAAGGUAGGCAUUUGCUCUGUACGUCGAGAAAUGUCUAAAAGUCUAAUUGUGUCAGCAAGGCAUGCUUCACAAAGAGACUGAUGCAAUGCCACUACCAUAUUUCUAUUCCAAACCGUUUGUGCUCAUCAUAUGACGAGAGCAACUCAAUCAAAUAUAUCAUCCACAUUGUGAACAAACGAAGAUGUCUCAUGAACGGCUUAAAGGAUAUCUAAGAACAGCACACCAAAAAAACAAUGUCUAACUAAGUAACUGAGAGAGUAAACCUCCUCCUCAAACUUGCACAAAUCCGUCACAAAUAAAACAAGUUUCAAAUCAAUGCUUCCAAUAAAGGAUGCACUAAGGACAAGCUGAUAUUAGCCUACGCAUUCAAUUACCAUGACUGAAGGUUUCACUUGGAUAAAAGAAAAUGAUAAAAAUGGCAACAGGUAUGAUUAAAAGAUAUAAGGCGAUUCGAGCCUUGGCAAUCAGAACAAACCUGAAAUGCAGGUCCACCUUCAGCUGAGUUCAUGAUACUCCAGCCACCCAUGAACGCAAAGAGGAACAAUCUUCUAAAAAUAACUUCAACAGGUGGAACUUCCACAAAAUUGAGCAGGUUCUUAACCCAAGGCGGAGACUCUUCAACUUUCUUUUUCAACUUGCUCUUCAAAUUAAUUUUUGUUUUCUUCCUCUGCUGGAAGCUGGUCAUCAAGAUUUUCUCAAAAGCAGCUUCAAUUGAUUCUUCACUUCUUUCAUGUCCAGCAUACUGUUGUAAGAGAAAAUUGCGUGAUCCCCAAAUUUCUUCCUCAGACGCAUCAUAGGUCACACCAAGACGUUUAUACGGAUCCCAAACACUGAUUCUAGGGAAUUUUGGAGCAUUACCUACAGAGGCAAUAAAAAUGCGAAAUGAGCAAAGGUCAGCCGUCUACUUAUCCAGGCAGAACUCUCAAGUCAGAUAUAUUAAACCACUAAGUACUGGUACUAGUACUACAUAUCCAACAUAAGUUCUAAGUGUCGGGUAUAAUAAAACAAGAUUUAUCUGUCAUGCAAGUGUUUUAAUCAUUCACCACAUAACGCAAUUGCUAGAGUAAAAUUGGAAAUUCCUAAACAAAAUGCAACCGAUUCACCCCCCUCUAGGUUAAACUAGUACCCAUCCUAGAACCUUCAACAAUGGAUAGCUGCCAUUCACCCGAGGGGCAAAAAAGAGCAGGGUGAGACAACAACUACUUGAUUCUCGAUGCUCACAAGAACUUCGCUUCGCAAUUCCCAUCAACUCGAUUUCAACUAGCAUGAGCAAAAGUUUGUGUCUUUUAUCCUUACUACAAAAUCUUGUGUCCUAAAAUCUAAAUUCUGGGUCUGAACAGUGAAAUCAGGCAACCAAAUAAAUAAAAAUUCUCCAAAUUACAAUAAAAAGAGCUAGGGCAGAAAUGAAUUUUACCUCCAUAAGAUGUACCAGCAGCAGCACAUCUAGGAGCUCGUACAACGGAGCAACAAGUUGGCAGCUUCUUCGAAUUUUCGAGAAAUUUACUGCAAGAAAACAUCCAAAUCAAUAGAUAUAAUCACAGAUAUAUACAUAUAAACAGAGAGGAAAGAGGGGGGAGAGAGAGUACAGUUUGUGGCCGAGGAAAGCGGUGGUGAAAUUGGGGGAGGAGAUGGAGAGGGAGGCCAUGGCUUUUUUUCUUGGGGAGGUCUGCGAACUGAGAAAACCCUAAUUCGAAUGGUGGUUGGACGCCAUGGAAAUAGGCUCCGAAGCUGCAAGCCAACAGGGGGUUUUGGGGGUGGCUGGGGAUGGAAGAGGAGUAACUAUAUCCGCUGCUGCCUUGUAUAUUUCAACAGAGUGAGCCGGCCCCAACUACCUUGUGCGACGAUGCGCACUGCGCACAUUUUCUUUUUGCUUAUUUACGUCAGUGCCCCCAAGAAUCAAUUUUAGUCACUUUGCCCUUGUUUAACUAAAAAUGUGUCAUUUACACCCAAAAAGCUAGCUUUGUGUCACUUCGUCCUAUCUCGUUUUUUUUUUAGUAUAUCAAUAUUUUUACAAGAAGAGGAGGGGAGUUCUGCUAAACCACAUAAUGAGCAGCCUAAUUUGGUAUCAAAUUUGUCAUUCACGAGAUUCGAAUCUAAAACCUUUCACUUUCAAGUGAAAAUGAAUAUCACUAGAUCGUAAUAUUUUAUCUUAUCUCGUUAUCUUCAUUAAAUUCUGUUAAAUCAUUGUGGCAUUGAUAUUAAUAAGCCUUUUGGUGAGAGGAGUAUCUGCUGAGAUAAAGAUAGAGGGGGCAUCAUUGGUGUAGAUUUAGAGUAGUCGCGGGGGAGCCGGGGGGUGGGGGAGUAUCCGGCGGCGGCGGGGAUGACAUGCAGGAGACUGUACGGGUGAAGAUGGGAGCGGUGGGGCCAAAGGAAGUAUGAUUUUGGAAGCAAAGCGUAAUUUUUAAGUACGAAAGUGAAAUAAAAAAACUAAAAGUAAUAAAGUGUGAAUUUCAUGAUGCAACGAGGGUAGUAAAAUAAAAAUCAACUGAGAAUUACGCUAUUUCCAUCGACGAAAAUGCUCAGAUAUUAAAUUGCAACAGUGCAGUAAAACGAUUGUACAACAAUGUAGAGCUGAGACAAUCUUUGUACAUCAAAUUUAUUUCUUCUUUCUGUUGGUGCAACAUGCUUGAUAUCGAGGGCCGCAUGUAAUUCAACAGUCUAUGGCGCUGCGCGGUUCAUAUUCCGCUGCGCUACAAAGUCUGGACCGUGACGCGUGGCACCGCCUUUACACGGAGGAGCACCCCAUUGUCACAGCUUAGGACCUUGGUCGAGUUGAGCAAACUGCAGCCGCAAAAUCCUUCGCAUGACCUUAUUUGUUGCUGUUCUUGGAAGAGACGGGAGAGGCACAACUUUGGAAACCUGCGCGGCCGAAGGAAAAAGUCAGCAAAUUAUCCAUAAAUAUACAAAUGUAAGGCAUGUUGUUGGUUAACUUAGGAGCAGAGGAUCGAUACCUUGAACAACGGAUUUAAUUUCUUCUGCACGGCUGAAUUGAAGGACAUUCUCAACUGAUUCAAGUCUGCAGUUGGGUUAUCUGAGUUCUUGAAUACGACGGCAAUUACUAGCUGCUCAGGCCCGCCUCCAGCAAGCGGCACUCCAAUCGCAGCUGUCUCGAGAACAUUGUUAUCAACUGCAUUACAGAUUCGUUCAAUCUCAACCGAACUAACCUGGAAAAAGAAAAUGGAGUGCAUCAGAGCAAACGUAUCGUGAUUAUAACUAGUGAGUUCAUUUCAGGCUAAACUGUGUAUACUUGGAACUUUACGUCAGAAGGUUCAGGUCAGAAUAUUUCAUGUGCAUGCGUAUCCCAAAUAUUGAAUUUCUUUGUGUUUUCUCUCCAAAAGUACCUUGAUGCCCCCAAUAUUCAUUGUAUCAUCUGCACGACCGUGCGCAUGAUAGUAACCUCUAGAUGUCCGUUCAAACACAUCUCCAUGCCUCCUUAACACCUGCAUUUUGCAAAAUCAGAGAAAUUUUUAUUGAGCUUACAUGGUAUAUUGGUAUGACAGUGAAGAAGAAAUUUGCUCACCUUUCCAUUCCAAAUUGGCAUUCCCUUGAAAUAAACGUCAUAAUGAUUAGCAUUCAGUAAUGUACUAGAAGCUCCAAACAUGACGGGAUCAAGCGCCAAUUCACCAACCCCUGGCUCAUUUUGUGGCUGCAAUAGAAGAUGAAACUUUCUACGAUAAGUAUGUGAGUACUUGACCAUGCAAAAAAGUUGCUGCGACUUGAAAAGUACAGAUGCAAAAUUUCUUCAAAUGUGAGGUAUUUUUGGUGCUUACAAUAGGAACACCAUCAUUGCCAAGAAUAUACAAACUGCAGCCCAUAGCUGGUGUGCUAAAAGCAGCCAACGACUGAGCCUGCAACAACGACCCAGUAACAAAACCACCACCAAUCUCUGUACCACCACAGUACUCAAUGAUAGGCUUGUAGUGAGCCCUCCCCAUCAGCCAUAGGUAUUCCUCUACAUUUGAUGCUUCGCCGGUGGAUCCAAAGCAACUAUCACAUUUCAUAGGAAGGAAAGAAAAGAGAUUAUGGCUUGAUCAACACCAAUAGCAAAGAUCAUUACUGAUAUAAAACAUAUUUCAUUCAAAAAUGCAACGCAAGAAUCCAGAUGUUCAGACUAAUAUGGUACAUACUAAGAAAGACAACUAAAACUUACCGAAUGGCAGACCAAUCAUAGCCGGAAACAGAAUUUGUACUUUUCCAUGACCGAACAAUGCUCGGGAUUACACCAAGCAUUGUUACUUUGGCAUCCUAGCAGAUUGCAAGAGUUUUAGUUCUAAGAAAGUAUUUACAACUAAAAUAUCAUAUAGACAAUUAAUGAGAAUAUCUUAUCAUAUAUGCGCAUUUUCUAUCAAGCCAAAAUACUUUUAAUUUACUGUUCCGAGCAUAUAACAGAGCUAACUACCUGAACAAACUUGGCAAAGCCGGAUCCAAGUGGAGAUCCAUUAUAUAAGGCAAUGGAAGCUCCAUUUAACAAUGAAGCAUAUACCAGCCAAGGGCCCAUCAUCCACCCAAGAUUUGUGGGCCAAGCAACAACGUCACCUAUACGGAUGUCCAUGUGACACCAGGCAUCUGCAGCAGCUUUGAAAGGAGUUGCAAGGGUCCAUGGAAUUGCCUUUGGAUCCCCUACAUCAAAGUUAAAGCCCAAUUAGGACUGUUGCUGGAUGUCACAUAACCGUUGGCUGAUUUGAAAACUUAAAUUUAUCUAAGACUUGACAAAUUUUUCAUUCGUGGAAAAGCAACAUAGAAUUAUUGCAGGGCUAAGUUAAAUUCAACAUUCAAAUUACCAGUAGUUCCAGAUGAGAAGAGAAUAUUUGUAAAUGCUUCUAUGGGUUGUUCUACAGCAGCAAAUUCAUUGUCUCUGAAGAUAUGAAAAGGAACAAUCCAACAUCGGUAUCAGAGCCUGCUGAUAAUUAGAUUCUUUCAAGAUAAUUAUGUAAUAGGUCAAGUUAUUUUAAUGCACGCAGACAGCAUCGACAAACUUAAAGAGGAUCCCAUCCGAGACAAUAAAUCGAAGGAAAACUGGUCCAUAAACAAGAAUGGAGAUGGAACGAAACAACCUAAUGUUGCCCAUCCAAAUGUUAUAUUGGCUGGUUCACACACAAUGGUAUGCCAAGAUUUUGUAAUCAAGUUGAAUCAUGCAGAUUUCAUAAAGGAAGAAAAAUAGUGCAUACUUGAAAUCUUUUACUGUUUCUAGAAAAUCAUGCCAGGAAAUGUCACCAUCACGCAAUUUCGUGCUAGAACUGGAACCUUUGGUAAGAAUAACGAUUGCCAUAGGAGACUCUGCUGCCACAAUUUUACUGCACAAUUGAAGCUAAAUGUGAGACACACUGUCUGGGAAACCAAAGCAUGAAACAUACUAUUUCAACUCAUAGCUAGAGUACUUUACCUAUACAAGGGCAGACUUUUCUCGCCGCGUUUUAUUAGAUCCUAACCAAAAGAAAAGAAAAGACAAAGAUUAAGAAUUUGAGACUCAAGGGACUAGAUUUGUAAAAGUCAAGUUUUCCUUGUUCAAGUUGGAAACUAGAUCAUGAAUUGAGACUCAAAGAGCUACCAGUAAAACACGAGAACUGUUUCCAAGUGACUUAUAUUAAUACCAAAAACCAAAAACAAAGAAAAUCAAACUACAAACAAAAUUGGAAAACAAGGUGGCGAUGUUUCAUUCAAAACUACCAAGUCCUUUUUAUGUUGAAGCAGAAACAUAGACAUGGAAAAAAAAGGAAAGGAAUAAGGACGAAAAUAUGGUGACUGUACAUAUAUAACCCUAAAGAAACUGAGGCAAUAUCAAAUUCGUUCCGUAACAAUCAGAACAAAAAUCAUCAAGUUAGAUGUAAAACCCGAAAAUGAUUCAGUAAUUUCAAGUGGAAGAAACAACAAUGGAGCUAGUGUAUGACAUACAUGGUGAAUUGAGGCUAGCAAAAAGAGACUUCAACAAUCAAUGACAGAAACAAAUGAUAUAAUUCGAUAACAGAGGAAAGCCUUGUUACCUAUUUCUCAUAGCAUCCAUGUCAGUACAACAAUCUCCCACUAAUAUCUUGAAAUUGAAUAGAAUACUUUUGUAUCCUAACAUGAAACUAAGGUAUAGACCCACACCCUCCAGUUUACACAUCAAGAGGAUCGAAUAGAUUACGGAAAAAUGAAAAAGUAACCUGCAAUGUUUUUGGUUAUCCAGUGAAAAGAAGGACCUGGGUAAAUAUGGCUUUUGCCUCUGAUAUUUUAAGCCUUGUUGAUAUUUCAGGAGGAGCAAAACUAUCAGCGAUUGAUACAACAACACAUCCUGCCAGAACAAUAGCAAGGUAAAUAACUAUGGCAUUGACAUGCAUCGGCAUAUCAAUUGCGAUUGCAGAGCCUUUCUCCAAACCCAGUGCUUUUAGCGCAUGUGCAACUAACCUGCAUAUUGUAGCACCAAAAAUGUGUUAAACAAAACUCUUCCCUUUAUAAAUGCAUAAAUACACAUAUUCCCCUUUGUUGUGUGAUAGGUGCAAAUAAAUAACUAAACAUACAUUAAAUCUCAAAAAGAUUUCAACAUGAAAAAACUUAGAUGAUCAAAAGUAGCAUACCAAACCUCUGUGCGCAAUUCUUUAAGCGUCAUCUUAUUCAAAGGCAGAUCAUCAUUUCCUUCAUCGCGCCAUAUCACCAUGGUAUCAUUCAAGCUCCUCUUACGAUUUACAAUCAAGCAAUUUUUGGCCGGAUUCCCAAACGCUCCAGGAAGCCAUUGACCUCCAGGAACUAACAAAUGCCCAUCUCCAGACAAAUUCUCACGUAAAAUGCAUUGGGGAGGUGUAUCAAAGGAUGCGUUCAUCUCAUCUAGUAGUACAGUUUUCCAAUAAACCUGUCGAACAAAGACAGGAAUCAGAUAUGUGAAAUGAGUACCAAAGCGAUAAACAUCUCAGCAUUCGAUAAAUACUACCUCAGGGUUUGACACCGAAAAUUCCUGAAAAUCCGAAAAGCUGGAUAUGGGAUCCCUGUAUCUGGAACCCAAGAGCUCUUUUCCCCUCCUCUCAAGUAGCUGGCCAACAUUUGUUAGUCCUGCAGUCUCCCUUAUCACACAAAAAGAAAUGCACUUUCAGAAUUUAUUAUCAAAAUCUCAGUGUAAAAACUUCAAAGUUUCCUACUUUAACAACCCUCUAAACUCUAAUAGCUUCAUUUGUUCACACGCGAUUCAUCGCCAAGAAAAACUGUGAACAAUUUUCCCCAAAACAACGUUUCCAAGGAACCAAACACUCCCCGUAAGAGAAAUGGCGCCGCUUUCAUUAAAAAUUUAAGUGCUUCCUGGAAAAGCACAUGAAAGUCAGAGCAUUUAUAACCCAAAAGCAUUUUUUGGGGUCAAAUUUAGCGGCUUAGUGCUUUUGUUGCGCUGAAAGUGUUUUUGGCCAAGCACUUCCAAAAUGGCCCCGACUUUCCUAAUUGUUGUAGAGUUCACAGGCGUUUCGUCACCUAGGAAUUACAGAAAUCUCUUCCAGGAACUAAACACACCCUUUAAACUUUAAGCUCUUCUGGGAAGCAGUUAUGUUCCUAAGAGCUUUUGCAGAAAGUGCUUUGUUUAGAAGAUGGCGCAACUUUUACCAAAAGUUGAAGUCUGCUUCCUAGAAAAGCACUUGAAAGUAAGUGCACGUAUAACCCAUAAGCAUUUUAGCUUUUUCUGUGAAAUUAUUCCACAAGCGUUUGUUGCUCUGAAACAGAAAGUGCUUUUGGCCAUUCUAAAACCGCUUCUAAACUAUCAGAAUUUCCCACUGGUUCGUUUGUUCGUUAUGCUCACAGGCGCGUUUCAUCACCAAGGAAACACACAAAUUUUUCCAGAAAACAACUUUCCCAGGAACCAAACACUCCCUCUAAACUUUGUAAGUAAAUAAUUUAUAACUCCAAGGCUAAAAACCAAAUAUUAAACUUUUUUUCUGGGUUGGAGAACUAACGGGUCGGGCAUCCAGGCGGGCGGGUCGGGUCCGAAGUCCUUGUAGCAGCCGUAGUACAACAUCCGGUGGAACGAGAAGGGAAGCUCGGGGCUGAGGACGUGCGCAGUGAUAUUGCGCCACGUCUCCGGUGUGGCGGCUCCGUAAUUAGCGAUGAUAUCAGUCAAACUUCCAUGGAGUCUCUUCGCAGCACCCGAUUCGAUCCCCAGAACUUCGAUGUCGGAAAUUGUAACGCCGUCCAGGCUCUUAUACGCCAUCAUCUUCCGGCCGCCGUCGCCAAUAAUUAGUGAGAGAGAGAAAUGAGAGCUAAGCUGGUGAGCUGGGUAGGUUGGAGGGGUGGGGAGGUGGGGCCCGGUGGGUAGUGGUUGAGGGUGUGGGUGCUUCUACUACGUUGUUUGUUUGUUGGCUCAUUUUGGGUAUGCGUGUAAGAUAAAAGCUUCUACUACGUUGUUGGUUAGUUCAUUUCGAGGGAAGAUUUUUCAAUGUGAUCGGUAGACGGAGGUGUGCCUGUGUGAGAUAACAGCUUCUACUAGGUUGUUGGUUGGUUCAUUUUUCAACUUUUUGGGAGUUUUAACUAAAAGCUCUCAUUACUGUUGACUUUUAAAGAAAAUGAUAUUUUUACUCUAAAAAGUCUACUAUUUACUUACAAUAUUUUUUUGUCAUUUUUUAUUAAAACUCAAAUAUUUCAAGUCAUUUUCAUUUUUUUUUUUCAGCUUUUAGAUUCAAGUCCAAAAACAUAAAUGAUUUUUAGGAGGGAGUUCAAUUAUUUAAUUGCAUAUUUUUAUUUCUUUUAUACUCAUUUUAUAUUUUCUAAAAAUAUUAAAAAUCAAUUAAAAUCUUCUAAUAUUAUGCAUUUUUCAACUCCAAAAAAAUCUAAUUAAUAUCUUAUAACAAAAAAAAAAACUAAUAUACUAACAUAAAUCUAUCUUCCAAACAUUCUACCUUAACUCAAGUAACAAAUAUAUGAAUGUAUUUUAUACCUGUAAGCAAGAUAUGAAACCUAAUUAAAGGGUAGAAGAAAAAAAAACAUAAUAUACCUACAAACAAGACAUUAAUCUGUGACAGGUUAAUUAUAAAAAAUAAUUUGUUAUAUAGAUACAUAAAAAUAAUUCCUAUGAUAUAGAUUGAUUAUAAAAAUUAAAAAUAUAAUUUAUAAAUAGGGUUUAAAGUAGGAGGAAGAACAAGAAAUUACAAAAAAAUAAAAAAAAAAUAAAAAGAAAUAAUUAAAGAGAUAAUUAGGAAUAAAUUGAUUUUUAUAAUAUAUCUUAUCAUUGAAUAGAUAAUUAUUAAUAAUUAAAUAAUUAAAUUUAAAGAAUUAGACUUAUUUUAAUAAAUUGGACUAUUUCUACUAUCGGUUAAAAAAAGGGGUGUGAUAUCCACACACUCUUCUAAUUUUCAGCCGUCGGAUCGGAUGAAAUAAUGAAGAUCAACGGACAAAAUUAACAAAAGGUGUGUAAGAAGUAAAAAUGGGUGUGUGGAUAGCACAUCCCUAAAAAAAUUGGACUUAUAUCAGGUUUUUUUUUUUUUUUUUUUUUUUCUCUUCUGUUUGUGCUCUGUCGUUUCAUGGGGAAUCUUGUGCGUUUUAUGCAUGAAGUUGUUCUCUGCUGCAGUGUUCGAUGUUCCCUUGGUCACGUCGUGCAUGCAGCUUAUCUGGUUUUAUAGUUUGAUAUAAUUAAAGUAGGAAAAUGAUAAACACACACCUUUUAUAGCUUCCUACACACCCCUGGCUAAUCAUGUCCGUUGUUUUCAUUUGAUUUAUUCAAUCCGAUGGCCUGGAACAAAGAGGGGUGUGGGAAAAGCUAUAAAAGGUGUGUGAAAAUCAGCUCCCUUAAAGUAAUGGUUCCUGAAUUUUAAUUCAAUUAGAGUAAUGGUGUUUCAAUUUUAGCUUAAUUGAAGCAAUAGUCCAUGAACCAAAAAUUCGUGAGCAUUGGCCCCUAAACUUGAAAUUUGUGAGCUUUGGUCCUGAACUUGUUAUAAUAUGUGACAAUGAUCAUUUUAACCAACUCCAUUAGACUUUUCAUUCAUUUUUGACCCAUUUAAACUCUAUUUUUUGUGGAAUUUCUACCGGUGUUACUCAAAAUGUCAUUACUCUCCAUUGUGCCAAGUUCAGGAACCAAGACUUCAAUUCAGGAUCAUUGCCCCAAUUAAUCCAACGUCAGAUACCAUUACUCUAGUUUUCUCUUAUAAUUUUAUUGAUCUUAUGACUUACGCACGCGCGGUUAAUGGUUCUUGUUGCAUGCAUGCACGCACGCUGAUAAACUGUUUUCUUGGCGCAGUUGAAGUUUUGGUCUGAUGAGGAGAUGUUUAAAGCAUAUAAAGGGGCCAAAUGCCCACACCAUAACCUCAAGGUAGUACAAGUACUCAGUUAUUGCCGUCGUACAAAUGCUGUUUUACACGUGAUGUACAAGCUUCCGACCAGGAAGAACACGAAACAAUUUACAAGCUACUCAGUCGGAUCCAGGAAGAAGCUUUCGCCCGGACUGCGCUGACGUGCUGCUUGUGCCAAAACGUCCAGCCGCUGCUGGGAUGAUUCUUGAUGGCGAAAGGACCUCCGCAAAAGAUAAAUUGUACGAAUCUGCGCCUAAACGGCUCUGUAACCAUCCCUUGCUUCCUGAGAACCCAUCUGCUACUGUCCAACAGUUCUUGAACCCUAGACUAGUUAGUGCUCUUGCAACUAUUUUUCCUGAAUCCGAGUACCUGUUUACGAGAAACAAAAAACAAGAACGAAAGCAAUGUCAUAACUCAUAAUUUAGCUACUUAAUAUGACCCAGAGAGCAAUAUCUAUGUCAGGUAGUAGUUUUAAGUGUUGGAGCUUAAUACGAAAGAACUCACGAGUCCAGGAUCACGAUGUUGGAGCCUUUGUUAACUCUCUUGAGGUAAGAAAUCUUCAGCGCGGCUAUCUCUGCCUCUACUUUCUUCACGUUUCUGACAAGGCCUCGCAAUUUGUUUGGUAGUUCUUCCAAACUGGAAAGAAAAAAAAUAUUUGAGGCAACGAAAGGUUCAUAAAUGGGAUGCAGGAAGGGUACAAAUUAGAGGAUUGAGGAUGCCGGGGAGAAGUUACUCACGGAAUGGCAAUCAUUUUGCUUUUGGCACUUGAUGGUAGGCGGGGAAUGCCUGCCUUGUCCUUGUCCUUCUCUGGUCGAAUAUCGAUCAAAAGGUAAUUCUUUGUUGAUACGAGAUCAAGGGUUUGAGCAGGAGUAAGCGAACCUGGAGUUAGUACAACACAAAACCAUAGAACAAUUAGUCCAUCCCAACUUCACAAUACAUGAAUUUAGUAAAAGUACCAUCCAAACCAAAACUUGUUUUGAAUGUGUUGAGUAAGCAAACCUAAAUUUUAAGUACUCGAAUUUGAAAUUGAUCGAUAUGGUGCGUAAAUGCAGUUAUACGUGCUAUUUCAAGCAGAAGACGCCAUUGUUUAUUCUUGUUUCGAAUAUGUUUACUGUUAUACAGACAUGAAGCAAUUCCAUUUCGUAAUAAGCUUGUAUACCUUGGUAACCACGGAGGCUAAAAGAUAGAGCAGACCAGACAGGAGGAAGAAGGAGGUACGCGAGGAAUAAAGCUCCAGCAGUUCCGGCAAUCACAAUAGGAUCUGCAGAUGAGAUGGUCUUGAUAGUUGACGAAGCAAUGGGCUUGGCCUCUUCGAUUGCUUUGGUGGUCUCCCCUGCUACAUCAGCUACCGUCUGAGACCAAAUCGAUCUUUCAGGUAGUGUCUUUAAUUUAAGUAAACGGAGUGCUUGUACACUAGUCAAACCUUACAAUCAUCCAUUUCCCAAUAAGCAAUGGAUUUUACAGUGUCAAUUUGUUCACUUAAAAGUAUAUGGAAGCGUUUUAAUGCUCUACUAGAGAUGAAGACUGUUGCAUAGUGAACCGCUUCCGACUACAUUAUAUUGAUGAGAAUGUUUCCUGACAUAGUGAACCUAAAACAACUACAUUUAGCGGUGUUUGUAUCUCAGUUGGUUAAGAACUUAGAGAGCAUUCUCCCUUGCACCCGAGGUCCGAGUUCAAAAUGAAAACUGCAUUGCUCAUAGAUAUCCAAAAGUCAGGUACUCAGAAAUUAGAUCUCAAUUCGAAGUUCGAACCACACUAACCACUUAUCUGAAAAAUUAAGUUAAUCAGCAAACCCCUUGUGAUUGCAUAUGGAGUGAUGCUCUAAUAUCAAGCAAUUCAUUGGGCUUUUCACUAAUUUUUCGGCAGAUCAUUGCAAAUGGAAAUUAAGUUGUUAAAGAAUAAACCUUUGCAGCACUGAGAACAGGCUGUGUGUCAACCCCAGCGCCUUGGAUUGCUUCUUGAGCAAUCUUCGAAACCUCGGAAAUCGCCGGAGAAGCAAUCUUCAGCGCCUGCUCUCCGGCCUGUUUCGCAAUAGGCAAAGCCACAUCAAUGCCGGGCUUCACUGCAUUCAGAACAGCUUCCAGAACAUGUGCCGUGCCGUCGAAAACGGUCGAACCCACUUGCUGUAUCUGAUCAAUCGUCUGCUCCACCUGCCAAUUCAAGCAAACAAUUGGCGGCAAAAAAACCAGAAAGAUCAGAACUUUGAACAAUUGGCGGCAAACCCAAUUCAAAGAAAACAACUUUAUACAAUUCUUACUUCAGUGAGUGAAGAGACAAUCUGGUCCUUGGAGAGGCUGAAAGCUUUGGCUUCAAUGGGGGAGGUGAAGAGGGCUAAAAGGGAGAUUGUGGUUGAUGUUGGUAGGGAAACAGAGGUGGGUCUAAAUUUGGGUGGCUUGAGAGAAAGUUUGGGUGUGGCCGGAGAUGGUUGAGGCAGGGAGGGUCUUGGGGUGGCGGAAGCUCUGAUGGCCAUCUCCACCGCCAUCUCUGCCACCUCUCACUCAGUCUGAGUGGCAGAAGUUUGAGUUUAUUUUGGAUGGAUCAGAAGGAUUUCUUAUGUGGUGAGAAAUAAGUGGACAAGAUAAGGAACUUUACUUUUUGGCCAGUGAUAAAAUGGCUUUCUGCCAUUGGCUAAUGAUACCUACGUGGCAUUUAUUGUAAAGGACCCCACACCAAGCAAAUCCUACGUGGCAUAUUAGUGGUAGUGGGAGAUGAAUAAGCCAACAGGAUCCUUUCCAGAUCCUUUUUGGUGAAGAUUUUGAAAAUUCGUAAAUUAAAUCAUGUUCGUUUGUUUUACAUUGUACGGUCAGUUUUUGUCACAUACUGUUUAUGUUUAUUUUAAAAUAAAAAUAUUUAAAAUAGUUUUUAACUGCACGAUAUACGAUAAACGGACACGAUUCAUGAAUUCGCAAAAUCCUCACAAUCAGGAUCCAGCGAGAAUCCGGACUCAUGAAUGAGGAUCAUCUCUUUUUUUUUUUUUUUUUUUUUUUUUGAACGAGGAGAUCUGAUCUCUCAACUCUCAACUAAGUAGUAUGGCUUCUCAUAAGUUUGCCAAUCCACCCUAUAUCAAAUUUGAACAAUCUAAAUUGUCUAUUUUUUAAGUUGCACUUCAUACUCAUAGAUCAUCUUUGCAAAAAUUGGUCAUAUCGAAAAACAUUUGAAUGAUCUAAUUGUGUUCAAAGAAAUUGACGAACAAUAUGUUCUAAUAAAUAUUGAAAUUUCAUCCUAACAAGAAAAGGGAUAAAUGAUUUUAGAUUGAAUUGAAUUUUUGCAAAGAUGAUCUAUGAAUCGAGACUUACAAAAUAGACGUUUCAGAUCGUUAAAGUUCGAUGUGAAGUAGGUUCCAUAAUUUCAAAAAGUGGGAAUCAACUAUAUAUUCAUAGGGAAUAUGCAUAUAUUGCAGCAACCAUUACUUUAUUUUUGGUUCCAAACUUCCAACCAUACAAAAUGAGGGCUAAUCUACCAUAAUAAUUCCGAAGAUCGGCUUUAGUUUGAGUACUUGACGUUGCAGAACUUGGGCUAGCAAUUCAUAUAUUUAUGGUGGAGAGUUAUAUUCCAACUGUGGGAAGAAAUACAGAAGGCUGUAAGAAAUCUAAUUCAAAAUCUUGACAGUUAGCAUUAAGUUGGUCCCAAAAGAAGUAUUUGUUUUAGUUUUUUUAGAGCAUCUCCAAAGGAAAUAUCAAAUUUUAAAUAUCAAAAUGAUAUUUGACGGCUUAUGUGACAAUUUGACAUUUUGUACAAUAUUUUGCUUCAUCCGAUAUAUUAAAUAAUAAUGUCUUUUAGUGAAAAAAAAUUAUAUUUCUGUGGGGUCCAAUAAUUGAGACAAUCAAUCAAAUACUUGAAAACCAUAACAACAUUUAUCAUAUAUUAUAUUAAUCUAUUUAAAAACCAUUUAAUAAAUUUGACAUCUAUUGUCAAAUUUGAUAGCAAAAGGCUUUGUCUUCAAUUGACUCAGCGCCAUGUAAGAAAUUGAAGCUCGGUUGAAGAAAGUUUGUUGCCAUUUUUACUGUUGUAUGUCUACGUGGUAGUUUUAACAUCUCCUUUGGAGAUGCUCUUAGGUGUGCAAAUUUCAUAAAACAAGAGUUCCUUGCUCUAUUGGAAAUGAAUGAGAAAUCUGAAAUCAUACAAAGUAACGAUAAAAAAGGGAUUAUGAUCAGGGGCAGAACUAGGAUUGAGGGAUGUUUUCUUGAGUUGUUGCCUGUUGGGAUUGUGCGAGGGCUAAUUUUGUUAGAGUAGAGCGGGUUAAUUUUCGAAAAAAAGGGGCGAACCUCGUGCACCAAAAUCUAUUUGUCCUAAACCACGUCUUCAAAUGAAACAAGGCUUGAGAAAGAGAGAGUGGGGAGAAAAUCUACUUUACUGCUAAGUUGUAUACAUUUAUGUAUCUAUCUUUAUCAUUACAAGGCUAGUCAUGUCUCAUGUGAUGAGAAAGAAAGACGCAUGAUUAUGUACAACUCAUCAGUGACAUAGUCAAGAAUCGAGGCUAGGAGGGGCUCUAAGCUGUAUUAAAGAAAUUGGACAAAAAAAAAAUAUAACUAAUGGGAGAAAAAUUGAAGGUUCGUUUUUUGUAUUGGAAUGAAAAAAUUAUAAUCAAAAGAGUGUGACGGAGUCACGAAAAAGAAUUAACAUUGAGAUAGUUAUAUCAAGCAUCGAACUUCUUUAUAAGCUCUUACAUUGAAGUUGAACAAAAAAUUAAUAAUCAUGGCUCAAAAUUGUAGCUGUGCAAUUUUCCUUCAAGAUAAAUUCUUCAUCUAUUCCAUAUACGCAUGUUGUCACUGUAGACAACAUUGUGUCAUGCAAAAUUGUGAACUAAGGAAGGAUAGUUGAUAUGUAUAAGGUUUUGGUUUCAUAACAAUACUACUGUAAAACCCAUUUUUUUGGUUUCACUAUAGACAACAUUGUGUCAUGCAAAAUGGUGAAUUAAAUAAGGAAGGAUAGUUUAUAUAUGUAAGGUUUUGGUUUCAUAUAACAAUAUUACUGUAAAACACAUUAUUUUAGUCAUUCAGAAUAAACAUAAUAAAACUAGUUGAGAGAAAAAACACAUAAGUCGAUAACUUUAGAGUAUCCACCAAAAGCACACAAACAGAAGCUACAAAGCAAAAAACUUCAAGAUAGGCCGAGACCUCUUUUCAUCCUCAAGUGGCUCCGCCACUCCAACUCGUGACAACUAAAAUUCCAUCUGAGAGAGAAUAUAAACAUAUAUUAUAUACGUAAAACCGGAUGAAACCUAAAAAUUCUGUCUAAGAGUAAGAAAGUACAUUAAGAAUCCAUCAAUAAAGUUGAAGAUUUGGAUUAUUUUUCAGAAGACAAGAAUUCCCCACAGGGAUUCAAAAUUUGAAUAGAAAGUAAAACUUGUUCUGCGAAAAGUGCCAGAGUUUCAGUAUUUUUAAUUUCAAGUAUAUUGGCUUUUGAGGUGUGUUUUUUGUUUCCUGGUAAUUGGAUGUAUACCGACUUGAAGUAUUCCCUAAUUGGGGUUGACAGUGAGCUUAAUUAUAUACUAAUCACGAUUAUCAUAGCAUGCAUCUGUCGACACCUCAUUGGUUUGGACAUUUCUGCACUACUCGAGCCAAAUAUUCCCUCCCAGAUCGUCAUCCUGGCAGGAUGUUAAACUACUAAUCUAACCCUAAGAUUUGCAUGUUGUAUGGAUUUGGAUCCAUGUCAAUUAAUGUGUGCACCUGUACCAUCCAUGUGGGAGACGUCCAAAUCAUCUUCAACCUUUUCUGCUCUGCAACCAAACCCUGGGAAUCAUGCUAGCUGCGUAUGGUGGCCGGUACAAUUCCAGCACACAUCACGUGAUGUUACUAAUUUAUAUUGCUUGAAAGUCACACUAAAGAAUUUCUCCUAUUGACGUUGAAGUUGAUUGACUUAUACAAGAUAAAUUUCAAUUACAAAAUAAAUGUUUAUAACCAAAAUUUUAGAUUUCUUCUUCACUCCAAAUAUGACAAUACUGAUGCUAAUUAUUCACCUCAAAAACUCAAGAACUGAAUUUAAUGAUUUGGAAUUAAGCUUGCUUGCACCUAUAGUCAUUAGAAAAGAGAGAAAAAAAAGAGACUUUAUUUAUACUAACUUAAAUAAUCUGGUCAAGUAAGUACGAUAUAGGAUGAUUAGAAGAAAACAACAUUAAUGCUUAUCAACUCUUCUCUUGACGUUUUCUAAAGUAAAUGAUUAACAUUAAUCAUAUUAAUUACAUAAUUAGUGUAACUCUUGACAACUGUUAAUGUUAGUGAAAAAGAAUUAAACUACUGAGAAAAAGCCCUUUAGCUAUCGUGCAAUAACAAUCGGGAUCCUAAACUUCAAUUGUUUUCGAAUGUGAUUGAGAGUUUUGAGGAGCUUAUUUGUGAAGAACCUUAUUCAUUUUUUUUCUUCUCUCUCCUUAAUAAAUAGGAACCUGCAAUUAUUUUUGGGAGUCUGCAUUCCCUGAUUAAUUAAUACCUUAACAUAUGUUGAUAUAUACUUUGUAAACAAACAAACCCUAGAUGAGACAAUCAACAUGCCAUGAUCCCUGUAAUCAUUCUUACAGUACUCAACAUAUUUACUAUAAUAACGCAUAAUUACAUAUGUCUUCUCUUUCAUCCAAAGCCUAAAGCUAUAACCCCAACCCUUGUGAUCUCCAACUCUCAUGGACUCAUCCUCAGUGUCCCAACCUAUACAAACACAUACUUUCCAAGAAAACAAAAAGAAAAACAUGAGAAAAGGUAACAAAAAUGGAAAAAGGUUUCUGGGAGUGAGACAAAGACCAUCAGGAAGAUGGGUGGCUGAAAUCAAGGACUCCUCACAGAAGCUGAGGCUGUGGCUAGGGACUUUCGAUCAGGCGGAGGAGGCGGCGUUGGCGUACGAUAAGGCUGCUAGGCUCCUAAGAGGCAGGAAUGCAAAAACCAACUUUCCCUCAUGUCACACGUUGAACACACAUGAAGAAAACUGCAGCAUAUUGAGAAAAAAUCCAAGGCUUUAUCAGUUCCUUCAGCAUGCAAUCAUGAAGAACCAUGCAAGAUCCUCGUCUCUAAAUAGCGCGAAGAUUAAACCGUGGGAUCGAAACCAAAUUAGAGGAAUCGAUUUUGAUAUACUUGUCGAAGAAACUAUAGUUUGUUCUUCGAGUGGUGCUGCUACUACUUCUGGUCAAGAUCAUGGUGAUCACGAUGAGGAUAGGAAUAAAAAGCUUUGUGCACUUUCAUUCGGUAGUUGUAAAGUUUAUUCUUCUGUGGUUGUAGCUCCUUCUUUCAGUGCUUCUUCUCAGUGCCAACAGGCGCAUGAUGAAGAAGAAAAAGGUUAUCAAGAGCCCUAAUUAAUUAGUCUCUUAAUUUGUUAUAUGCAAAUUUGGGUGGUUAUUUUUGUGACAAAUAUGUGAAACAAGAAGAUAAUCAAAGGUAAUUCGACUUUGGAAAAUGAUUAGAUUUGUGUGUACGUCUGUAUGUGGCUUCUGUUUAACGUGUUCUUCCAGCUUUUACUAUCAAUAUUGAAAUAUGGAGCCUGGAAAAUAUAAUUUGAUAAGAAAUUAAAAUAGAGGUUUAUUAGUAAGAUAGUUACUUGCAUAUACAAGUUGUUAAGAGUCCGUUUGAUAACUAUUUGAGUUUUAGUUUUUUAUUUUAAUUUUUGUGUUAGAGAUAGAACGGAAAUUCAUGGAUAGAACGGAAAUUCAUGGAAGAAAUGAGAGAUAUAGAUGAGCGAAUGACGGAUGGUGCAUGAGAGAGAGAUGUAGAAAGAGAGUGUAAGAAAUGUUGCACAAAAUGAAGACUAAAAACCAAUAACCAAAACUAUUUUAAGUUGUCUUCAGUCUUCAGAUUUUAUUUUCAUUUUCUGUUCUUACACCAACCUUCACUUUUAAAACUAAAAACGAACCCUAAUUGUUUUCCGAAGUUAGAAUUAUAAAUGACCGGAGGUUUUCAAAACUCAUCAUUUUAGUCUUCUGAGUUCAAAACCGAUCAAAAGGGUUAUGAACUUUGAAUAUAUGCAGAUGCAUGUCUUAAUUAUGAUAAUGUAUCACAGUGUUGCAUUCAUUGCUAUAUGCGAAAAACCUUAGCUUUAUUUUAGGAAAACUAAUUAAAAGAGCUUAAAAACUUUGAGUUUUAACGAUAAAGACAAAAUAAAGGGUAAAGUGAAUAGUACCAAGAUUGACUUUUUAGUGUUAAAAUGUGGUUUUUCAUUACAGUGAACAGUAUCGGGAACUUUUCGUUAAAGUUUCCUUAUUUUAUAGAGAGAAGAUGAUGCAAUAUGCUUGUACGUGUAGUAAAGCAGUCUAACAUCUUAGUAGAUAAAAGAGUUUUUAUCAAUGUGAAACUCCUAUCUCUUUUAAAUUAUUGUAAUGAUUUUGAACUCUUCCUCUUCUUCUAAUAAUAAUAAAAAUACAAAAAUAAAUAUGCUUGAAAAAAUAUAAAUUUCUUGAUUUCACAAUUGUGUACACGUAGCUAAGCCUAGUUAGUUUUAACAUCUUACGCGAUAAGGACAUGUUCGAAUCAUUAAAGAAAGAACUAGACAACAACAAGAAUUAUAUUCUAUUUGGUCAAUUUUUUUUAGCCCCCCAACGAAGAAGUUGUAGGUGUGAAGAGAACUUUGUGUAAAAUGAUUCAAAUAAUUAGAAGAAAAUUUGAAUAAUUAACUAGCUUUGAGUAGACAUUAAACUAUAGGAACAUGUCACUCAGACAAAGCAUGCAUGUAGUCAUCAUUGGUACUAAAAGCCUAUAAUCAACGAUGGAUUCAGGAUAUUUAUUUAAUUUUUUGAAAGUCCUUGUUAAUGUUCUAAAAGACGCUAAGCGUUAGUUAGACGGCGGAUUAGGGUCUAGCACCUAGGUGGUUAGGGGGAUCUAGUCGGGAGUCUAAGCGGAUUUAAGUAAAUUUAUUAUAUAUUGUAUAAAUAAGUGACUAUUAAUUAUACUUAAAAACGCAUAAUUGUAUUAGCAAAAAUAAAUUGCAGAAUAAAAUGACAUAUAGAUUAUAAAGUAUUAGAACAUAUUGAAAACAUAAGGAACAAACAUAUAAUGAGUGUUCAUCUAAGUAUUCAACAAGUCUCUACAUUUUAUUGACAAAAUAAUGAAAAAAGAAAAUUAUUGAUUUUCUGUCCAAGUGAGAGUUGCAACUUAGGUGGGUGCCUAUGCGGGUUUAGGCAGGCUAGGUGGGUGUCUGACGUGCUAGGCGGACGCCCAAGCGGGCCUAGGCGCACUUUCUUAAUUUUCAAACACCUAUGGACUCAUUGGGGCAGUGACCAGUCGUCUAGCGCCUAGGCGGAGAUUUUUAGAACAGUGUUAAAUGUUCAAGUUUUUUAUAUUAAAAGCGCAUAAACAAAUUUUAGUUUGUUCACGAAGGCGUUUAUCGUACACUUGGUGGGUUUGUUGUCAUCAGUCGAACCAUGUUACACAUAUGUCAAUAGAUAUUGAUGUUUUGCCAAAGCAAUCUAAUGAGUGUUAUCGAGAGCAUUUGCCAAGUGUUAUCGAGAGCAUUUGCCGAGUGUUGUCGACGCAACUUGUCGAGUACUGCUGAGAUAUGUUUAGCAAAUAUUACAUCAAUCAUUUGAUGACACAAAAAAAAAAACUUGUACCGUAUUUUUAAAGGAUCCCUGAAAACAAUUCACAUGCUUGUUUCUCAGCCUUGGAUGAUCCUAGGACCAACUUGGUCCCAAUGUGCAUCCGCUCUUACCUAUAAUAUCUUUAAAGUUAGCUCAAAUGAUGACAAUAGAACUCCAACUUAUCAUAAUCACAGCACAUAAAUUUUUGAAGUCCCUCGGUAAAUGGUAGGAUAUACAUCAGAAUUAUGAUACAUUUAAAGUUUGAUUCCCUUCCACGCUUAGGAAUCAAAAUGUAUUUACCAUUUAACCAAAUAACAUAAGAUAUACUUUGAACCUUCUGGUCUUAGCUUGAGUCAUCAUGAAAUGAAAUCGAAAAGAAAACAUAUGCGAAAGUUAUUGGUGUGUAAUUGUAAUGGUGUGACGUCCCACUCCCACAAUUGAAAUGUCCAUUUCAAUUUUCAUGCCCGAAUGUGUUUGUUGUUUUUCUUUUCGCGGGUUUAGGCCUCGUCCCCCACACACAACCCUCGGCUUGUAUUCUUUUACUUUCGUUUUCAUUACUUAAUCAAUUACGGAGAUAGGGAAUAGAGGGAUCGUUUUAUCGGGAAGUUAGUCAUUUCUCAUCACAUUGAGCAAGAAUGAAGUAUCCUACUUUGUAGUUGAUGGCUAACCCUAGGGUUUUGGUUCUUUCUAACCGCCUUGUGCAAAUUUAGAGAGUAAUGCAACUAUUGUAGUCUGACGAUCAAGUCUUAUGUGUAGUUUGAUUCACCUAAGUCAUUAUCUUCUUUUCAAUAAUAAAAAUUGUGUUCAUGGGAAUAGCCUAAGAUAUACGAAACUAGUUGCAUAUCUGACAAAUUGAUUCUCUAGUGCAUGCAAUGAUAAAUUCUCUCUUGCAAUUAAGAUAUAAUACUCAUGACUGUAAUUUGUUUGAUAAAAGUUUAUCGCGUUUUGAAAAAGUGAACUACUCUUUCAAUACACGACAAUAGAGUAUCUAUCCUACGCAAAAGUCCUCCUUUGUUUUCCUCUAUGAUGUAAAUGACAAAUUGGCAAAUCCUUAUCAGAAUGAGCAUGCCAAAUAAUAUGCAUGGUGAUCACUUUCAAUGGCACACAACACGUUACCCACCCACAUUGUCAAACGCACGCCAACAUCAUCUUCUUUUGCUUCCUCUACAUAAUUUAGAUUCAUAGCCACCGUCAAUGUCCUUUUCAUUAUCCUCGCCACAAGACCAUUUCGUCAAAAUAAGGCAUCGUUUGUGGGGUCUUGGUGACCUAAUUGUGUUCACUAAUUCAAUAAACAAAAUCGAACUUGUUUUAUAUUGGGUUAUGCAUGAUACAUGUGCUUUGCCUUCGUAGAAUAAACUUACUGAUCUGGGUGUAAUGUCACCGUCACACGAGGAGAGUGAUAGAUAACAAACCAAAUUGUAUAUGAAGCAGCUUGAGAAACAUACAUUCAAGAAAACUAGGGUUUUGAGAAUUUUAAAGUUAUGAUUUGAAAGAUGUCCAUGGUAUUUAUUUUUUGUUAGGUCAAAUUAAAAAGUUAAGGUAUUGGGUUCGAAAUCCGCUGUUGGGAUGAAAGCCAGACUUGUGGCCAGGAAAAACUGAAAUGCUUCUGUGAGUCUUCCUGACCCCCAAAAGAAGUGGAUAACCAUGACUUACCACCAGUUGUCAUUUUUGAAAAAAAAAGGAAAUCUUUGUAACUGACAACAACCAUAUCACUACGACGCAUGCCCACAAAGUUAAAUCUCCUUUGUUUUUUUAUAACUCCUUACACGUAAGAAUUAAGCAGUAUUCUAUGGUUAAAACCAUGGAAAACUCUGUCUAGAAUCCUGUCAACACAACAAACAAUAACUAAUAUAGGAAUGUGCUAUCCACACACCAAUUUUUACUUCUCACACACUAUUUGUUAAUUUCUGUCUGUUGAUCUUCUUUAAUUUAUCCGAUCCAAUGGCCGAAAAUUAGAAAGGUGUGUAAGAAGUAAAAAAAGAUGUGUGAUCCCCGAACUUGGAGCAAGGAUCCCCGAACUUGGCUCAAUUAGAACUUUAGUCGCUGAAUUAAAAUUUUGAGCAUUAGUCCCUAAACUUAUUAUAAUGUGGAGCAAUAGUCUUUUUCGCCAACUUCGUUAUUCAUUGAUCCAAAAUAAAUGGUUUAAAGGGGCAAAAAAUGAAUGAAAGUUCUAGCAAAGCUAGCCAAAAAAAUCAUUGCUCCACAUCAUUACAAGUUCGGAAACCAAUACUCACAAAUUUUCGUCCAGAGAUCAAAGCUCCAAUUAAACUAAAAUGGAAGGACCAUAGCUCCAAGUAUCUCUAUCGAAGAAAACCAGAAACAUGCAACUAACUACUAACAUUUGCUCAUGUCAGAUCAGUGGUUUCUCAAAAGUAGACCAAAAAUAGGAAAGGAAUACAAAACCCUAGCAAUUUUCAUUAAAUAUACACAAUCUGACAUCACUUUGGUACAAGGAAUUUGAUACCAGGUUCUACAAGUAAAAAUCAAACACAGAAGAUUCUCUGGCAACUUGGUACUCCAUGUAACUGCAGUUUCCUCUCACUUACAUGCAGUCAUGACGUUGUGUUUCCCAAUUGCAAACCUUCUUUCAGAACACACUUUUUUACCAUUAAAAGGGAAAGCAACAAGUUCAAACUUUUAAACCACCUGCUCAAUAAAAUGACAAAUAUUUUGGAAGCCAAUUAAUUGCCCUAUCAUACAUAAAGAUUUUUGGCCGCUAUAUCUUGGUUAUUGGAUUCUCGAUCAAGAAACUAACGGCAAAAAACUUAGCGUAGAAGAUAUUUCGGAGCAUACUACAAAAUCUCCGUAUAUAUAUAGUUCCAGCAAACACAAAUGAGGGAAAAGAAAAUAUUCCCCUUCUUUAUUACAGCCAAUCCUUCAGCUCUUUCACAAAAAAAGGGAAAAGAACUGUCAAGGGAACUUAAACAAGUAUUAAUUACACAGGCAAAAGUAAACGUUAGUGCAUUAGAAAGAUGAUUAGGAAAUAAUCCAACGAUUAAAAACAUCGUGUAAUACAUUACGAGCGCGAAUAGGGAAAAUUAAUUCCGUAAUACAGAAGUAAUGAACUUAAGAGGAAGCAAAAUACUUUGAAGAACAUAAAGUCGAUAAACAAGGACAUCAAUUCCAGCAAAAGAGAAAGAACAAGAACAUCACAAGACCCCCAAAAUUAUUGUUCCAGGAAAAGAACAAGUUCGAUCAGAACAACUGCGUAAGGUUGGUUACUUGAAAACGAAAUUCAACCCACGAACAAAGACUUCUAACCAAUUAAUUCACCCCAAAGCAUCUUACAGAAGAACGAGAAGAACAACUGUUUGGUAUCCAUUGAAUUACAACAACAAAAUCUUAUCUCACUAAGUAGGGUUGGCUGUAUGAAUCUAAGAACGCCUUGCGCCAAGUCUUUCAUUAGCUCCAAAUACUCAAUUGAACUACUAGAUAUAGAAAUUCAAUCAUUACUAUCGGUUUCGCCAUCAUAAUCACAAUGAUGAACACAAUAAACUCAAAAUUCUGCACCCAAAACGACUAAAUCUGAACACAGAACCACAUACACACUGUGUACUCCACUUUGAAUACACAUAAGUUCAUCUCGACAGGUAGAUCUAUACUCUAAAAAUUCAAUCAUCUUCUCAUCACAUAUAUUAUCAAACACUAAACGUUCUGUUAACCAACAUGGAAAAUAUUAAAUUUUCAACCAGUAAUUAAUAAGUUAAAUAAAAUAUAAAGCUUCAAACUUCAGUAGAAACAAAAGCAUGUCAUAGAUCAUAGAUCAUGUAUGUUCAAGUGCAGAAUUUAGGAAAGUAAAACCAUAAUCUAGAUAAAUAAUUAAUUCCCCAUUUAAUUCCCUGCAGUAAACCACCAAUAGCACAUACAAACAAAAUAGCAAACGCAAAUUACCCACAAAUCUGGUUUUAUUUACCUUUUUAAAAAAUUGACAAGCUCCUUGCCUUCUGGGUUCAGAUCAGAAGCUGGAAAAAACCCCCAGAAUUCAAUCUUUCCCAUAUUUUCCCACACUUUCUCGGCAACCAAACAGAGCAGUUCAAAAAUACCAGCAAGAAAUUAAAAAUAAAUAAAGAGAAGA